UGGGGCCUCCUCUCAAAACUCCUUGAAAUUGUUUUUUGUAGCCAUUGAACGCAUCCAAAAUCCAAAAAGUCUAACGGCAACUGGUGUACACAUAUAGAGAUUGAUCUUAGUGCAAUAUAAAAUACUCAAUCCAUCACCACUCGCCAACCGUUGUGCUCCAUUUGUUGAAUCAAAACUCUUGUUGCCGCCACACUUCUCCAACAAAAUGACGAAUUUGUCUUCACCGGAACUUGAAGAAAAUCCGAAUCAGGAAAAUAACGAGCUUUGAAGAUUUGAGCAACAAGAGAAUUGGGUGUGAAUUAUACCCAACAGUUUGCAGAAGCAAGAUUAAGCAUACAUCGGCAACCAACCUCUUACUUUUUUUACACCAAUUCUUAUUAAAUGAAAUAUAAUUUGCGCUUCUUUAUGGUCAAAUGAGCACAUCUGAUUAAAUUUCAUCGGCUACUCGUCUUAGGGAGAAGGAAAGUUUGCAUUGUAUAUAGAGGAACUGCCUAGCAUGUUUAAUGAGAAUUUCUUUUCCUUGACUACUAAGAAGACUCCCCCGCCACCCAUUUUACUUUUUCCACAGCCUAUCUUAAUAAGCGAAGUCUUCUUCAUUACCGAGCACAAAACCAUUUCAAGGUACACCACUUCUGGCAAAUCGUCUGACAUCCAAAAAUGAACAUUCACUAAACGCCACACUUGCUUUUCCCAUUACCGCUUGUCCGUAGCUCUUCAUACAUUUCCCACUCAUCAACUAAAGUGAAAAAGCUUCCGCCAAAAUGAUAUCACGAAAAGAAGAUGAUAAGUGGGUCCUCCAUACAAAUUCUUCUUUUGUGCGUUCAACGGGCCAACAUCCAAAAAGCUGAAGACCUUUGUAAUCACACAGAUGUGAUAAAUCCUUGCCGAUCCUUUUUAGGCUGUACAUCCGGGUUGCAAUUUUUGGGUAAAACUGAAUAACACCAUUUUAAUUAGGUUUCAUGAACUGCGUCUCAAUUUGGCAAGUAUCCAUUUAAUACGGGUCUAUGCUCUACUAUGUCUAUUACCAACCUUCUUCUCUUUUCAAUUCAUAGUGGAGCAAUUUUCGACACAAACAAUUAUUGAAAUGCUUCCAGAAUAAGCACACUUUAGGAUGGUGAAAUAAUGUUGGGUAAAAACAUCUUUUCAAAUGUGUCGUAAGAACUUUUAACUAUUUUGUAUAUAUUUACACAAAACUGAUAGGACGGAGUUGAGUCAUGGAAGUGGGGUCCGAUUUCUUAGGAAUAAGAGUAACAUGCGUAAAAUUAAUUUUGCGCAUCAUAUUCCUAGAAGAGAGGAGAGAACGAACACCUUCACAUAUAUCAUGACCAACAAUAGGCCAAUGUUUCUGAUAAAAUCCGAGUGUCAUACCAUCAGGUCCAGGUUGCAUUUUAACUGCAUUUAAAUGAGCAAGAUAUCAUCAGUUUGUGCCAAAAGUAAUAAUUAAUCUCAUCCGUUACUUAUGGAAAUACACUAAGCCAUUGACGCCUCAACGUCCCCCGAGGAGUCAAACAAGUUUUGAAAGUUAAUCCUAUUCGUAGUCAUCUUCCUUUACUUUUCAUUCCCCUUAUCUAAAACCAUACAACCCAUUCCUUCGUUGAUGACGAGUAGCUUUAUGACGAAAGUACUUAGUAUUAUGAUCACCAAGUCGCAACCAAUUCUCUUUGGAACGCUGACACCAGAAAGCCUCUUCUUAUGCCAAUAGCGAAUGUAAUCGAGUAUAUAGCUCAUGCCUUUGUGCAAUAGUUAUUUCAGUAAAAGGCUUACCAAAGAAAUCUUGUAGUUUAUCUUCUGUCUCGACAAUUUCACCAGGAAUAAAACGUUAUGUGUUCUUGACCCAUUUAAGUAAUUGCAUCUGUGUCGCCUUGAUCUUUUCCACCACUCGAUACAUAGGAGAGCCCACGCAGUUUAAAGACCACCCUUCCUGAACUACAUACUCGCACCCAUCCCUCACGGACCAGCGAUCUUCAUACCUAAACCUCUUUUUAACAUUAUCACAUUUCCUGUCUCUCUCUAGUAGAUUGAAUGUGGUGGAGGAUGUAGGCUUUCAAUGACAAUCUGCCCUGAGAUAAAUUCAACCACUAUUGUGAUGCAAGUAUUCGAUCUAACCAAACCUUAAUACCACCACCCCUCGUAGUUGCCCACGUGAACCUGUUACCAACAAACCUCAUAUCUUUCAAUUCAUAGUCCCUCAACGCAUUUCGAAACUUCCAUUUGUCCAUACGUACAUUAAUAUCCUGCUCAAUGGCCUGAAGAACUUCAUUAAAAUCUCCUACACAACACCACGGUAAAGACGAAUUCUCCUUAAGACACCGAAGCAGAUCCCAUGACUUGUAGCGAUCAGCUUUAAGAAGAAAGCCAUAAAAGAAUGUAAGCCUUCAGUGAGCAGCAUCUCUCAUACCUCCCACUUCAAGAUCAAUAUGAUUGGAAGAAUAGGUUCAAAGGGAAAUUGGCACAUCCUCUUACCACAUCACAUACAAACCACCAGACCAUCAUAAACUCGAAACCAUAAACUCAAACCAAAACUGUAACUGUGAUUUCAACUUCUCCAUGUGUUCUCUGGAGUUGAUAGUUUCGCAUAGGAAAGUCACAGCGGGGUCUUUAAAGAGAACCAGUUUCUUUAGAGCUCGAAUUGCACGAAGGUUCCCAAGCCCCCGACAAUUCCAACUGAUAUAACUCAUUGCACUCGGCGGGGCUGAACCUCGUCAGCCUCUUCCACUUUAACAAUCAUAGAGUUCGAGAAAACACGUUUUUUCGUAGCAUGAAAACGUGUAACAUAGUCCUUAUUGCAAAUCACCAUUUUCCCCAGCUUAGGGAGAGCCAUCUUAUCCCUCUACAUACUCAUUUUCCUUUACUCCAUCCUAAUCGUUGGGGUAACUUACUCCUCUCCAAGUUCCCAGUUCCAAAAAUGAAAGGGUCCAGAUUGAACGAAUCAGAGCUCAGCGACAAUAAGGGUUCGCGCAGGCUACCAUUAGCCUUACCCUUCUCUAUCCGAAACCCCUUACCUCCGUUACUAACUUAAUACCAAACAAUAACAAAGGUUGAGAUGGGCGCACCAGUAGCUCUCUCACUGGUGGCCUGUAUUGGAAUUAUGCCACCACCAUUGUUUGGGCAUAAGGAACACCAAGGACAGAAUAUCUUGAAAAUUUUGCCUCCCAUCAACCAAGCCCUCAGGCAUAAACUUGAAACCACCGUAUCCUUUAUUCCCUUCCACGGGGCUUGAAUUUCAGAUGUUAAGACAAUCUGAUUCCUUCAACCUGAAUCCUCUACAGGACCCUCAUCCUUCUUUAUAGUCUCUACAGGACCAUCAUCCUCCUCCAUAAACUCAUCCAUGUCUAUAACCAUCGGUAUUGACAUGGACCAACCCCCCUAAGGCACUAAACCAAAUUGUUUAGCCACUGGCUUUCUAUAAUCCUUCCCUAAGACAUCAUCUUGAAACCACCUCCCAUACGGCUUAGAAUAAUCAUUAUCCUGGCCUCCAUGGUAUUUUUCACAUUGCUCAUCUGCAUGAUCCAUUAUUCCAUAUAAAAAACAAGUAAAUGGCAGUUUUUCAUGUCGAAUAUCAACAUUCAAUGUUCGACCGUCAAGCUACAAUACCAUAUACCGUUUCAAGGGUUUUCGAAUACCCAAACAGACCCUAACUUUGAGAAUGCUUCUGAACUGUUCAUCAUUUCAACUCUGAUCAGUGAGUACAUACCCCCUAACUGGUUACCCAAGAACUUCCCCAUCUGGCGUGUCAUAUAACAGAAUGGUAACCCCUUAACUUGGAUCUAAAAUUCCUGAAGAACCAAUGGAACCAUAGAAGGAUAGGCCAUAUUAUCUGCCUCCGCUAACACCAACAGAUACUGCUUAUUAAACAACCAGGAACCCCCCCCUCAGGAAUGUUAGUUCUUCAGGACUGAGAGUUGAAACUAAACGCGAAGCGAUUAUCUUCAAGGUUAAAAAUCAGCAUUUGCGCCUUAGGGCACCAUAAACUCUGCAUCUGUCGCUUAAAGUUUUCCUUGUUAACUGGUUUCGAGGUUAAUACCUUCCCCACCAGAAAAACCUUAAAAGAUUUCAGUGACCCCAUCUCCUGCUUAUCAACAUAAUUACUUCCUAUUCCACAUCCGUAAUAGCAAACUUUCCAGAGAACUUAGAACAAUUUUCUUCCGUGUCAUCAAUCCUGGAACAAACGACCACCCCAUCACGAGUGAACACCUUAUAAAGAAUUGUAUGAUGCACUUCAACACCAUUAGAGACCUGGGCCGCACUACUUCACGGGCUCUAUUUAACCACCUAAUAACCAGAAAAGGAGGAUACUAGCAACCAGUUUUCCAGUUUACGUUGAAAAGUAAACAAAAUAAUAUUUUAACUCCUAUUGAAACAUUUUAACUGUAGUUUGAAUGACCAAAAAAUAAUUAUAUUUUUUUUUUCUCACUCAAAUUGUUUUUUAAAUUUAUUAUAUUCGUACAGAAAAAUAAUAGAAACAGCUAAGCUUCCCACACCAGAAUCUGAAUGUACUAGAUUCAUCUCCAAUUUGUUUAAACAAAAGCAUUAUGAAUUGAAAAUCCAAAUUUUCUUGGAAGUUGUUAACCAAUAUUAUCUCACAAAUAAUGCUAAGUAGAUCUAUUUUUUACUAUUUAGAUUAAAUUUGUAAACUAUGUGAUGUGUCACAAAUAAAUAAUAAUCAAAUCAUAAAAACCAUAUCGUAUAAAAUUUAGUCUAAAUAAUUGGUCUCUCUAACAUUAUUUUUUACUCACAAAUGAUUACUUCGUAAUAAUAAUAUUAAAAAUUAAUAAUAACUUAAAUACUUAAUUUUAUAUCUUUUUACUUGAAAAAAAAACAUAAGUGCUUUUCGAUGUAAGGAAAUAAAGACAAAUAAAAGUAUGCUUGUAAGUUAAUCGUUGGGUUGGUAAAUGACAGUAUCAAUGGUGUGUAGGAUAACGAGUAGGAAUUAUAAAAUAAAAAUUCGAGGUUCGAAAUCGAAACUCUUUUUUUUUUUCACUAAAAAACAAGUGGUUAGGUUUGUAUAUAAAAAGAAAAAGACAAAAAAGUAGUUAGGUCAAUUUAAGGUGAAAUAACUUAUCAUUGACCAUCCACAAUUUUAGAAGCAACAAGGUUAUUUUUCAUACAAAUGUGUUACUGAAACCAUGCAUUGAUCGAUCCACGAGCCAUAAGAUUUACGUAUAUACAUUUAUAAUUUUUAAGGCAUAUUUUUUUAAUCUAAAUUGGAUAAUAGAUUGGACAUACUUUUAUUGGUCCUGGGUGUAAUAAAAACAUUAUACCUUAAUUUUGUAAAACAUACAAGCUUUUUUAUUCAUUGUUUAUAAAAUGCACGGUAUUUUUGUUAUUUUGAUCCUUAUUUAAUAUAUUUAUGGAAGACUGAAUAAUUUAUCGCAAACUCAAAGUGAUUAAAUGACUCAAUUCAAAAACAAAGAUCAAAGUGAAGAAUUCAUUUGUAUUUUGAUAAAUGUUGAAUUAAUAUAUGAUGCUAAUGAAUUAAGAAUUAAAGAAAUUUUUAAAUUUUUAUGUAAAUUGGUUGAUCAGUUAGGCUUGGUGUGAACGUAAUGAAAAUAUGGUUAACCAAUUUGUAAGACUCUUCCUAGAAAGACCAGGCAAAGACGUCAUGCAUUAUUAAUGGUUUAGGUAUGGAUUGCUGAACCAACUAACCAUGCCUAGCUAGCUGCUCGUCCCACGCCACCAUUCCAUGCAAAAAAUUCUUCCAUCUGCUAAUAAUACUACACACGUUAUUCGACUCAAAUUAUAACACGUAAAUUUAUUUUACCAUGUUAUUCACACAUCAUAACACGUAAGGUACUAGCAUGCGUGGCUUAUGUUUCUGAUACCCAUAAAAAUGUCUUUGUCAAUGUCGAGAAAUUUCACUGUGACCGGUACACGGGAUGGUACACACAUGUCACUAUACAAAUUGUGGGAUAUGUAUGCCAAAAAAAUUAAUAACUUAAAAAAUAAAAUUUUCCACCACUCUUAUUAAAACAUGCGAUGUACCACUUAUGUUCCCGUCACAAUUAAAAAUUUCUUGUCAAUGUCCAACCAUUUUAUUUUUCCAUUUCAUGUAAUCAAAACCCUAAAAAUUUAAUUGAAUGUUUGGCGUUGUAGUCAGUUGUGCACUCCAACCUGACUAAAAUAGGCAGCCCCGUUAUCCCAUCCAAUCCUCUCCCCUUCUUCAAAACCAUAACCCCGUCCCUCUCCAUAUAAAUUUUGUCACCCUACAAGCCCAAUUUCUCUCUCUCUAUCGUUCUCUCUCUGAAGCGAAAGCCUCCUCCCUCCACAACCUCCUUGUGAUUAUUUUGUCCGGCGACAAUGAGUCCCAAGGAUAGGAGGAGAUUUGCAGGAGAGAUAUUCAUCAAAACAAACAGCUUCUUCUCCAACGUCUGCCAAACAAGAAGAAGAAAUGAAGAAUCAUCAAACCCUAAUCCGUAACAUCUCUUCUGCAGAUAUUAAGAACAAGAGGAAGAAGAAGAAGAAGCAAAACAAGGCGAAACCGAAACGGUUAGGGUUGAUUCGUAUUGGGAGAGAGGAUUACAUGAAGGACAAUGAGCUUUCAUAUCAAUUACUUACCGAGACUGAUUGGCCUCUGGCGGAAGCCUUCUUCAGCUGUUCGGUGGCAUUAACGAACCCUCAAGGUUAUUGGACGUAUUGUUUUUUUUUAAUUUUGUUAUGAUCAAUUCAAAAUCUAAGUUAAUUUAUUCAUCUGUUCAUUAAUCAACCAUUAAUUUCAUUAUCUUUGAUCAUUUAUUUGUUUGUGGGGUUUUCUAUUAAUUUCAUUAUUUGUGUUACUUAAAAUUGAAAAAAAAUUUGGAUAUUUGUUUUGGAAUUAUUUGCAGGCAUUUGAUUGGGUUUGUUCUGUUUCUGGGUUUGACCAUGGCGAAUCUGUUGGAAGCUUGCUCAGGUACGGACUCCUGUCCAAUUUUUCCAGGUUUUGUUAGGAUUUUUCUUUUUCUUUAUCUUUCUGAUUCUGUUUUUGGCAACUUGGAAUUUUUAAAACUAAUUUUAAAAUUAGAAUGGAUAAUGACUGAUCAUAAAAUUAGAAACUUAGCUUUGGAUUUUCUAUCUUUUGUGGAUAAAUUUAUUUUUAGACAAGCAAGAGUGGGAAAAUAAGGAUUGAACAUUAUUCCAUACAUUAGUCUCAAAACUGCAAAACCCUAUGAUUUUAGAGUACAUCAAUUCAUUAAUAUAAAUUGCUAAUCUAAUUGUUCAUUGCUCAAAAAAAAUCAAUUACUAAUGCUAAUUUUCGGGCAUUGAGACAAGUAUUAUAUUGUGAUGGUACACUAUUCUAUACUAUUUUAGAAGAUAAGUACUUGAUUAACAGUUGUAGCUAGGAAACUGUACUCUUAAUAAUGCAAAUUAAUUCAUCAACUUCUCAUUUAAUUUGAGUUUGUAUGAUUGCAUAUUAUUAAUCACAAAUGUCUCCAUAAUCACUUCAAAAACUUAGCUUCUAAUAGCUAAAACAUUUAUUCUGUAUUUAUAUGUGAACACUAUUUGAAAGAUUUAUAUAUGACUUGAAUUUAAUAGAAAAACACGGGGUGACAAAACAAAUCUUACUAAUGAAGGAAAUGGAAUCCUCAGGAUAUGGAUUGCUAUAUCAGUUUAGCAUAGCUUGAAAUGGGCGUGACUUUGGCUCAUUUUAUCGUUCCUCGCCGCUCUAUGUUCUGCCUCCUCUCAAGCACCAUGCCAAUCUUUUAUGUACUCACCCAUUAAACCUCAUGUUCCUCCGCAUCGACUAUGUGGCAUCACCACAUGAUCAUCACCUCAUUUCUUCCUCCAAUCUACUACAUCUUCCAAUGCGACUCGCGACUGGCAGUUAUCUACCCUCGGCGGCAAACGGUCACAUUUUCACUAUUGUGACAUUGCCUCUCGCCUUAAGUCUCAGCAGCGAAUUUCGCACAUUUCCGCCUUGUUGUUUGCUUCAAUGGGGUUGUUUGGUAUCAUCCCUGCUAUCCAUGCCAGCGUUGUAAACUGGGGCAAUCCAAAGCGCAACCUCACUCUAUUGUAUGAAGCUGCCAUGGCGUUUUUCUAUUUGACGGGGACCGGAUUUUAUGUCACUCGAAUUCCGGAGAGCUGGAGGCCGGGGUGGUUUGAUUUUGGCAGGCACACCAUAGAUAAUUUUCAUGUUUUGGUGGUUUGGUGGCGUUGGGCAUUAUGGUGAAUUCUUGUAUAGCUAGCUGCGAACAGCUUUGGAUGUGACAGUAAUUAAAAUUUAUAUAUGUAACAUAGCAACUCAUUUUUUUUUUAUUUUUUAUUUUUGGUUGUCCUAGGUUGAGGGUUGAGUCUGUGAUGGAAUUGUAUUCAUGGGGUAGGGGAAAUUGUUAAUGAUUUGUUGAUAGCCAGCUUAGAGAAAAGCUGAGGCGGUCAUUGUGUUAUUUCUUAGAAGAAUUCCAGGAAAAAAGAAAAGUUGAAAAUUUUUUUUGAUGAUUUUUUUUUUAAAUUGUCUACUACAUCAUAUCCAUUGUAUUAAGAUCAGUAUGUAUGAUCUUCAAAUUGUACAAAGCUUGUUCACAUGUAAAACUUCUUUUCUUCACAACGUGUGGAUACUGGAAGAUGGUUACAAAUAUAACAAAAAUAUCUUAAUUAGAAUUAACAUGGUUCUCAGUUUCUCAUCCAAAACAGAAACUGUACUAAGGAAUUGAGAACUGAUCGAUAUAGAGAGUAUGGUAACAAACCUAGAUGAAUAUUGGACUGUUAUGAGACAUGGAUAGUCACACUCUUUGCAUGAAAUGACAACAUAUAAACAAUUACAUAUACUCCUGGUGUAAGGUACAUUUACAUAAUGGGUGGAGUGGCCCAACUACAUCAUCCUUAUGACUUUUCUCACAAGUAGGAAUUCAUGCAUAAGGGAUGGGAACAACAUGGAGCAAAGUAAGAGUGGUCACACAACUAAUCAAGCCGAAAGUUCUUUGUUUAGUAUGUUUGUAGUGGAUUUUUAGUAUUAGUGUUUGAAUAGAUCAAUUAAACAAUGGAUAAUGCUUGUGUCCUCUUGGGGUCGUGGGGGAUUUACUUGUUCCCCACAUAUGGUUAACGAACAUUUAUCGUCCGAACAUCAUAAUUGAAACUAUUUUAUUUGUAAAAAAUUAUUUAAUUUGGAGAUCGUUUAAUCAUCUAUAUAUGUUACAUCAAUUAACUGUUUUGUAACAAAUAGCAUCCUCAUGAUGAUCUUUCCAUUUAUUUUAUGCAUAUGAAUGCUCAAAGAUCUCCAAAUUGAAUAAAUUUUUACAUAUAUAUGAUUUCUGUGAUGAUAAAGAGAAUAUUCAAAUUAUGAUGUUCGGAUGGUAAGGUUCUUUAUUCGUAAAUGGGGGACAAGUCUGUCACCCUAUGGGGUGACACAAGCAUUAUCGUUAUAUACACUUGAGGUCUUAAAAUUUCUAAACUUAAAAGUCUCACGAUGGGCUAGCAAUAAUGUGGUUCAAAUUCACCUUUGGCGAGAAUCAAACCUAAGACCUCUUACUUACAAAUGAAGAGGAAUACCACUAAACCAUAGUAAUUAAGUACAUUUUUUGUAAAAUUCUUAAUAUUCUUUUAGGUUAUAAUAUAUACUUUGCUACGCUUAUUAUGAUUAUGUGUAGCACUGUCUCACAUGGAAUAGUUAAGAAAGAUAUUCAUAGCUUAAGUUGGCAAAAAUAACUUCUUUAAUGACAUUAAACAUGUAUUACCACAUACAAUAAAUUUUUUUCAUCCUAGGCAUUGACAUUAUCUAAAUUCGCUAUUAUUGAAUUUUAUUAGCUUACUUUCAAACUCUCCAUUUUAAUUAACAAAAUAUUAGGCCUCCCCCCCCCUAACAUUAUUAUUUUUCCUUUUAAGCUGCAAGUUAUAUAACAUUAUAGAUGCCAUUGCCGAUGAGAGGAUUCAAAACAUCACUCCAAUUUUUUAUAAAUUGUAACUGAAAUUAGUUAGGCAAAUCCAACUACUCUUCCUCACUUAUUAUCAAUAUCCAGAAUCAACCUUUUUGAAAAUCUUUUAAUACUAAGUCCAUAUUUGUUUAACUCAAUAAAAGUAAAAUUAAAAAAAAAAACAUCGCUGAUAACCAUUCAAUAUCUACUAUUGGUUAUGUAUUUUUUUGGUUAGUUAAUGUAAUGAAAUUUGGUUUGGCAGAUAGCUGAUCCAGGUAUUGUUGAAAUUCAUUUAAACACCUAAACAAUUAAGUGGAGAAAUUUGUCAUUCAAUACUCUGAUUUAACUUGAAAAUAAUUUUUGUUAAAACUAUUCAACAUAAUACAUUUUUCGUUUCCUGAAAAAUUAGGUAAUAUAAUUGCGGCUUACAGAGCUAAAUUCUAUCUUUUAAUAACCUAAAAUACUAAUUUGAAUUUCAAUAUAAAAUUUGGUCCUUCAUUAUUUCUACCUUAAAAAGUUGUACAAAAACCAAUUUUUUCAAUGAUAUAUAAAUCGAACAAAUUCCAAGGUAUCCAUUAGAUUUUCAAUUUUUAUCUCUCUAUCAAUCAGAAGAUUAUGAUUCAAGCCACCUUUAACAGCACAUUACUUUCAAUUCAAUCAAAACGCAGCACCGCAGCAGUUUCGAGAAUUAAAUUGGUGCGUGGCGAUCCAAGAAAUGGACUUCAAUGAGUUAAACGUAAAAAACUUAUAAACAAAUGAGUUGGACUUGCUAGUUAAGUACUCAAUAUACCUUUUGGGAUCAGAGACGUUUCAACCCUCAAAAUCCUAAAAGAUAUCAUCCCCCUUCAUUAUGAUACUUUAUACUAAGUGAUCAUUGGACUUCUCAUGUAGGUUAAUAUGUUCUGAUACUAUAAAAAAAGUUAAAGUUAUACUAUAAAAUCAAUUGUUAAUAUGAAAAGUAACUCAACUACUUAUAAGCAUAUGCAAAUUCCCUCAUUUCCCCGAUAUGAGAUUGAUCACUCAACACACUCCCUCACGUGUGAUGAAUUUUCAAGUCUAACACGUGGAAACCACAAUUGGGUGAGGUGGAGCAUAUGUGGCCGUUGAGCUUCACAAGUGUGUCAACCUGCUCUGAUACUAUAAAGAAAGUUAAGGUUUUAUAUUCUAAAACCAAUUAGCAAUAUGAGAAAUAUUCUUACUUAUAAGCACAUGUAAUGUCCUUUCAUUAUCAGGCGUGAGACCGAUACUCUCAAAAUGUGUGAGGUCUAGUAAAAGUACAGAAAAUAUCAUACUGUGUAAGGGAGGCUCUUCUGUGAUCAUAUACAUGGAAAAAGACCGAUUUAUAAUUUAUCUAAUACAUAACUUGCAAGAUACUCAUCUUGAAAUUUUAUGUAACUUUAAAUUUAUCGAUAUCUGUAGCAAUUUUUUCCAAGUUCAAUUAUUUGCAUUAGUAUCAGUGUGUGAUAAUCUUCACACAGUUAAACCGCUAAGAGCUACCCAUUUAUAUACAAGUAAAAAAUGCAGCUCUGCAGAGGGACUUGGAUUGUCUGCCCUCCUAGUUAUGGUGCCCUUCCAUGCCCUCCUAUUUUGUGCGGUCACGGUUAAGCUACGUCAAUAUUUUAUAUUGUUAUUAUUUUUUGUCUUAUUAUUUUAUUAAAAAAUUAAUAUAAAAUAUUGACGUGGCUUAACCGUGACCGCACAAAAUAGGAGGGCAUGGAAGGGCACCAUAACUAAGAGGGCAGACAAUCCAAGUCCUCUGCAGAGGUUCUUAUAAACGGACACGACAUUGAAGAAACAGUCAAGCUAGCUAGCCAGCCAUGGCCAUGAAUUCAGCUUUCCGCUGCCCCACACUUUUUUGGCUAAUUAUCUUCUUUUUUCUCGUUUUCUUCGUCCUAACCUUCUCGCCUUUGCUUCGUGAAAACAAUGUCAUUAUUCCCUUUGUUUCCUCUUUCAAUACUACUACUAUACCUUCCGGCCUAACAAAGAGAAACCACACAUCUCUACCUCAAGUUUCAUAUUUUGAUGAGCUUCUCACAGGCUCCAUGUAUCAAAGGAGACACAGGGAUAAUCUUACCAAAGUAAGCAUUUCAAUUUCAACUUUUCAGGUUGAUAACUGUUUCAAUUUUCAUAACUUGUUAAUUAAUUAGUAACUGUUUCAGUUUUCAAUUUCAAAAAAUGAUAGCCAAAUUUGGAAAAUUCAUCAUAAAAGUGAGGUUUAUGUUUUCAUUAUUUUGAAAAUUACUGUACCUACUAUAUAUAUAGAUAUGAAUUUUGAAAAUAAAUAAAAAUUAAAAACAAAAUAUUAUGAAACGACCCUCAAUGUAAUCAUUCUCAUGCAUGUAUUUAUUAGAAUCAAGGGAUGGUAAUUAUUUUGAUAAAUUAAAAUACUUGAUUUUGGUGAAUGGUGAUCCAAGGAAUUCACUUCAACGUAUACAUCCCUUAUUGGGAUUUUAGCCCUUACAUAUUAAACCCAAAAAACUGAUAAACAAAUGAGUUGGACUUGUUAGCUAGCUUUUGUUUUUAUUUUAUUUUUUUAUUUUUUAUUUUUGUCAAGCUAGCUAGCUAGUUAAGUACUCAAUAUAUAUACCUUUUGGGAUCGGAGUUUAGUCUAUCAAAACCCUUAUAUUUUGGUACUUUAACUAAGCGGUCGAUGAUGUUUAUCCAGGUCAUGCAAAAACCUAAUAAAGUGAUACGUGUUGACAUACUCUCUAAUAAAUGUGAGUGAUCAUAUCAUUGUAUGUAGGAUCCACAUAUAUUAGAGAGUGUCAAAUGGCAUUCAUGAUUGAGUAAACAGUGACUAAAUACAAAUGAACUAGCUAGAUAUUCUAAUUAAUUAGGGUAAAUUCAUAAAACUACCUCAAUUAUGGAUCACAACAGAAUCUUAUACCUCAUGUUUUAAACAUUGAUAUGUCAUAUCUUAACUUAUAAAUUUGUUGCAAUGUUAACCCUCCGUUAAUUUAUCUACAUGGUCCUCCAUGUUAGAAAAAUAUGGACCCUGCAUUUGUCAUGUCAUCACUUAACGGCCUACUUAAUGGAUUAAACAACGAAGGUCUAACAUUGCAACGAAUUCAUAAGUUUAGGUAUGAAUUUGCAAUGUUUAAAACAUGAGGUAUGAGAUUGUGGUGCGACCCAUAAUUGAGGUAGUUUUGUGUAAUUUACCCAAUUAAUUAACUACAUAGAUUUGUUCUUGAAGAUCUAUCUAUGUAUGGUCCUAUCCGCAUACAUUUUUUACCUAUAACACACUCAUUUUUAAUUUCUAUUAUGUGAUCCUCGGCAAUCCAUUUAAUUUGACGGCUAGAAUUUGAGAAGAGUGUGAGAAAGGUAAAAAAGAGUGUGUGGAUAUAAAUAUCCUAUACCUAUAUUAUAUACACUUCUCUAUCAAAACCCUUGUUUUAUUUUGUUGUUUCUUCGUGCAUGGGUUGGUUUCACCUCCUAAGCCUUGAUCUAUUUUUCAACGCAUGGGUUGUUUUAUUUUAUUGUAUUUGGCUUUGUUUUUACCGUCCUUUUUCGUGUUCCGGCUUAAUGCAUAUGCAAUCUAUAUUUACCAAAAAAUGAAAGACUGAAAGAUUGUACGCGUGCGUAUGUAUAUAUGCUAGCUAAUCCAUAGAACCAGAACAAUCAAUCAGUACCAUAUGACGAUUACUACUACUGCAGGCGCCUUCCGAUCUCCCACAGUAAUUUUUUUGUUAGUAACGUUCUUGUUUCUUCUCUUCUUCCUCCUAGUCUUCUCACCUUUCCCUGAAUACCAUCUCAAUAAGUUUCCCUUGAUUUCCUCUUUCACUACGUCUUUCAAUCGUAAAAAGAACAACUACACAACCCUACCACACGUUCUUUCGAUGGGAUUCUGGAAAAUUCCAUUGAAGGAGUAGUACGCACAAGGUUAGUGCAUGGAACCAAAAUUAAGCUUUGUUAUAAUUACGUAUUUGGUAAGUUAACUUGCAUUGACUAAUUACAAUUUUAUUGUGUUCCAUGAUUAGAAUAAGACUAGUUUGGAGAGAAUCGAAGAAGAUUUAGCUAAAGCACGUGCAGCGAUUCGUGAAGCAAUUCAGUCCAGAAACUAUACUUCAGAGAGAGAAGAGACUUUUGUCCCAAGAGGAAGCAUUUACAAAAAUUCUUAUGCUUUUCAUCAGUUGAGUAUCUAUAUUGCUAACAAAAACCUGCUUUUAUUUUCUUCCCAAAGAUAAAUUUCAUCAUGAUCGAUGUUUUCUUAUAAUGAUUGUGAUGCUAAUUGUCAGGAGUCACAUAGAGAUGAGGAAGAGGUUUAAGGUGUGGACGUACAAGGAAGGAGAGUUACCAUUAAUACACAUGGGUCCUAUGAAAGACAUUUACGGCAUUGAAGGACACUUCAUAGAUGAAAUAGAGAGGGAGGAGAGCCCUUUCAGGGCUAUGCAUCCUGAUGAGGCUCACACAUUCUUCCUUCCCUUUAGUGUUGCCAACAUUGUCGAAUACGUUUACUUACCUAUCACUAGAAUACAAGACUACCAUCUCGAUCGCCUGCAGCGGGUAGUCAUCGACUACAUUGGCAUCGUGGCAACUAAGUAUCGAUAUUGGAACAGAAGCGAUGGCGCUGACCAUUUUAUGGCAUCAUGUCAUGAUUGGGUAAUGCUUUACUAAACGCUAUCUUUUUGUGAAGGAUAUGUGUAUAGGUCAUCUCAAUCAAUAACUUUAUCAUAUUUCAGGCACCCCGCAUCUCAUUAGGUCACUCUAAACUCUUAAAGAACUUUAUUAGGGUUCUUUGCAAUGCCAACACCUCUGAAGGAUUUAAACCCCAAAGAGAUGUCUCCAUGCCUGAAGUUUAUGUACUCCCUCGAGAGCUUGGACCACCAGAUUUAGGUCAGGCCCCAAACAACCGCCAGAUUCUAGCAUUCUUCGCCGGCAGAGUCCACGGACCGAUUCGAACCGUCUUGCUACAUUAUUGGAAGGACAAAGAUGAUGAAGUUCAAGUCCAUGAGAAGCUUCCCCAGGACCAAAACUACACAAAAUUAAUGGGUCAAAGCAAGUACUGCUUGUGCCCCAGUGGGUUUGAAGUGGCAAGCCCUAGAGCUGUGGAGGCAAUUCAUGCAGGAUGUGUACCGGUGCUAAUUUCUGACAAUUAUACAUUGCCUUUCAAUGAUGUUCUUGAUUGGAGCCAAUUUUCAGUACAAAUUCCAGUUGCCAAGAUACCAGAAAUUAAGACCAUCUUACGAGCAAUUCCGUAUGAAAAUUAUCUGAAAAUGCAGAAGAGGGUGUCCAAAGUUAAGAGGCAUUUUGUGCUUAAUCGGCCGUCUGAGCCGUUUGAUGUAAUUCACAUGAUUCUUCACUCAGUGUGGCUGAGACGACUUAAUUCUAAGCUCAAAACUUGAUCAUGAUUCAUCAACCUAGUCAUCACCUUGUGUAUUUUUUAACCCCCUUCAUUUUUUUCGGUAUCUGAUCAGUCUGUAGUCUUCCUUGUAUGUAAAAAUUUGUCAGCAGUAAUUAUAAUGGGACACAAGCUAGCUAGCUAUAUACCUACGCUCAUAAGAGAUAUAUAUAUCAGAUCUUGUUGCAUUUUUUCCGCUCAAGCUCCAUAUCGAUCUUUGGUUUUAUAAUAAAACCAACCUCAUUUCUUAUAUAUGCAGGGAUAUGUGGAACUCACGUGAGACCUAGCUACAUAUGCAAGCAAAGAAUCCCAUACCUUGAUUAGGCAAGGUAGUUUACUAGCUAGGCACCAUUUGACUUUUAAUCACAUGAUAAACUGAGGAAUUAAUCUUAAUGAAUCGACUUAAGUCCACUCAUCACCUGUAUGAGAGUACUAAGUAUUUUAAGUAGGCCAUGUAUAAAUCCAGCACGGCUUAAUUACUGUAGUACUCUUGAAAGUGUCUUUGAGUUCUACUUUACACUCUGAAAAUUAUUUUGUUUCACUUUGCCAUCUAAAUCAUGUUUUUGCGUCCCAGUUUACCCUAUGCUGUUAAAUUCAUUUCAUUACUCCCGAAGAUCAAGAUAUUCAUCAAUUUUCACAUCUUGAUUUCGAAUUUUGAUAUGAAAAAUAUGGAAAAAAAAAGUUAAAGGAAAUAAUGGAGAGCUUGUGUGCGGUAGGUGAGAGAGAGAUAUGAAGGAAAUUUUCCAUGGGCAACUUCCAAUCAAAUUUGAGUUAAUUCAUACCAAAAUCGUUUUCCGUCGACAAUCUUUUUCUCCCUUGUUUUUAUUUCUUUUUUCUCAACUAUAAACUAUGAUUUAAACUAAUCUUUUUAACAAACCAAAUUUAUUUAUUUUUCUGCCCACGUGGUGUUUACAUGGCAUACACAUAAGAAAAUUAUGAGUCCUUCACAGCCACUGUGGAUGCAAAUUUCUGCCUUCUUCUUCUUGGACAAAAUUGCACCUAUAAAACAAUUAACACAUUUGGUCAAAGCCAAGAGCCUCACGCACCCACGAUAAAUGGAGAGGGCUUUGGCCAAAGAUCCUCCGAUGCCAAAGUUAGAAUUUGAGGGAAAAGUGUUUAGAGAAUUUGGAGAAUUUGCAAGAGUCUCACGCGCCCACGAUGAAUGGAGGGGGCUUUGGCCGAAGAACCUCCAAUGCCAAUAUUAGAAUUUGAGGGAAAAGUGUUUAGAGAAUUUGAAGAAUUUUGCAAGAGUGUUGAACUUAGGUUUUUGGAGAAAAUGGGGUGGUAUUUAUAGGGGUGUGGUCGGCCCUUUUGGGAGAGAUGAGAACCGGCCACUUUAGUGGUUUUUUUUGGUGUAAUUUACAAUUAAUUGAGUGAUAAAUAAACUAAUUAGCUAAUUAAUGUAAUUUAGGAGAAAUAGUUUGGGAGUUACAUUGUGAGGGAGAUUUGAUGAGGAUGGAUGAAAUAGGUUUUAAAUAAAUACCUAUUUUGAUCACUUUUGACCUUGUUUGUCCGUUGCUUGCUCGUAGAAGCUUCGGUGUGCCUCGAGGGUACUUUUGUCUUUUUACCCUAGAAUCACGUGUCGCCUCCGUAUUUUUCUCGAUUAUUUUUGGCUCCAUAAAUGCCCCCAUACCUGUUGGGCUACUCAUAGGAAAAUGCAUAAUAUGUAGAGAUCUUCAACUUUGAUGUAGAUUUCCACUUGGACUUGGAAUUAGAUUCUUCUAGGAAGGGGAAAUAGAUUACCUCUAAAGUCUAUUUAGGACUACCUUAAGUAUGGGAUUAAAUCAACUUCAGAGGGAAAUUAUUUGUCCAUACAAGAAAGAAAGAAAGCUAGAUGAUAUUUGUUCCCCCUCCCUUAGCACUCUUCUUUGCUUGCUCGUGCAAAGAACCGUCUUCUUUUAAUUUCUUUGUCUUCUCCGCACUGCAUCGAUUUAAGAAAACCUUAAUUUUCCUUGUCUUCUUCUUGGGUGGUGCUGCCACGGGGCAGCUGUCGGGGUGGUGCGGCACGUCAGCUGGCAAGGGCCAGGAGUCGGCUUGGCAUGGGCAAAGGAGGAGGUGUGGCAGAGGCCAUUUGCUUGUGCUACUUGGCUUGACUGAAGCCAAGGACUGGCUCGACAUGGGCCGAGGAAGUGGCGUGGCAUGGGCCACGGUUUGGGCUACUUGCCAAAAAUGAGGAAACUGUUUGAGUUUAAUUUCUCAGCUGUCAUAGAUGAAGCAGUCAAUGAUGGAGCUACCAAGAUCAAAGUUGCUGAAGAUGAAGUGUUGGAUGAGCAAACUGUUGGGUGCAAAGUGGCUGCUGCCCCCUGACCAUUUGUUGCUUAGUUGGUCUUCAAGCAUUCGAUCUUUUAAGCUAUGUGCCCUUUUCGCACUGGAGAGCUUACCCAGAUAGGUGUCAAUGAAUUAGUUUACCCUUUCGCACUGGAGAGCAAUUAGUUUACCCUCUCGCAUUGGAGAGUUUACCCAUAUGGGUGUCGGGGAAUUGAUUUACCUCUUGCAUAAGAGAGUAAUUAGUUUAUCUACUCGAGAGCAGACCCUUUUGGGUGUCGGGGAAUUGGUUUACCUUCUUGCAUUGGAGAGCAAUUAGUUUAUCCUCUCGCACUAGAGAGCUUACCCAGAUUGGUGUCUGGGGAUUGGUUUACCCUCUCGGAUUGAAGAGUAAUUAAUUUACCCUCUUACACUAGAAAGCAAUUAGUUUAUCCUCUCGUACUGGAGAGUUACCCAUAUGGAUGUCAUGGAUUUGGUUUACCCUCUCGCACUGGAAAGCAAUUAGUUUAUCCUCUCGCACUAGAGAGCUUAUCCAUAUGGGUGUUUGAGCAGUUGUUGUAGACAACAGUUGAGCCAGGCUUAUGAAUAACUUCUUGAAUCUUCAUUGAGAAUAAAGAAAGGAAUCAACUUUACUAGAAGAUAGAAACUGCAUAAUAAGUUGGAUAAUCAUCGGCUUGCGAGGCUUUGUUCGUUAAGCUGUUUGAGACUUCGAGCUUAUUUGGAGAAGCCCUAAUGGGGUUUAGGGGGUGAUGGAGACUUCCCCUGCUUGUACAGGCCUUAUCGUUGACCUGUCAAGAUACUCGUCGCACCAGCCAUCAUUUGUCAACUUCUCAAGGUAUUGCUUCCACUUUAGACAGUCGUUGGUAGUGUGGCCCAGUCCUUGAUGGAAUGCCCAAUACUUUGUAUGAUCCAGCCUUAUAAGAUUGCCUUUCAUGGGUGGCGGCAGUUCGAACCAAGGUUCAUUUUUGAGCUUGCGGAAAAUUUGACUAAUUGGAACUGUGAACUUGGUGAAUGUUUCGGACACUAAGUCUUCUCUGGUCAGGGAACGUUCCAUGCGUUUUUUUUCAGACUUAUUUUUGUUAGACUACUUGGCCUCGUCCCAUAGUGCAUGCUUGUCCGUCAAAGCAUACGAAACUGCUAGGGUCAGUUCUUCUCCUAUGAUCAGUUUUUCGAAUAAAGGGUGUUCGAUGGGAAGCCCAUUUCUAAAUGCUGCCGUUGUUAUGUCCUCUUUGCAGCCAACAAUCUUGGCCUUAUAUGUUUUAAACCUCUUGAUAUAGUCACGAAUUGUGUCCCAAAGGUCUUUUACGAUGCUGAAAAGAUGGUCGGAUGUUCUUUUGAUUAAGCGGUUAGAUGAAUACUCCUUAGUGAAAACUAAGGACAGUUCGUUGAAACUCCGGAUUGAUUGUGGCGGUAGGGUGUGAAACCAGUCUUUCUUUGCCUUGUAGAGUUGUGGCAAAAUUUUUGCACAUAAGCGCGUCGUCGUUCUUGAAGAGGAUCAUGGUUGGAUCUGUUCACUUAAUCUCAUAUGUGAAUGGUAACAUGCCUAUGUUGGUCAUGUCUCGUGGAAGCACAUCGUCAGCAGCCUCGUUGUGCUGGAAAUUACUCAAUCGUUUAAUCAGAAGCCUGUCAACUUCUUCUUAAAUUUGCCUCUGCUGGGGCAAUGGAACUUUCGACUGCCCCCAGUCGUGACCUAUUGGUAUAAGUCGUUCUUCCUUAUGUUUGACUCAUCUAUGCUGUGGCUACUGUGCAUGUGGUAUGUUCAUGGCAAACGAGCAGGCUGUUUGCAGGCUGCCAGUUGAACUUGAGCAGGAUUGAGUAACUGCUUCUCUCAAUCCGACGUGUUGCCUACUCCGAUGUGAGGUAGAGAAUGCUCAUUGCUAGCCUAGUUGUGAAUGAACACUUCACCUGGAAGGUUGUCCAUGUUGAUAAUUGGAGUGUGGCCUCAACUGUGAACGUAUGCUUGUCUGUGGGCUUGAUCGAGAGCGAACGCUCCUCCGUACGCUAAGACGAGAGUAUAUGUUAUCUUGAUGACCUAUGCGGGAGCGUAAACUGCAAAAACGCUAGGAUCGUGGCUGGUUGAGGGGCUGUUUGCCAGGACGCUGCUGGAGAGGUUCGUCAUCUGCCCUUGUCAUGCUUCGGGACACCUCAUCUAGGGCACGUUGCAUCUUGGUGCAUUGCAAAAGCUAAUUCACCAAGGUCGUCUGUUGUGCGAGGGUGUUUGUCAAUUCUAUGACUUGUUGAGACAAGUGUGGUUCUCCAUUUAGGUUGGAAGAAUUUGGAAGGAAUGCAUCUCCUUGAGCAAUGGAAGUGUGGUAGACUCCGGACCCAAGAUUUGAGUUGAGAAAUGUAAAAUCCAUGGAGAAAUGUGGUGAAAAUGCCCAUGGUUCAAUCGUAGGCCCAGAAAUUUGAAGCCGGGACGGUUGAACUAAUCUUGGACUGAUUUGGGCUGCUUGGAAGGCCACGGGAAUGGGCUGCUUGGCGUGUGGUGCACGUGGGUGCGAGGCUAAGGCUCGACUUGGCAACGCGUUGGGUUUGCAUUGAGCUUAAGUGGCUCGGGCCGUCUCGCCUUGGGCUUGGGCCUGUGUGGGUUUGAAUGGCACAGCUUGGGCGAUGGUUGUGGUGCCGUGAACCUUGCCAAGGGUGGCUGCCGUGGUGGUUGCCACGAUGGUGCCCCGUGGGGGUGGUGCCGCUCCACUUAUUGUUGUGUUGAGCUUUGUAGAUCGUCACGAUCCUAAUCCUCAAACGUUGGAAUUUUCGUUUGUUAAGGUUCUGAAUCUCUUGCCAUUGUACUUUUCUUUUACGUUUUAUCAAAGAAUUUUUAGAAGAAAAAAAUUCAAGAAUAAGAAUGUACGAAAAAUCUACAAAUGAACAAGAAAACGAAAAACCUUGAAUGCGAGAGUCUUCUACGAGCAUUUGAUCAAGACUCUCAAUGAAAGCACCAAUUUGUGGAUGUAAAUUUUCGCCUUCUUCUUCUUGGACAAAAUUGCACCUACAAAACAAUUAACACAUUUGGUCAAGGCCAAGAGCCUCACGCGCCCACGAUGAAUGGAUGGGCUUUGGCCGAAGAACCUCCGAUGCCAAAGUUAGAAUUUGAGGAAAAUUUUUUAGAGAAUUUGGAGAAUUUUGCAAGAGUGUUGAACUUAGGUUUUUGGAGAAAAUGGGGUGGUAUUUAUAGGGGUGUAGCUGGCCCUUUUGGGAGAGAUGGGAACCGGCCACUUUAGUGGUUUUUUUUGGUGUAAUUUACAAUUAAUUAGCUAAUUAAUAAAUUAAUUGAGUGAUAAAUAAAUUAAUUAGUUAAUUAAUAUAAUUUAGGAGAAAUACUUUGGGAGUUACCUUGUGAGGGAGAUAUGAUGAGGAUGGAUGAAAUAGGUUUUGAAUAAAUACCUAUUUUGAUCACUUUUGACCUUGAUUGUCUGUUUCUUGCGCGUAGAAGCUUCGGUGUGCCUCAAGGGUAAUUUUGUCUUUUUUUUUACCCUAGAAUCCACGUGUCGCCUCCAUAUUUUUCUCGAUUAUUUUUUGCUCCACAGCCACAUCAGCAUAUUUAACGGAAUAAUAAAGCACUUUAUUAGCCGCAAAUAAAUUGGGACACAAAAACAUGAUUUAGAGGAUAAAGUGAAACAAAAUAACUUUCUGGGGGUAUAAUGAGACUAAAGACACUUUCAAAGGGCACUACAAUACAACUCCCAGGUAUUUAGUUAGAUAGGUAUUUAGUUAGAUAGGAAUGCUAGCAAUCUUCUCAUUAUGAACAUCCUCAUUAUGCCUUCUCUAUUCUCCUCCUCAUCAUGAAAUUGGGGUUCCACCAUAAAAUCAAUUGGCAAUAUGGGGAGUAGCCCAAGACCAUAUAAGCACAUAGAAAACUUGUCCCCUCAUCGAUGUGGGACAACUCUCAACACGCCCCCACGCAUGUGUGACUGAUUUUCAAGCCUAACACGUGGACAACACAAUAGGGAGACGUGGAGUGCGGCCGUUGGGCUUCACAUGUGGAACAACCUGGCUCUGAUACCAUGUUAACUACAUUGAAAUGUCUGGGAAUUGAAGAGAAAAUCAAGAAGGAAGAUGAAGAAGGAUGAACACAGAGAUCUUAGAGAGAAAAGUUUAGAGAGAGAAAUAUGACUUGUUUUAAUUGAAAGAAUGAAGAUUACACACUUUGUUUUUAUACUAGUAAGCCUAACAACUCUAAUCAAAUAUUAACAAACUUGCUAACUAUAUUUCUAACUGUAUUUCUAACUUGUACCCUUAAUACUCCCCCUCAAUCUCAACUGGGGAAACCCAGUUUGAGAUUGGAAGAAUUGAGACAAGAUAACACUAAAACUGUAGAUUUAGGAAAAUCACCAUUGGAUUGAUACCCAAACAUCUGUCCACAUGUAGCACUUUGACUAGAGUCACCACUUUGGAUUAGCCUGCUGCAAACAAGAAAGACAAGACUUGAUUAUCUUUGAAAAAAAAAUCCGAAAUUGUUUAUUCAUCUAACACUAAUCCAUGACGAAACCAUAGUUCUCAUUUAAACACUACAAUUUUAACAAUAUUGAUUGAAUAGUUAAACAAUUUCUAAUUUGAUUGAAUUUUGUACUGUCAAUUUUUCAAAAGUGACUUGAAAAUUAGACGAUUGCGGUCAUUAAGAAAUAUGACAAAAUAAAAAAGACAAUCGAAAACGUAAAAUGAGAAAAUUUGAGUGAGGAAUUAAUUAGAUAUUAUUCAUAUGAGGGCCGAAGGGCACACUCUCUAUCUCUCUCUCUCACCAUUGAUCGAUCGGAUUGACGACUUAUAACAGCACAUUACUUGCAGUUUAAUAAAAAGGCAGCAACAUAAAAAAUUCAAGAUGUUUGCGAUCCAAGAAAUUCAUUUCGACCUCAUAUAUAUGUAUGUUGGCCUCGCGCACACAUUAAGCUGAUAAAUAAAUUAGUUUGACUCAAUGUACCUUUGGGAUUAGGGUUUUUUUUGUCCAUUCCCUAGGGAACUAGCCUCAAACUACGACUUUCUACUUUUGGUGAAAUAUAUAGAAUCACUAGACAAUGAUAUAUUCAUUGGAGUCAUUUCAUUAUGACAACUCUCACGCAAGAGUGAGUUCAGGUUGAAGAAACUUGAGGUUCCGUUAUAAAAUUAAGGGAAUUUUAACGAAAAACUUUCGGUACUGUUUAUUUUAACGAAAAACCAUAUUUUUACAAUAAAAAGUCAAUCAUGGUACUAUUCACUUUAUCUUUUAUUUUGUCCUUAUCGUUAAAACUCAAAGUUUUCAAGUUAUUUUUAUUAGUUUUCCUUAAAAUUAAUUGUUAAUAAAAGAAGUAGCGUAGCUUACUUAUUAGUCUUGUAAGGUUUAUUCUUUUUCCGAUAUAAAACUCUUUAACCUUCAUAUCCUCACAUGCGCUCUUACGUGUAAGAAAAAUUUCAAGCUAAACACGUGGGAAACAAUUCAGUGACGUAGAGCACGUGCGGCCGUUGGGCUAAACACAUGGACCAACCUGCUAUGAUAACAUGAAAAUAGUUGAAAUUCCACUAUAAAACCAAUUGGCAAUAUGGACGAUAACACAACUAUAUAUAAGCAUAUGCAAGGUCCCUCAUUUCCCUGAUGUGUGAUCACUCUCAACAUGCCCUUUCACGUGUGACGAAUUUUCACGCCUAACACGUGGACAACACAAUUGGGUGAUGUGGAGCACCGGUGGCAGUUGGGCUUCACACGUGGAUUAACUUGCUCUGAUAUCAUGAAGAAAGUUAAGGUUUCACCAUAAAACCAAAUGGCAAGAGGGAUAGUAGCCCAACUACUUAUAAACACAUGUAAGGUCUCUCAUUUCUCCGAUUGUACGAUUGAUAAACACGCCCCCUCACGUGUGGCGAAUUUUCAAGUCUAACACGUGGGCAGCAUAAUUGGGUAGUGUGGAGCACGUGUGGCCAUUGGGCUUCACAUGUGGGCCAACUAGCUCAGGUACUACGGAGAAAGUUGAGGUUCCACCGUAAAACCAAUUGACAAUAUGGAGAGUAGCCCAACUAUUUAUAACAUGCAAAGUCUCUCAUUUUCCCAAUGUGAAAUUGAUAUCUCAACGCGUGUGAGGUCAAGUAAAAGUAUAUAAAAUCUCAUACUUUGUGAGAUAUGCUCUUUUAAUGACAUGGUCGAACACCCCUUCAAAAUUAACUCUCCUCAUAUUCAUCACAUAUGAUAACGAUUCUUCUUCCGCAUGCUGUGAUUUUAUACACGGCAAAUUACUGAUCAAUAAUUUAUCUAAUACAUAACUUGCAAGAUACUCAUCAUCAAAUUUUCUAUAAUUUUAAUUUUAUCGAUAUCUGUAGCAAUUUGCCAUGUUCAAUUAUUUUUCAUUAAUGUCAGUGUGUGAUAAUCUUCACCCAGCUAGACCACUAAGAGCUACCCUUUUAUAUACAUAUGCAAGUCAAAAAAUGCAGCUCUGCUGAAGUUCUUAAAUAAACCCAGAUGACCACUCAGAUCAUCGUCUUCCUCGCCGACUCGCCGAGUCAUCCCUCUCACUGAUUCUUAUAAAUAGACACCACACUGAAGAAACGGUCAAGCUAGCUAGCCAGCCAUGGCCAUGACUUCAGCUUUCCGCUGCCGCACACUUUUUUGGCUAAUUAUCUUCUUUUUUCUCGUUUUCUUCGUUCUAACCUUCUCACCCUUGCUUCGUGAAAACAAUGUCAUUAUUCCCUUUGUUUCCUCUUUCAAUAGUACUACUACACCUUUCAAUCUGACAAAGAGCAACUGCACAUCCCUACCUCAAGUUUCAUAUUUUGAUGAGCUUCUCACAAGCUCCAUGUAUCAAAGGAGACACAAGGCUAAUCUUACCAAAGUAAGCAUUUCAAUUUCAUUUUUCAGGUUAAUAACAGUUUCAAUUUUCAAAACUUGUUUAGUAACUGUUUUCAUUUUUCAAAAAGUGACCAAGCCAAAUUUGGAAAAUUCAUCACAAAAGAGAGCUUUAUGUUUUAAUUAUUUUGAACAAAAUGAUUAUGAAAUGACCCCCAAGUGUAAUCGUUCUCAUGUAGUUAUUAGAAUCAAAACGAUGGUAAUUAUCUUGAUAAAUUAAUUAAUUUGACUAAUACUUGAUUUUAGUCUAUUUAAUCUUGGUGAUCAGGGUAAGACUAGUUUGGAUACAAUUGAAGAAGGCUUGGCCAAAGCACGAGCUGCAAUUCUUGAAGCAAUUCAGUUUAAAAAGUAUGCAUCACAGAAAAAUGAGACUUUUAUCCCAAGAGGAACCAUUUACAAAAAUCCCUAUGCUUUUCACCAGUUAAGUAAUUUUAAGAUUCUAUGUACAAUACGAUUUAUACUCUUCUCUUUUUUAUCUUGCUAAGUGAUCAUUUGCUUUGACCAAUUAAGAGGGUUUUCUUACUAAGGUUUACUUAAAGUUUGAAUGGCUAGAUUACGAUUGUCAAACUUCAGCUGUGCAACUCCAAUCGUCCACUGCACCAGUGCAUCCUAUACAUUGUCAUUCGUGCAUUCUAAAGUUUUUGCUAACCAUAAUAUGCAUGGUGCAGGAGUCACGUAGAGAUGAUGAAGAGGUUCAAGGUGUGGAGCUACAAGGAAGGAGAGCAUCCAUUAAUACAUUUUGGUCCAGUGAAUGACAUAUAUGGAAUCGAGGGACAAUUCAUUGAUGAAAUAGAGAGGGAGGAAAGCCCAUUCAGGGCUACACAUCCUGAUGAGGCACACACAUUUUUCCUUCCCUUCAGUGUUGCCAACGUUGUUCGCUAUGUCUACAUGCCUAUCACUCGGAAGCAAGAUUACCAUCGCGACCGCCUGCAACGGGUUGUCACCGACAACAUCAGCGUUGUGGCUGAUAAAUAUCCCUAUUGGAACAGAAGCAAUGGUGCUGACCAUUUUAUGGCUUCAUGUCAUGAUUGGGUACGUAUUUAUGUUGCUUCAACUGUGUCAUCAAAAUUUUUUUUCCUUUUUCGUAUGAACCGUAUUGACACUCUGAAAUAGUCAUUUACAAAAUUUCUUAUUUUGAGACCACUAGUAUUCAUUCGUAACUCAGGCGCCAGAGGUUUCAAUUGAAAAUCCUGAGCUUUUCAAGAACUUUAUUAGGGUUCUUUGCAACGCCAACACUUCAGAAGGAUUUUAACUUAAAAGAGAUGUUUCACUGCCUAAAAUCUACUUACCCAAAGGAAAUUUGGACCCACCCAAUUUGGGUCAGGCCCCAAAGAGCCGCCCAAUUCUAGCAUUCUUUGCCGGUCGGGUUCAUGGACCUGUUCGGCCCAUCUUGCUGGAUCAUUGGAAGGACAAAGAUGAUGAAGUUCAAGUCUACGAGAAGCUUCCCAAGGGCCUAAACUACACCAAAUUUAUGGGGCAGAGCAAAUUUUGCUUGUGCCCUAGUGGAUUUGAAGUUGCAAGCCCAAGAAUUGUGGAGGCAAUCUAUGCAGGGUGUGUGCCAGUCUUAAUUUCUGACAAUUACACUUUGCUCUUCAGUGAUGUGCUUGAUUGGAGCAAAUUUUCAGUGCAAAUUCCAGUUGAUAAGAUACCAGAAAUUAAGACCAUCUUACAAGCAAUUCCAUUCGACAAAUAUCUGAAAAUGCAGAAGAGGGUGUAUAGGGUUCGUAGGCAUUUUGUGCUAAACAGGCCAUCUAAACCGUUUGAUGUAAUUCACAUGGUGCUUCACUCAGUAUGGUUAAGAAGACUUAACUUUAAACUCGAGAAUUAAUUAUAUGUAUCAACAUAACUUUUUUCCCCUUUGCUUGUUUGAUGUAAAACUGAGGCCAACAAUGAAAACUACGCCAAUAGGUGACUUGCAAUUUCAAAAUAAUAAAAAAACGUCAUCUUGUUUUCAAUAUUGUCAUUUUUUCCUUCUUUCACAUACGACGUGUAUAAGAUUUAAAUUUGUCUAUAAAUUCCUUGCGAGGCGAAUGAGUUGCUAGUGGCUAUAUGAAUUUGAAUUAUUUCCUUUUACGAAAAAGAAAAUAAUAUUUGUGAUUCUCCUUUUCAACCAUGAUUUGCCAAGAUUCAUAUUCCUAAUGGGUUUCAUAUGCAUAUGGUGAAACGGAGAUUACAUAUAUAAAUUGGUAAAUUUUGUUGUAAUUAGAGUUAUUAUAUAAGUGUGAUUGUGUAAACUUAAAUAAAAUAUAAUAAAAACUAGGAGAUCUUAUCAUUAUAUUUGUACCAUUCGAAAAUUUACUGUAAAUAAAGGCCCGAAACCUAAAAAACAAAUCACAAUCUCGUAUCAGCUGAACCCUUUCUUUUUCUAAGCCGGACCUCCCUUUCUUACUCUCAAACAAAGCCAUAUAUUACAACCUCCACGUACCAAAUUUUCCUUUAUGUAUUUCACAAUUAACCAGUCAUAAUUAAUACAGUGCGUGUAACCCUUAAAUAAAUUAAAGACCAGAAUCAACUCACUCUCACGACAGAUUGUAUUUUGAUUACUUCAUUACUAUGCUACAUAAGUAGGUUCCGCACAUAUUGCACGUAUGUUUAUCACUCCCCAUACCAAAUACAGUGUUCUUUCUCCUCCUCCUCCCUCCAUUUUUUUCUCCUUCAAAGAAGUAAGAAAGAAAGUAAAUCCAUGGCAGAAUUCGGUUCUUCUGCUCACAUUGUUACUGCACUGCUACCAACUCUUUCUCUUUUCCUUUUAUUUAUCUUUUUCUUAUCUCCAUUAAAUCAAACCAACCUUGCCAAUAUUAUUUUCUUAUCACCAUCGUCGUUGCCAUCGUCACCCAUUUCAUCACCACCAUCGCCGUCAUCAUCGUUACCGUCAUAUUUAUUGUCAACCAAUGAAUCAAGGAGUAUCAAUAUUGGAAUAGUGAAGGAAGAACGUAAAAAAGUAUGCCGGGCAAUGUAUUUUUAUUCAGUUUUUUACUUUAAUCAAGUAUUUUUAGGCACAUGAAUACAGAAAAUGAUUUCCACACUCGCUCGUCUCUUAUUUCUAGUCACAACGUUGAAUUAAACAAUGAUCAAAUAAGGGAAUGGAAAUAAGCAGAGGGUACAAGUGGAUAAAAGAGUGUGAAAAUCAUUCCUUAUGAAUGUAUGCACAUGUUUAUCAAUUUGUUUUUGUCACUGAUUACAAUUUUCUCUUCUUUUUUUUUUUUUUUGAUAGAAAAUGAGUAAUUUGGAGAGAAUUGAAGCAGAUUUGGGUAGAGCAAGAGAGGCGAUCCGGAAAGCAGUUCAUGAAAAGAAUCAAACGUCUAAUUACAAGGGAAACGACGAUGUGAUCAUCCCAAAAGGAUCAGUUUACAGAAACGCACAAUCUUUUCAUCAGUUAAGUUCUAAGCACAAUUAUCUCUCCAUGGUUAAUUUUGAUUCAGUGAUGUUAAACUUUCAAUUUGAAUUUAAUUAUCUAUUCGAGGUUUGACCUUUGAUGACCGUAAAGUCAUGGGAAAAAUUAAUUUUUAUCUUUAAUUGUGGACAGUUAAUUGGCAUUAUGAACUUCAUAAUGCUCGUUAAAUCCUGUCUACAGUAAAGUUUCCAUCGAUUCGCAAUAAAAUUAUUGAUGCGUGGUAAUUGUAAGUAUGGAAGUAAAAAAAAAAAAAUCUGCAGUUGCCAAAUUUUCCUAUAUGAAUAAUUCAGAUUUACAAUUUAUGUUGUCCUCAUCACAACUGAGAGAUUUUUUAGUGUAGCAGAAAACGGACUGAGAGAUUUUUUAGUGUGGCAAAAAAAAGGUCCGAUAUACGAAAUGUCAUAAUAUAACUGGUUAAAUAUUUUUUUUAAUAAAAUUAACCAUUUAUAUUAUGACAUUUGAUGUAUCAAGUCGUAUUCUGGGCACACUAAAAAAUUUUCGUCACCAUUAAUUUGAGCAUUCGGUUGGUGCAAGAAAAUCUUCUAUAUGGGGGAGACCGUGAUAGAAUACCAAGGGAUGGUCAGGAUUUUGGCUUUUGGCAUCUGAUAAUUUAUAGUCUUCUAGAUUCAUUUUACUCAAUUGUCCAUUAAUUCGAUUCAAAUUACUAAGCCUAUUUUACGCAUUCCUGUCGAUUCCUUUGCCUUGAUUUCAUGCCAUGCAGCUAGAUUGAAUUUACCCCAAAAUUUGUGCACCUUAAUCAAUGCAUUAUACAGUUUUUUUAGCAUAAUGCAUUAGAUAGUUAACUAAUCGAUUUAUCUAUGAGAAAUUUACGUAAAUGAAUCCAGAUACAAACUUAUAAUCAAAAGUGGAACCCGAGUAACAUGUACGAUGUCAAUACAAAUGCACUAAAUGGUGAUUUCUAUGCGGUUUAUCAAUCUUAUUGAAAGUCAAAAACUAGCUAGUUUAAUUUUUGUAUAUUUUACGUGCUAGAAUUUACCAAAGUCUGACUGAGCACUAUGAUGAUAUGUACGAUCGAUCAGGAGCUACGUAGAGAUGGAGAAAAGAUUGAAGGUGUGGGUUUACAGGGAAGGAGAGCAUCCGCUGGUUCACACCGGGCCCUUGAACGACAUCUACGCCAUCGAGGGGCAGUUUAUAGACGAGAUGGAGAGUGGUAAGAGCCGCUUCAUGGCUCGCCAUCCCGACGAGGCACACCUAUUCCUCAUUCCUAUCAGUGUAGCCAACAUCAUCAACACUCUUUACAAGCCUCUUGUCACGUAUAACCGUGAUCAACUUCAAAGGGUGGUUAUGGAUUAUAUUGGCGUUAUAGCUGAAAAAUACCCUCACUGGAAUAGAAGCCGAGGUGCUGACCAUUUCUUGGUUUCUUGUCAUGAUUGGGUUUGCCUUCUUUCUCUUCUCGAUCUUUCAUUGCUGUCAAAUAGAACUAUUUGUAAUACAUUUACUGAUAAUAUGUUAGAGAUAAAAUGAAUGUGUUGGUCAGUAAAUAUAGUAUAAACAGUUUUGUUUGGUCAAUAUACUUCAUUGUCGAUCUAUACAAAACUAACUAGUAUGUUGGAUUUCAGGCACCAGACAUUUCACAAGUGAAUCCUAAGUUAUAUCGAGACUUCAUUAGGGUUUUAUGCAAUGCCAAUAUAUCAGAAGGGUUUAAGCCACAAAGAGACGUCUCCAUUCCAGAAAUCAACAUACCGUAUGGAAAAUUUGGUCCAACCCCGCAAAAUACAAGCCUCGACAAGCGUUCAAUCCUUGCCUUCUUCGCCGGAGGAUCUCACGGCCGCAUAAGAAAGAUCUUGCUUGAGCAUUGGAAGGACAAGGACAAUGAAGUGCAAGUGCACGAGUACCUAAAAAACAAGAAAGACUACUUCAAGUUAAUGGGUAAAGCCAAGUUUUGCUUGUGCCCUAGUGGGUACGAAGUGGCAAGUGCAAGGGUGGUCACAGCAAUUUCCGUGGGGUGCGUCCCCGUGCUCAUUUCCGAUGACUACGUAUUGCCCUUUAGUGACGUUCUUGACUGGAGCAAAUUCUCCGUUUACAUUCCAUCGAAAAAAAUACCCGAAAUCAAGACAAUUUUAAGGGGGAUUUCGCCCUCGAGGUAUUUGGAACUGCAAAAGAGCGUGAUGGAGGUGCACCGGCAUUUUACGAUCCAUCGCCCUGCUCAACCUUACGAUAUGCUUCACAUGGUGCUUCACUCGGUCUGGUUGAGAAGGCUCGAUGUUUCGUUGCUCUCUUGAUUUACAAUUAUUGGGUGAGAGUUUAGUUCUCCCUAUUGUUGUAGCUGAGGUUUAUAAUUAUUUUUAUGUUUGUUGUUUUCUUAUUCCAUUACCUAUAUACUCGAAAUUAUUAUACUCUUGUCACAUAUAUAGAUAGUGAACAAAAUAAAAAGGGACUGAAGAAUGCAAACAUAUGAAAUUAUCUUUUGAUUUUUUUGUUUGUAUUUAGUGUUACGAAACUUCACAAUGAGUCUCAUACGUAUAUAGAUUUUCAUGUAACGUAAAUGUCAUGACAUAUUUGAUAUUCUUCUGGUAGUUGAUGUAAAAAAACACAUGAUAACAUGCUUAAUUUUGAUAUUUUGUAGCAAAUAGUAUUCUCCAUACAUGUCACAUCUUAUAGCAUCACGAGCCUCCACAUAAUUGCCCCAUUUAUAUAAUUAUGCUAAUAAUGUAAAAAGCACAAUGGUUCGCAACUUAAACUCUUUUGUAUUUAAGUUCGCAUGCUUCUCCUAAUUUAAAUUAAAUUAGAAUGAUACUAGAAAUAUUAUAUUUUUUUAGACUAUACUCUCCAACUAUUAAUUGAUACAUGAUGUGCUUUACAAAAUAUGAUCUAAAAAUAUAAUGUCCUGCAUUCUCAUUUAAUUAAGCUAGAUUAUAGUAUUAAACUAUUGCUCGAAUAAAUAAUAAAUAAAAAAGUAGUUUAGGUUUUUCAUUUUGUUUAAAGUCAAAAUCAAAAGGAGACCGGGUGAUCUGAUACCAAAUAAGAUCCAACCCACUUGAUGACCUAAAGUCGCCGACCCGCCCAACCAGUCCACGCGCACGCUCUUCCAUCCUCGUUCUUCUCAAGCCAAGUGGGCAGCACAGCAGCAACCAACAAGUAAAAGCAAAGAGACUGAUAUUCCUACGCAGCAGUGAAAAAAAAAAAAAAAGCAUCUGCAACGAUGGCCGGGACGACGAGUGCAGAGGAAGCUACCGUGAACCUCCCCUUACCCGACCGCGGCACCCCCAUUCCUUCCGGCGAUCACACCGUCUGGGCCGACGUCUCUCCCCUCCUCGACGCCGCCUGUAAAGGUCAGUGCUUUUCCCCCCUUGUUGAUUGCCCUAAGCUUGAAUCUCAGUUCCUCAGCUGCUCUGUUUGGUUCCCGAGAAAAUGAAGGAAAAUAGUAAAGAAAAGGGAUGAAAAUCCGAAAGCUUAUUGGGUUUCCAUAUAACAUAGUAUUGGACUUUCGAAUUCGAAGUAAAAACAAUUACAUAAAGGAUAAGACUUUAAGUGGACAUAGUAGUUUAAUCGCAUAUUUGUGCAAAAUAAUGUGUGUGUGUGUGUAUGUAUAUAUAUUCUAUACAGGAAUGCAUAUCUGUAUAUGUUGCGAGUGUGCGUGGUUAAAUCAAGAGCAGUGAUUUUGUUUCCAUUAGUUCAAUGCGAUCGUAAGCUUUCGGCUGUUCUUGAAAUCAUUGAUUGAAUGCUGAGUUCGUAUGCCGAAGAUUGUUGAAAUGUCGUAGUGUUUUCUCACGGAGGUUAUUUGGAUGGCAAGGCUUGUGUUGUUGAUUUUCUUUGCAAUUAGACUGUGGACUGUGCAAACCUGUAUUGCUUCUUGUGUAUAGAAUAAGUGUAACAUUUAAGGCAAUAGUUGUGUGUGUAUGUAUGUGCAUAUUUUUAGUUUUAAUGUAGUUGGUCUUGUGGACUGGAUUGGUGUUCUACCCGUUUCUUGGGUUCUUGUGCUUAAUUUGAUUUCUUUUGAUGGAUUUUGGCCACAGAUCUUCAAGAUGGUAUGCUCAUUCACGGAGAUAAUUUCAAUCUUUUUGCUGCCAUGUCUGCCUUGGAGGUACACAUUGUCUGCACUUUCUGUACAUGCAGAAUUAUUGUAAACUGAAUAAUUCACACAGAAUUUAUGAUCUUUGAAUAAGUUGUUGGGAAACAAAUUUAGUGUGAAACUGUUUCUUUCAUUGGAUCACGAGGUGAAUCGCAAUCCAGGAAAUUAAGAAUUAAUGAGUUGCACAAUCUUUCAGUUUAAUGGUUUUGCAUUGUUUUUCAUGUAUUAGCUUAGUCUAUAUUUAACACUUUCUGUAUGUGUUCCUUAUUAGAUAAUGGACCCAAAGAUGGAUUCUGGUAUGGUAUGUAAAUAUUACUCUGUUGAUGAAGCAAUUGAGGAUGGUGCUGCUCCUGUUCCUACUAGCUUUGAUAAAACGGUUGAUGUUCAACGUACUAUUGAUAUCAUGGAUCAUCUUCUAGCCUGUGAGGUAUAUGCUACAGAACUUUCCUUCACUGCUUAGGCUUGAAAAACAAUCUUUAGAUAUUGCUAAUUUGAAGUAAAGCCUUUUUAUGCUCCUUCAAUUAUACUUUACUUGCUUCCUAAUUUCGUAAACCAAGUGUCUUGUUUUUUAUUUGGAAAAGAUGAUAACCAUAUAUUUUUAUUGUAAAAGAUUAGGAUCUGCUAUGAAAUUUAUGCGGACAUCACUGCUACUUAGGGGCUUAAUUAUUAUUUUUUCCUCGUUAUUUGCCGAAAUCUAUUCAUGAUAUAUGUUUUAAAGCACUAUAUUUCACAGUGGGAUUUGUCUGUUCUACAGUCUUUCCUUUCCUUAUGUUUCUAUAUGUAAAUCUUUAAAUUGCAGGCAACAUGGCACAAGGGUCAUUCAUUGGCACAAACUGUCUUCUCGUGCAUCUAUCUUCUCAGGCUUGAUAGGACAUCUUCACAUGCCUUACUGAAUUCGUAUUGCAGAGUCAUACGAGCAACCUGCAAGGCGGUCAUUUCAGUCGUCUCAGAUGCACGCACUCAUGAAGUAAAGUAUUUCAACAGCUCUUUUGGCCUAUGCUGUUUCAGUAUUUCCGCUAAGUUGUAGUAAUUUAUCUUGUGCCUAUGCUGUUUUAGUCCUUUUUAUAAAUACCUAACUGCUCCCACGAGUGAGUUGUAAAUGAUUGUUAUCCUCAGAGUGAAAUAUAGUUUCAUAUUCUGGUGACAAUUCAGUGCAUUUUGUUUUUCAAGCCUAGUCUCUGAAUAGUAAUUUGCAGUGAUGGUAUACUUUUAUAUGUAUUUUUGAAUUUUGAUCAAACUUGUCUCAUUGGCAGGAAGAAGACCUUUUUACAAUGACUUAUGGUCUUCCUUUGAAUGGGGAUGGAGAUGAAAAGUGCUUGUCAAUGCUACAUGCUGUUGAAGAAACAAUUUCCCGCCAAUUACGUGCCUGUAAAGCACCAUCAUCGAAAACCAGAGUGUUAGAAGGUAGAUAUCCAUUCAUUUUCGCAGAAAUAUUACUUUAUCUUGAAUUAUAGCUUGGAACAAAGCACCACCGUCAUCAUAUUCUUGCUUUUUGUUGCAGACUUGGUGUCACUACAAAAUAAUUCUGAAUUGGAGGAAGGUUACUGCAAGGCUUUGUUAUGCCGCUUACGCUUAAGGUCUUACCCUGUGUUCAUUUAUCUUAUAUGCAUCUGCUUCAUCUGGGAACACAUUUCCAUGCAUUUGAAUAUAAAUGCCCCCAUCUUGUAGAAGUUAAAUAAAAAGAGCUCUCUUCUUCUUCUUUCAGCAUUUUUACCAUGUUCUUACAUCUAUGAAGCGGCCUCAAGGGAGAGGAUUGGAGUUGGCCAGAAAACAUAUAGCCUCCUGCAUAUCUGAAUUAGAAUACACUCUUAGCUCUUCAGAGAUCCUUAGAUCUAGUACUUUUGGAAGUCAUGAAGGCAACUUAGAAGAGAAAACUACGGCUUCUGGCUGUGAACCAAUUGGCUUUGAUGCUAGUUUAAACUGUAGAUUAUCUGCCCCUACACCACCACGUGCAAUAAAAAUUCUGAGUUGGAAAAAGGUGAGCAUGAGAUAAUUGCUACCGAUAAUUGUAGUAGUUACUUCCAGUAUUAUGACAUUUUUGCUUUGGUUUUGUUGUACCAGGCUGUUGAAUAUUUUAUUAAACUUCUUCGUGAUCUUGAUGUUAUAUGUUCCUACCCAUUAGACCCAUCAUUAGAAAGUGUUUUGCACUUUGUGGUUGAGUUUCAAAAAUCUCAGCCAGAUUUAGUAGCAAGAGCUCAUCUUCAGGUCGGUUUUGUCAUUUGUUUCUACUUUAUUCUAGAUACUCAUUGCUAAGAGUUCUGUUGGCAUAUUUGUGAAUUAUUGACCUGAAACUUUUGAACAGCGUCUGCUGGUUCAAGACGGGAAACUCUAUGGUAGGGAUCCUAUCUUUGCUGUUAUUAUUCGAGCUGCAGCAUUACCAGAGAGUACAAGGAACCAUGAUAUUCAGAAACAGGAAUCUAUUAUUCAACUGGGACAGGUGAAGUGAAUUCUUUCUCUGGACUGAUUUUAGAUCUCUUUCCAUUUCUGUAUUUUUGGGUUAUGAUAGUUUCAAAAUAUGCUCAUGUUAUGUUAUGGAACUAUUCAUUUGUUUUCUAAUAAGGUGGGUCAAGGGCUAUGAUGAUUUAUCAAUUUUAGCUUGUGAUUAUUUGUGCAUGAGAAGAUAGAACAUUUUUUUUUUGGGUACAAGAUGGAACAAUUAAUGAGACUCUCUCUCUCCUUUUAAGCGUGCAUGCAACAGAGGGGGAAGGCUGGUUUUAGUUUAGUAUGCUUCUAGACACUUACACUGGGUGCUGAUUCUAACACGUGCAAUAUUUUGGGCACUGCAGUUAGUAAUCAAUUUGCUAAAAGUUUUAUGCACAAAUGGUGCAUGGCAACGGCGUAAGCUUGGAAAGAUUUUACAAGAUUGGCGCGUUGUUUUUGUACAGGUAUGCCAAACUAUCUUCAAAUCAAGAUAUUUAUUAGUUUUUCUUCGGUUCCAAACUCAUUGAGUUGCUCAGGCCUGAUAAGGUAUUGUGUUUCUGAAGUGAUAAUCCUAUGAAGCACAUAUAUCUUGUGUCUAUCAUUAUCUAAUUUUCCUGUUUAUCGCUCUACUGAUUGUCCAAAUUGACUGGUGAUUGAAUUUUGUUGGAUAGUUUUAUUUACUUUUUUUUUUAAAUGUUGAUUUGUAGAUAGAGAUGGCCUUCAGAAAGGAGUUUGGAGAAAAUGCAAACAUUUCAAACGAUCAGGUAUGCUGCUCUCUGAGAAUAUUACUUUAAUGUUUUUUCCCGCUAACUUACUUGAUCUGUUAAUCAUCAAAUACACUUGGAUGCAUUCAGGUUCUAGAUAAGAGGCCGAUGACAUCAUCAUUUUUAUUGUCUAAUAACUUGAGAAAUGGCCGUGUUUGUGUUGAUUAUAUUAUCUCUACCUAUGCAGUGUUAAAUCUUCUUGAUGAUUAAAUUUUCCUUCAUUUUUCGUUUGCUAUUCAGUGAUCAUAGUGAAACCUAAAUGCAAAAACCAGUAUAAUUUUGCUUAUCCAAUUUGGAUAUUGGAUUUCUACAGAAUGUCAGCGUGAAAUUAUUCCAACACAUCCUUCUUUGGGUGGAAAAGCAAACAUACUGGAUAGCUUGUCGAUUUCUCAUUUUAGGUUUUGAAUUGGAGCUUUAUUCGCUCAGUGAAUAUUGCAUGGUAUAUUGGUAUAUCUAUGUUGUCCUGAUCAAACUUGCAGAGAAAACAAGUCUUAAGACGGUGGUUUGCAAUGACAGUGGUAAGUAUUUUUAUAUUCUGUAAACUUAAUCAAUAAUUCUGAAUUCUCUUGUAUAUUUGCAUGUGAUAUGGCUCUUCAAAGCUAAGUUACUCUACUUAUGCACCAUCUGGUGCAUCCUGUGUUUUAUGAUCAGGUAAACGGAAAGGAAAGAAGAAAAGGGAUUAUGUUAAAGAUGUGGCACGAGAUUAUAGGAUUCCACCUGCAGUCUUGUUCUUCAGUGCCAAAUAUGUCUUGCUGAAGGACUUGCAAUGGUAAUUGUGCUUUAGUUUCUGAUUUAUGAGUUGAAGAAUGACCACUUCCAGGAAAUACCUUUUAAGAUGGCUGUCUAGAGAAUAAGGUCUCUUUGGGCCUCUGACGGUACUAAGUAAUAUGCUUUUAGGUUUGGACUUUAUCUGUAGCAAUCUAGUUUUGUGGUUUUAUAUCAUCAACCGGGCCAUUUUAUAUUGUUAAUCUAAGGAAAAAUCCUGUCCAUUCCUAGAAUAAAUUUUUGCUUCAACAAUUUCACCAAAAAUCCUCAGUUUAAUGAAUCCAAUCUAUCCAGAUGCUCGCUGCUUUGAAGAAUGACCGCAUGCUUGUACAAAGUCGAAGCCCUUUUAAUACUGAGCAUGAGGUAUACUUGCACGAUCCAGUUCCAAAAAAAAACAUACUUAGAGGAAAUGCAUAUUGGGAACUACUUUAGAAGUCACUGUUUAUAGUUUGCACAAGUUUCUGACCUCGAAUGACAUAUGUCCUUUGUGUUCUCACCAUUUCUUUAGAGGUUUAUUCAGCAGUUUGAGCUCCUACAGAGAGCUUGCAUUCCUGACCACGUCUCAUUCUCCCUGUUUGUGGAAUCUACAACCCAAGCUUGUUUAUCGGUGAGUGAAUUUUCUGCCAACACUGGUCGGAAUUUCCUUGAUAUUCUGGUAGGCUUACUGUUACUUAUUCCUUUUCACAGAACCUAGUAAUGUAUGAUUACUUUAAGGAUGCUCAGAGGAUUGCAAAGGAGAUCAAGAGUAGUUUUUCAAACGACCCAGAAAAAUUGGCCGAACUACGAAGGCUAGAGCAGGUAGCUGAGCACAAUAGCAUUGCCUUAAACGUGAUUAGCCGAGCCGGAGCCCAAGACCCCUCGCUCAAGGUUUCUUUCGAGUUCAACCACCAUCCGUGCUUUGCAACGGCUGUUGUUAGGCGAUCGUGAAGGUGACGUUUAAUUAUCUCCACCAAUUUUGAAACACUCCCUCAAUCCAGAUGCAGUCUUGUAGCAUAGCACUUGUAACAUCAAUCUUUCAAGCAUUAUUUUCCAACUAUUCAUUUCAUUAAUUUUGUAAUUGCAAUGAAUAAAAUACAAAACCAUAUCUAAGUGAGCUCUUGUCCGCUCCCUCUUUCUCAUCGCCAUUUAUUUUCCUGCUUUCUACUUUGUUGUUAUGGGAAGUCAAGUGGCAAAGAAGUGAAUGCGAUGCAAACGGUGACAGUAUCUUAAGCCAAUAACAAACUACAAUAUGUUUUAAUUUUACCGUAUGACAAUGUGUUAUUGAUUUAAGAUAUUAUUCGAGUGGUUAACCAUGGAUAUGUAGUUCUUUACGAGAGGCUUUUUAUUGAAAUUUCUCACUUUAUGGUGAUGAAGCAAAAGAACGUAAAGACGACGUGACUCACGCCCAACUUUGAAUUUGAAUCUGGAUGGAUCCACCUGAGCUAAAGGAAGUCCACCAAAACUUAUUCAAAAUCGAUCCAACGAACACUUUCACCCACUAUGUAAAAUUCUUGGGUCCAGUGGAUGGGCCAUCGCUUGUCAGGCCACACACACAAGGUGAGAGACCUUCCUGCAUUGAGAACGGAAUCGGUAAAGAGUGUGUGGGACACUAAUACAAGAAGGUCUCACCUUUUGUGUGUGGCUAGUCAGAGCAACGUGGUCUUUUUGGCGGACCUAAGAAUUUCUCACAAUUUCGCCAAUUCAUUGUACUUUAGAAGUUCCAAUUUCCAAAUGUUGAAUUUCUUGAUUAGAAGUUUGUAGUUGGACGAAUCAAUUGUCAUUUUUCAUUUGUUUCUUCAUCUAGCAUAGGUUGAAUUAUACGGAUCGGGUCUUUAGACCUCCGAAUUGGCAAAGUCAGCCGUCAAAAGAGCAAACCGACGAAAUUUGGGGCAGCUGGUGCAUGCAUGCAAUCCAUAUAAUAAUACAACAAAAUCUUGUACCAAAAAGUGCUGCCUAGCACUUAGCAGUUGACAUUUUUUAGUUGUUUUUAUCAUGUAUGGUUGAUCGAAGUCUCUUUUUUUUCUUGAUAAGACGAUAUUCUAAAAUCAAAUAGUGAUAUUUGAACUUAAAUACGAAUGUGGUACACAUUAUUUCGAGUUGACCGGCACCUCUGAAAAAUAUCUACAUUGAACGAUACAGAAGGUCCCUCAUAACCUCCAGAUUAGUGGAUUUAGUGUGGGUCCCAGAGUUAAGCUGGAAUUUCUAGAACGUGGUUUAAAAAACUUAAUUAAAAAAUGAAAAUGGUAUUGUUUUCUCAUUGUUAAUUUGGAGGGUGCGAUCGUCUUUUUCGUAAGUAGCUUAGGAAAUUAGGAUCUGUGCCGGCAAUGCAUUCAAAAUGUAAAUUAUAAACCCUAACCAUUUGGAGAACAUAAAUUAACACAAAAAUGCAUUGUGUAGUUCUUUUGGGAAAUUGAGGAUGUGUUAUGGCUUUGUCUAGCUUAUGAGUUGUCUAUUAUGAUGACAAAUUUUUACGCAAGGCAUCUGGAUCACGCAUAAUGUCUGAUUCUUCUCACAAAACAUAAUUUCAUGUAUCUUAAUAUCUCAACCGUCCUAAUUAAUCUUUCUUAGCGUUUGAAUUGUACUGAUCAAUUAUUCGUACCAACGCUUUUCUCUUGUACGACAUUCUAAUUCUACACUAAAGAAUUUUUCGCUUAUCUAAAAUUAACCUCCUCCAUUACAUCACAAGCAAAGAGAGUAAUGUUUAAUAUGUUAUGUAGGUUGUUGUUUUUAAAUGUCACAUCCGUACCAAUGGCUUAAUUUAUGUUUUGUUUGGCUAAAAAUGUUGGCGAGCUAAUAAACUAUAGAAAACUGGCGUGACUUAUCAGCUUUGCUUUUGGAAAAUUUAUCCUACUUUGAAUUCUUAUAUAUAACUAUUUUUCUAUUUAUAUCCUAACUAUUUUUUUUAGAUGGUUGAAUGACUUUUUUUUUCUUUUUUAAUUAAAGAGACCAGUUCGUAACUUGAUCACGACAAUUCAUUAUUCCAAAAAAUUAUGUGCCUUUUUGCGUUUGAAUAAAUCUCUAUCAUUUUUGAAAAAGAUUAUAUCCUAAUUUUUGCAAUACUCGAUGGGUUAGUCAGUAUUUUGUAGUCCAUGAUUGGAAUUAGGAUAAAGAAAUAAAGGGGAGUGGAGUUCCAACUAUUUGGCAACCUGUUUAUUUAGUAUGUACUAAUACAUUUUGCAACACACGUGUCUUGGUCCGACAAGACAACAACAAUUAAGCUUUAUUCCAUUUAGAGGAGUUGACGGUAUAAAUUUUAAAACAUCAUUAUGGUUAAUUUUACGCUAAGUUUUUUGUUAUAUUCUGAAGAGAAAAAGAAUGAUGGCCAAUAAUUGCUGGAAUUUGAUAAAAUUUGAUAUUUGCAUAUGAUCUGGUUGAACGUUAAAGAUGAAUGCUAACUAUAUUUUAAGUUAAAUUAAUCCAUUAAAUAAUAAGUUGGGUGGAAAAUUUAAAUUAUAUUAUUUGCUAAUAAUGGAAAGGCCAGGAUUGAGAAGAGUAGAAUCACAAUUGAUAUUCGAAUUAGUUGGCACUAAUGACUCGUUUGGAUGUGCUUUUAAAAUGACUGAAAGUGUUUUUAGAGAAAAUAUUUUUGGGUUCUAAAAGCACUGUAAGUGUUUUGUACAAGAAGCACCAGUUAUGUGCUUCUUCCAGGAAGCACUUGCAGUGCUUUUUCAAAAUUUACUAACAUUUUUAUUAAGGAUUGUUUUUAAAAAUAUUUUCACUAUAAGCGUUUUCAGUUAUUUUAAAAGCACAUCCAAACGAGCUCUAAGUGUUUUUCUUGUUUCUAAGCAACUUCUAUUUCUUGUUCUUGGACCAUGGUUUUUCAUAUGGUAUGGAUUGAAUUGGACUCUAGAUUAGUUCUAAAGCGACUUCUAAAAUAUAGAUUCAUUACUAACGUUCUUGCAUUUCUUAAAACAUUCUCAUUUGUAUCGUUUAUUAGCUCUCAAAGUGACAUCGUAACAAAUUUUGCUAAUUCAUGCCUUGUUGCUAUGGAGUUCAAAAUUUUACUUCAUGUAAUAAUAUCAUUUUGAAAAGAAAAAAAAUCUUUAUAUAUAAAUGAGCAAAAAAAUUAACUUUCAUUUUAGAUCAAAUUGGAUUUGCUACUCAAUUAUGACUUGAUUAAUCAUUAAUUGUUUGAUUAAUUAAGACGUACUCAAGGAAUGUCCAAUUAACUUAAACUGGGCAAAAAAAUUAACUUUCAUAUUAGAUCAAAUUGGAUUUGCUACUCAAUUAUGACUUGAUUAAUCAUUAAUUGUUUGAUUAAUUAAGACGUACUCAAGGAAUGUCCAAUUAACUUAAACUUUUCCUAAAUGAUUCUUUUUCACUCGAUACAAAUGUAAUGUAAAAACGUUUUAUCAAUCUUUAUUCAUAUAAUAAAAAAUCACAUUUUUCAUGGCCAAAUGAAAUUCACUAUAUUCAAGAUAAGAAUAAUACAACAACGACAACAACAAUUUUUUCUCAGGUCUUCCUUUACUCUUUUUAUCCCGAUAAUUACGAGUACUUCGUAUCUUUUAUUAAAAUCUCUUCAAAAUAAGAAUAAUAACUAGUUAUUUUUGUAUCUUUCUCCUUUGCGAAUUUCUUCAUUUCACAUCUAGUUAUUUUUUGUGCAGAUUAUUGUUAUAAAAAAAAAAAAACGUAACUCGUCAGAUUGUGCAGUUCUUAUUUUUACUUAGUCAGAAAAGGUUUCAGGUUCAACGUUUAAAAAUACAAUAUAAUAUUUAUGUGUUAAUGAGAUCAUGUUUAGGGCAUUUUGAAUUUACUUUAAAAGAGUAAUAUUAGAUAGACCAAUUCUUUAAAUCACAUUUUGUAAAUUAUGUGAUGUGACAACAAUAAGAAAUAAAAACAUUAAUCAAUAUUUAAAUAAUAAUUCAUUGUUGACGAUCAUGUUAUAUAAUUUACAAAAUAUAAUUUAAAUGAAUAGUCUCUCUGGUAUUAUUCACUUUAUAAAAAUCAUAUCGUUUGUGAAAAAAUAAAAAGAAAAGAAUAUAAGAUUUAAAGGUGGAGGGGAGUAUAAAAGCACGGAAGGAGGCAUCGUAGAGAAUUAUUACCCCAUCUCAGACAGCCGUAUUUUCUGUUCUUCUGACAGACGGGAAACUUCAGUUAAACUAAUUAAAUAAUUAAACACAAAGAAAUUUUAAAUUUUAAAUAAAAAAGAAAGUAAUGGUCGAAGACGCCGACGGGCCACCCAAAACCGAACUCAUCCUUCUGGUCGACUUUUCUUCUUCUUCUGCUGCUCUCUCUCAGAAUCUCUCUCUCUCUCUCUCUCUCAUCAACUGGUUCUCAGGUAAGUCAUGUCCUCCGAUCUCUCUCUCUCUCUCUUCCAGCUUUCCCUCUCCUCUGCCAUUUUUCGCUUAUUUCUGAGCUGCCACUACUGAUUUCUGCAGCUGGGAAAUUUGACUUUUGGUGUUUGGAUUACGAAUUUUUUUUAUUGGAAUUCAGUCGGUGAUAAGUGUUUUAUGCUGAACUAUUCAACUUUUUAGUGUGUUAUGUGGUUAUCCGUUCACUUUUUAGCUAAUUGGAUCUGAAUUAUGAAGUUGGAAUUUGGAAAUUUAGGGUUUCGUGUAGCUUGUUGGAGUUUUCUGUCAGCUUGUAUUUGAAAUUAUCGUAAAUUUAAUUUUUGGAGUGGUGGGUAAGCUGAGUACUAUAGUUUGAUUUAGUAUUUUGGAUAAUUUCUUCUUAUUUAUUGGUUGUGAUUUGUGGAAUGGAGAGAAGAUUGAGUUUUUUGGGUUCCGUUGAAGAUUGGAUUUUCGGUAGAUAAAGGAGAGGGAGAAUGUCGGGAGGUACACAGAAGAGCAUCAGGAAAGCUCUUGGAGCCCUCAAGGACACCACCACAGUUUCAUUGGCUAAAGUCAAUAGUGAUUACAAGGUAUUAUGGUUUGUUUGUGGUUGUUUUCGAUGGUUCUCGCUGUUAUGUUGUAUCCGAUUUUCAUGAUUGGGGAUUGAUUCUUGCAGGAGUUGGACAUUGCGAUAGUCAAGGCUACGAAUCACGUUGAGCGUCCAGCUAAGGAAAAAUACAUUAGAGGUAGAUUCUCUCUCUGAAGAUGAGCUGCAUGUUGUACUUUUCAUGAUCUGUAUCUGGAAGAAAGAGUUGGUAAAUCAUGACUGAUACGGUUUAUGUUUGUAUUCUUGUGAAGCCAUUUUUGCUGCUGUUUCUGCUACAAGACCUCGUGCUGAUGUCGCAUACUGCAUCCACGCUCUUGCAAGGAGAUUAGCAAAGACACAUAACUGGGCGGUAUGUGCAUUUACUCAUCUGAUAAACAUACAAGAAUUCAUCCAUAGCCAGGAACUUUUUGUUUCUAUAUCUAUAAUAGCAAUAGUCCUCAUCUUCAUUAUCAUUCUUAGACAAAUAUAGCAAGGUGCAUUUUUUUCUUGCUUGAAAUUUCACAAACUGAUUAUUGGUUGGUGUUUAGGUUGCAUUGAAAACUUUAGUUGUUAUUCAUCGUGCUUUGAGGGAAGUGGACCCUACAUUUCACGAAGAACUCAUGAAUUAUGGUAGAAGUCGAAGCCAUAUGCUUAACUUAGCUCAUUUCAAAGACGAUUCCAGUCCAAAUGGUACCUCCAUAUCUCCCUGUCUCUCUUUCUCAUACUAUUUAUUUAUUCAAAAACUGACCUUUCACUGCCCAGCAUGGGAUUAUUCUACCUGGAUCCGUACUUAUGCCUUGUUCUUGGAGGAGAGACUGGAAUGCUUUCGUGUGUUGAAAUAUGACGUUGAGAUGGAUCGCCCAGUAAGAAGUUUAUUUUCUUUGUCAUCUUUGUUUUGGCUUAUUCUUCCAUUUCAAUUACAUAAUUUUGUCAUAUGGCACAUUGACAUUUCAAAACCGUUUAAUUUAUCAGAAUCUCAUUUACCUGCAAUUGCUUUUAAUUUUUCCCUCGAAGCUUUAUUGCUAUUUUUUUAUUCACACAUUCAAGUCACAUUCUUAUCCCUAAGCUUUGUUUGCAACUUAAUAGUUAACAUUAUGGUGCAGAGGACCAAGGAUCUGGAUACUGCCGAAUUGCUUGAGCAUUUGCCUGCCCUGCAACAGCUUCUCUUUCGUGUACUUGGUUGCCAGGCAAGUCUCAUAUAUCACCACUUCAAAAUCAAUGGGUUUAUCGUAUGGGGCCACUAAUGCUUAAACACGAAUAUGGGUUCAAUCAUGUGUCAGUUAUUGAAAUAUUGUUGACAGAACCAAUUUUAAAUUUUGCAGCCGCAAGGGGCAGCAGUCCAUAAUUUUGUGGUUCAGUUAGCACUUUCAAUGGUAGGUGACCCUUGCAAUAAAUUCUAGCUGAAUGACUAGCCAAUAUGAUUUCUUUUCCUCUGAUUGUCUUCUGUCAUUAAAUUAGGUUGCUUCUGAAAGCAUCAAGAUUUAUCAAGCUAUAAGUGAUGGAACAGUCAAUUUGGUUGACAAGGUAGGAUUUGAUCUUUGCUAUGUUGGAAUAUACCAUUUGAAGGUUGCACUAUAAGCUAAUUAUGUACGAUGAUGAUUAAUUUCACAGUUCUUUGAGAUGCAACGCCAUGACGCUAUGAGGGCCCUGGAUAUAUAUCGGAGGGCAGGGCAGCAGGUACUUUUUCUGCAAAUAUCUCUGUUCUAAUCGAUGGAGACUGGGGAGUUACAGUAUGCAUCAACAUUUAAAUUUUCAUCUACAUGUUUCAGGCAGAGAGACUGUCAGAGUUUUAUGAAGUAUGUAAAAGUCUUGAUAUUGGGCGCGGAGAAAGGUUUAUUAAGAUUGAGCAGGUGCCUUUGUACUAGCAUUUCCUUUUACUACACAUUGCAUUCCUUGGACAAUUUAUAAUUUUCUCAAUUUGAUUUCAUUUUGGGUGAUGUAGCCUCCUGCAUCGUUUUUACAAGCCAUGGAAGAGUACGUGAAAGAAGCUCCCCGGGUCUCAACAGUUCGCAAGGAUCAGGUAUGAAAGUGCUACCUCUUUAGUUCAGUUAUUUUGGAAGAGAUUUGCAAUGUUAUUCCUGAUUAGGAAAGCGAAUAGUGGAUAAUCAGAUGCCCUUAUUAGCAAAAGCUAUGGUAACCUGUUUGACAUACCUAAGUGGUUCAACCAUGAAAAAAUCGGAUCCAAGUUCGGCUUUUUGAAGCUGUUGUAGUACUUGUGAAAAUACUUAAAUAAACCUUCGUCAACUCUCUACCAGCCGAUGGAAAAUGAUGUAUUGGCUACUCAAUUUUUAAUCUGGCAGGUGGUUGCCCCCAAAGAAAUCUUGGCUAUAGAGUACAAAAAGGCCCCAGAGGAGGAGGUGCGUCCACCUUCACCACCUCUACCUGAACCAGUGAAAGUUGAACCGGUGAAAGUGGAAGCGCCUGUAGCUGAACCGCCUGAUUUGCUGGUAGUACACAUAACCCUUCUUGAGUUAUUCUCUCUUGAAUAUUGGCAUUUUGUAGUCCCUCUGAAGUUUAAUUAAGUAUGCUUCCUUUGUUGCUAGGGUUUGAAUGAUCCUGUUCCAAAUACUAAGGAGUUAGAUGACAAGAAUGCACUGGCCUUAGCGAUUGUUCCAGUUUGUAAGCUCUCUCUCUCAAAAAUGAUCUAUAGCUCAUAAUUAUCAUCAGAAUGUUAAGGUUUAAACUAACCAUAGAGGCAGUUUGUUUUUUCUAUGAAACAUGCACGAAACUCGUUAUCUUCUUCUUUGGUUAAGAAGAAAACACACUAAAUAAAUUUGAUGUUCAAAAAUGCUAUUGUGGUUCUUGCAGCGGAUCAACCAACUUCCACGGCUCCAACUCUAGCAAAUGGAGCUACAGGUUGGGAAUUGGCACUUGUUACAGCACCGAGCUCAAAUGAGAGUGCCGUGGCUUCUAGCAAACUGGUACGCUUCUCCUACCAAUUUCCCUUAUGUUAAUGUUUACAUGUAUGACAAUUAUUUAGUCAGUACACUUCAUUUCUCUUUCCUUUUUCUCCCUUAAUGACACCUUUCAAAUGUUGAGUGAAGGCGGGAGGGUUAGACUUGCUUACACUAGACAGCCUAUAUGAUGAUGCAAUCAGACGAAGCAAUCAGAAUGUGAGCCACAACCCAUGGGAGCCUGCUCCAAUGACUGGUGCCAUGAUGCAACAACCAGUUCAUGACCCCUUUUAUGCAUCCAACAGAAUGGCUGCACCGCAUUCUGUGCAGAUGGCAGCAAUGGCAAACCAGCAGCAGGCCUUCAUGUUGCAGCAACAGCAGCAGCAGCAGAUGAUGAUGAUGGGCCAACAACAGCAGAUGUCUUCGAAUCCUUUCGGAACUCCUCACGGAGCCCCCACCCACCCCUAUGGCCCUGGCGUCCCUGUCCAAGCAUACAACCCAUAUACAGGCCUUUUAUAAACGAACCAUACAAGCAACAGAUUUUUAUCAAGAAUUACAGCCGGAGAAAGAAAGGGACAUGAACAAAUAGUGAGUUUUAGAUGUCUGAGGCAGCCGAUCUUCUGAGGGAGAGACGUUUACCAUGUGUUUUGUAUGUGAGGUAGUUGUUAGCUAGGAUUAAGAUUCUUUGCUAAAUAAACAGUCAGAGGGAGGAGUUUGAGCUACUUGGCGAUUCGCGUUGAAGGUCGAAAAUAAUGUUAUUCAGAUGGAGUGCAGUAAAUUCUUUUGACAUGCUCAGUUGUUGCUGACAAACUCAGGCAGGAGAUGCUUGUGUUUCUGUUUUUCCUGUUCUUUUCCUCCCUCUGUAAAGUGAUAGAAAAUAAUUAUUUGUAAAAUUUGUGAUUGUUGAUAAAUAUGUAACAAGGAUAUACAUGAAAUUUGAUUUGUGUGUAUAACUUGGCUAUUUUUAUUAAUUAUUAUUCAUUUGGACAACAUUUUUAUUCCUCCUUGUUUACUAUUAUACUAAAAUAUGGCUUUUGUUAUGGUAUAAUUACUUGUUUGGAUUGUUUAGUUCACUAAACCGACUUUAAAAUGUGUUGUAAGUUUUAACUCAGCUUUGGUGAAAGUUUCACGAAAAUAUUGAUCUAUAAUGAAUUUUGACAUAUUUGCAAAACCGAUUAAAAGCUGCGAGUUAUUAUUCACAAUUCUAGUAAAAAAAAAUGUGAUUUUUAGUUUAAACAAGACCAAGUGACUACAUGGCAAGGAAAAUAUUUUGAGAGUUUUAACGAAACACUUCCGCUACUGUUCACUUUUAACAAAAAACCAUAUUUUUACCUUUCUUGGUACUAUUCACUACACCUUUAUUUGUCAUUUGUCAUUAAAAUUAAAGUUUUUUUGAACUUUUCGUUAGUUUUCUAAAUAUUUUACGUCAACCAAAAACAAUUUUAUUUAUUUGUCAUUUGUCAUUAAAACCUUAAUAGUAUUCAAAGUUUGAUCAAAGUCCAUUGACUUUAUACACCUCAUUAUAUUACUAUUAAUAUUUAUAUUUUUAUAGUUUUGACAUUAAUUGUUUGAUAUUUUAUGAGAUUUAUAAUCCCUCAUUAUAAUUGUAGACAUCGAAAUUUCGGUAAAUAAAUGUUGACCGAUAAAUCAAAGUUUCAACGCUCAUGUAUUACAUAAAUUUUACACGUAGCGUGUGUCUAAACAAAAAAUCGAAAUAAGUUGGAAAAGUCAUCAAACAGGACACGUGUCAACACCUGGCAGAAACGACUUAUUUCAUCUGAAAUAUUAUAUUCAAAAUUAGGCCUUGGAAAAUUCUAUAAAUAGAAGGCUAAUUCAUUCAUUUGGGGGGAACCAAAAUCAUUAGGCAAAAUUCUUGAAGCUCUGAAGCUCUGAAACUCCGAAGCUCUCAAGCAUCCAGGUUCCCGAAGAAUCAAGAAAGCUCUCUUCGUUCUUCGUUCAUCGUUCAUCCUAAGAUCAAGCCCCAACGACCCUUUGGAUCAACAAUCAUCCACCAAUUCAAGAUCAAGCCCCGACGGCCCUUGAAGAAAGCUCUCUUCGUUCUUAGUUCAUCGUUCUUCCAAGAUCAAGCCCCGACGACCCUUUGGAUCAACAACAUCAACAAAUCCACACAACUGUUCAUCCUAAGAUCAAGCCCCGACGGCCCUUUGGAUCAACAACAUCAACAAAUCCACACGUCCAACCGUUCUUCAAGAUCAAGCCCAAAAGCCCUUGAAGAUCCGUUCAUCACUGUUCUUCAAGAUCAAGCCCAAAAGCCCUUGAAGAUCCGCUCAUCACUGUUAUUCAAGAUCAAGCCUCAACGGCCCUUGAAGAAACACUCAUCCUCAAGAUCAAGCCCCAACGGCUCCUUGAAGAUUCGCUCAAAUCCACCUUCAAAGAUCAAGCCCACGACCCUUGAAGAAACUUCCAACAGUUCAUCCAAAAUCAAGCCUCGACGGCCCUUAGAUCAACAAAACAUCCACAAAUCAACAUCUUACGGAGAUCGAAUCAGAGGAUCAAAUUAGAGAGAGAUUGUAACCCAAAAAUCAUCAAAUACAAAUAUUAUUUUGUGCACGUUGUUCUUGUCUCUUUCGUUUCAGGAAAAAUUCGUGUUCACAAAUUUGGCACGGCCAGUGGGACAAUCUCUACCUCUUAUCUCUUUCUCCGUUCAAGGAAUCCAAACACACCUCAAAGUCAAUGGCAUCAAGCAAGGGACAAGCCGUUCUCGCAACCACUGAGGGAAGGAUCCUAAGCACUUCUGCCGCAAACAGACAAUCCAUUGGCGCCACAACCGCUCCUCAACAUGCCACUUCAAAGUUGGUGCUGCUAAAGGAGCAAGGGGAGCAUCAAAGGCGCGAGUCCGUCAUCAACCUGACCUCGCUGGGGGCACCGAAGCAUAAUGCUGAGGCACAUAAGAUGACAUCCCAAAGUAGCCAACGACGUUCUUCAUCAGCAUCCUGGAUGUCUAAAGGAAAGUCACGUCUAUUGGUCGCACAAGUCAUGACUAUCGGCGUUACCUCCAUUGAAGAACAACUGGCUCAAAUGAAUGAAGCGAUUGCAAGGCUAACACAGAUUGUGGAAGAAAAAGAUUUGCAAAUCGCUGCACUCGUCAGCCGACUGGAGCCACAGGACGGCGAGAACCCUAACCCAGAAGAUGAGCCUAUGGUGGAAAGAAUCGAUGUGAAGCUGGAGCCAGACCAAGCAGCGGCACUCAUGGGAUCUCUUUCUAUCCAGCAGCUGCAGGAGAUGAUCACCAACACCAUCAAGGCACAGUACGAAGGGAGCUCAAAUACCUCCGGGUUAUACUCGAAGCCGUAUUCAAAGAAGAUUGACGCCUUAAGGAUGCCGAUGGGUUAUCAACCGUCAAAGUUCAUGCAAUUCGAUGGAAAGGGAAACCUGAAACAGCACGUUGCCCAUUUUGUUGAAACUUGCAACAACGCAGGGACCGAAAGGGACUACCUCGCCAAGCAGUUUGUGCGCUCGCUGAAAGGAAACGCCUUUGAGUGGUACACGGAUCUAGAGCCUGAGUCCAUCAACAGUUGGGAGCAAUUGGAGCGGGAAUUCCUCAACUGCUUCUACAGCACCCGCAGCACUGUGAGCAUGCUAGAACUGACGAGCACAAAGCAAUGGAAGGACGAGCCAGUCAUUGGCUACAUCAACAGAUGGCGCACUCUAAGCCUUGACUGUAAAGACAGGCUAUCGGAAACCUCUCAAUCGAGAUGUGCAUCCAAGGCAUGCAAUGGGGUUUGCAAUACAUCCUUCAAGGAAUUAAACCAUGGACCUUUGAAGAGCUAGCCACCCGCGCCCAUGACAUGGAGUUGAGCAUCGCCCAUCAUGGGAAGAAGGAACCGAUCACCGACUACAAGAACGACAAAGUUCUUGAGACAAAUGUGGAGAAGGCUACGUGGAAAUCCACCAAGGAAGCAAUGACAGUCAACAUAUCUCCCGUCAAAAUCCCUGCACGAGGCAAUGCGAUUCAAGAUGAAGCUUUUCGUGAUCAAGAGAUGCGUAGACGCACUUUGAAGGAACUUGAGGAAAAAACUUAUCCAUUCCCCGACUCUGAUGUGGUUGCCAUAUUAAAAGACUUAUUGGAAAAGAAGGUGAUCGAUUUGCCUGAAUGCAGACGGCCAGAAGAGAUGAAUCGCACCGACAGUCCAAGGUACUGUAAAUUCCACCGCUUCAUCAGUCAUCCAACGGAAAAAUGCUUCGUACUGAAAGAUCUCAUCCUGAAGCUAGCACAACAAGGGAAAAUCGAGCUUGACCUCGAAGACACGGUUGCGGUACACAUUACUACUAUCGUGUUUGGAUCACUCGAUCAUGUGCCUUUCCGAAGCAUGCAUGACCAUUCCCGUCAAUGUUCAAGUCACACGGCACUUCCUACACAACCAUCACCGGGGGCAAGCAACCAAGAUGCAUCUACCGGUAAUAAGGAAUGGUGGACAUCGACGACCUACAAAAAAACAAGGAAGCCAAGACCACAAGCCACAAGGCCAAAAGAGGAGCGUAAACCCGCCCCUCGAACUUUAGUCUUCGACAGGCUGGAUCAUUCAAAACCUAGAAUUUCGACACUUGAUCGCAUCAGUGGUCGAAACUGAACUUCCGUCUUCAAAAGGCUUAAGACGCCAACACCGCAAAGAUCUGUCUUUGAAAGGUUAUCAAAACCCAAGAAACAAAGCGGCAAAGCUAGAUCUCCCCCGCAACAGUCGGUUGCGGACAGACUUGAAGAAACUAAUAAGUCUUCUAGAAACAGGAAGACAACACCAAAGGGAGAAAAGCUCGACAGUCUAGCAGGAAAAGACGAUGUUCAAAGCUUGAUUCCUUCAAGGAUGAAGCGCCAAACAACUUUGGAAGUCGACACAAAUGACCAUUGAAGGUAAGGAGGCGCACCAUCAUCUACACCGGCCAAUCUUCACGCCAACAAACCCAAGAGGAUUGCACUGAAGAAAAGGCCCAAGAAGACAAAGAAGACAAAAUCCCUGAAGAAGACCUCACUUCCAGCUCUGUCAACUUAAAAUCUUCACCUCAAUCGUUGGGGGCAUGCUCCAAAACCAUGCCAGUCAAGCCAAGCGAAGUUGAAGGAUGGAUUCAUGUCACUCCGAAGAAACUGCACAAGAAGUAUAUGUCUUCUCCACAAGUGCACCAAUCAGAAAGGGAGCAAAGCAUCUUUCGUCAACCUCCAGAACAAUGUGAAAGUGUUGGAGAUAAUGAAACUUUGACACAAAGAUCAUCCAUCCUCAUCACGAUGUGUGACAUCUUUCCUGAAGACUUCUUCAACUACUCAGUCAAGGCUCAUUGCUAUGAAGAUUGCGAGGAACAACUCUCCCGGAUUGCUUGACAAAAUUCACAAAUUCUCCUCGCCCGCACGAGUCUAAACUGCAUGGCACAAAGCUCCUGGUCUGCACGAGCAUAAAAGGCAACAUCAACGCUCCUGGUCUGCGCGAGCAUAAAAGGCAACACCAAAUGCUCAUUGUUUGCACGAGUUGAAACUGCAAACGACAUCAACGCUCCUGGUCCGCACGAGCAUAAAAGGCGACACCAAAGCUCCUCGCCUACAUGAGCCUAAACUGUACAUGGCAACAAACACUCCUUGCCUGCAUGAGUUGAAACUACAAACGGCACCAAAGCUCCUAGCCCGUAAGAGCAUAAACUAUGUACGGCAAAAUCAUCAUCAAAAUCACUAUAAAAAUCAGCACUCGACGGGAUUUCAGAGAUCGAAUAGGAGAGCUCAGAAUUCGAAGAGGCCAAUUCAAAAAUCGAAGAGGUGCUAGCUUUCUCAAAAGCUGGGCUUGCUCGAAAACCACGGGCCAAUCUUCUUUUCCAGACACGUCAGCACCCGUCACACACAAACUUAGCUUUACAGAAAUCACGGGCAAUUUGUCGAAGCGCCGAUCCUAGAUAUCGAAGAGGCGCCAGUCUUUUUCAGCCGCGUCAACACCUGUCAUAUGCACACUCAACUUUGCGCAAAUCACGGGCAAUUUGUCGAAGAUUUUCGGUGAAGGAGAAAACACGUGAAGUUUACUGUUCAAUCAUCCAACGGUUGCCGACAAGAGUGAAAGAACAGUACCGGUUAUUAAUCCAUAUAAAUGUCCACCUUCACCCUUCAUAGCAAGGCAGACAUACAGAACCUUUCUUCAUCUCCGAGAAUGCUUUCCCAAUGAAGCCUCUCGGGUCACUCAGUGUUCCUUAUUCCUUGGGGUACCUCUGCAAGCCAAUGACUCCAAAGCAAAAGUAUUUCAUAUCACCAGGGUAGAAAGCAAGAGUAUCUCAUAUCAUGCGUUCUCCCUGUCCUUUCCUUUGUCCUUGUUCUUACCUACAAAGACAAGGAUAAAGAAAACAAUAUGCCGGAACUUCCACUCAAACUCGGGUAAGGAACCGACUGCUGGGAACCCUUCCCUGAUUGCCUACUUAGCACUGCUCUCGAGUACUCGUCUCCCACUGCUGCUGUACUUCCAAAGAAGCUGCCACAUCUGCCUGAAGAACAGAUAAGGCAAGUGAAAAUGAUACCUUGCAGCAUGUGGAGACAACGUGCAGAAGAAACAAGCAGAGAAGAAUGCAGCCUGCACAAUCAGCUCAGCAGAAGGGGUCUGAGCUGAGGAACUCAAGAAGCUGCCACAUCUGCCUGAAGAAACAAGCAGAGAAUAAUGCAGCCUGCACAGUCAGCUCAGCAAAAGGAGUCUGAGCUGAAGAACUCGAAAAGAUGCUACAUUCUGCCAGAAGAAUAGAUAAGACAAGGGAAAAUGAUACAUUGAAGCAUGUGGAGACAAGCACAACAAAGCACGUGCCGAUUCAUCCGCUACUUCUUCAAAAUCAAAAGUAUCUCAUAUCAUCAGGGUUGCAAUCACUCUGGACGGUGAACUCGUUUUGACCCUCAAAUUCUUGGGUCGACUUACUAGGCGUUGUGGGCUGCACAUGCCGAUUCACCACCCUUGAAUCAAAUCCUUAAAGAUCAAGUCACCAACUGGAAGAAGAGCCCAUCAAUCUUGAAGAUCAUACCGUUGACCAAACUGCUCAGGUGUGAAUUAGAAAGAUUGAACAAAGCAACAAGUCGUCACCUUCACCUUGUGCCUGUUUGCCAUGUGUUCGAGUCAACCUUCAAGAAUCAAGCCUUAACGGCCCUUGAAGAAGCUUCCAGCCAAAUUCAAGAUCAAGCCUCGACGACCCUUGAGGAAAUCACAAGUCCGAUUCAAGAUCAAGUAUCUACCACCUUUGAAUCAAAUCCAGUUCAAAAAUAAGCUGUGGAAAGUCAACAAUUGGAGGAAACCAGAAAAUCCUCCAACCCAGUUCAAGAAUAAGCUGUGGAAAGUCAACAAUUGGAGGAAUCCAGAAAGUCCUCCAACCCAGUUCAAGAUCAAAGCUGUGGAAAGUCAACAAGUGCAACAAAAUACGUGCCGAUUCAUCCACUACCAAAGCCAAAGAUCAUCUACCACAUGAAGCUCAUUGUGGUCCAAUUUCAACCUUCAAGAUCAAGCCUCGACGACCCUGGAAGAAAUUUCAAUCAAAAGUUCAAGAACAAGCCUUAAACGGCCAUUGAAGAAAUCUCAAACAAAGUCCAAGAACAAGCCUCAACGGCCCUUGAAGAAAUCUCCAGCCCAAUUCAAGAUCAAGCCUCGAUGGCCCUUGGAUCGACAUCUACAGUAAGGGACUUCAAAACGCAUCUCCUACACGUGACAAGCACAUGUAUACGACGCGCCUUGAAGUGGGGGCAUUUGUAGACAUCGAAAUUUCGGUAAAUAUAUGUUGACCGAUAAAUCAAAGUUUCAACGCUCAUGUAUUACAUAGAUUUUACACGUAGCGUGUGUCCAAACAAAAAAUCGAAAUAAGUUGGAAAAGUCAUCAAACAGGACACGUGUCAACACCUGGCAGAAAUGACUUAUUUCAUCUGAAAUAUUAUAUUCAAAAUUAGGCCUUGGAAAAUUCUAUAAAUAGAAGGCUAAUUCAUUCAUUUGGGGGGAACCAAAAUCAUUAGGCAAAAUUCUUGAAGCUCUGAAGCUCUGAAACUCCGUAGCUCUCAAGCAUCCAGGUUCCCGAAGAAUCAAGAAAGCUCUCUUCGUUCUUCGUUCAUCGUUCAUCCUAAGAUCAAGCCCAAACGGCCCUUUGGAUCAACAAUCAUCCACCAAUUCAAGAUCAAGCCCCGACGACCCUUGAAGAAAGCUCUCUUCGUUCUUCGUUCAUCGUUCUUCCAAGAUCAAGCCCCGACGACCCUUUGGAUCAACAACAUCAACAAAUCCACACAACUGUUCAUCCUAAGAUCAAGCCCCGACGACCCUUUGGAUCAACAACAUCAACAAAUCCACACGUCCAACCGUUCUUCAAGAUCAAGCCUAAAAGCCCUUGAAGAUCCGUUCAUCAUUGUUCUUCAAGAUCAAGCCCAAAAGCCCUUGAAGAUCCGCUCAUCACCGUUAUUCAAGAUCAAGCCUCAACGGCCCUUGAAGAAACACUCAUCCUCAAGAUCAAGCCCCAACGGCUCCUUGAAGAUUCGCUCAAAUCCACCUUCAAAGAUCAAGCCCACGGCCCUUGAAGAAACUUCCAACAGUUCAUCCAAAAUCAAGCCUCGACGGCCCUUGGAUCAACAAAACAUCCACAAAUCAACACCUUACGGAGAUUGAAUCAGAGGAUCAAAUUAGAGAGAGAUUGUAACCCAAAAAUCAUCAAAUACAAAUAUUAUUUUGUGCACGUUGUUCUUGUCUCUUUUGUUUCAGGAAAUUUUCGUGUUCACAAUAAUACUAUUAGAAAUGGUUGCAAUAAAAAUAUUCAAACAUUUUGAUUGAAUAAAUGGAUAAAAACUAUGUAAAAAUAAUAAAUAAUAAAUGGCAAAAGAAUGUAUCCAUAGUGUUAAAAAAAUUGGUACAUUUUUACAAACAAAUUGGUACAUUUCACAUAUAACAAAGUGGUACAUUAAUAAAGAAGAAUGGGUACAUUAGAAAUAAAUUAGGGUACAUAUAAAAGAUUAAAAAUUAUAAAUACAAAUGAAUUUUUAAAAAUAUAGGCGCUAAAAGAAAUUAAUACAUGUGUACAAAAUAAAACUAAAAAGAAAAUACUACAAAUUUAAAAAAAAAAUGUUGCAAAUUAAAAGUGGGUACAAACUAAAAAUAUAAAUAUAUGAUACAAAGUUUAGGCAUAAAACAUAAAUAUACCAUAUGUAAUUUUUCUAUCAUUGAUUAAAUGUCACGUGACGGUAUACACAUGACUACAAAAAAAAUAAAACUUUAAAAAAUAUGGGCACAAAAAGAAACUAAUAUAUGGGUACAAAUUAAAAAUGAAAAGAAAAUUGGUACAAAUUAAAAAAUAUUUGCAAAUUAAAAAUAGGUACAAACUAAAAAUAAAAAUAUAUGAUAAAAAAUUUAGCCAUAAAUAUAAAUAUACUAAUUGUAACAUUUUUAUCAUUAAAGGAAUAUAUUUAAAAAUAAAAAUAUUUUAUUAUUCAAAUAAUUAAUGAUUUUAUUAAUACCCAAGAACCUUGAUAAAAAAUUGAAAAUGAAUAGGAUUUUAAUCAAUAAAGUAACAAAAAGAAUGAUAUGAACCUAAUUUUCCCUAUUAUUAAUCAUGUAUUUUACGCAAUUUGGAAGCCGUUUUGUUAUGUGGAUUAGGACAUCUUCACAAUGCCCUUCAUAAAAAAUGUUCGUAAAUUUUCUAAGUGCAAUGUGCAGCAGAAGUAUCACCAAGAUUUUCCGUUUAGUUUCAUUUAUUAUCAAUAAAUUUGUUGAAGGAGGAACGGUUGAAGAGUUUCUGAGUGUAACGGUUCUUAUCUCUUGGGCAAAGGAUAAAUGCUUUGCACACGACCAUUACUGAAGAAUUAAUCUCACAUGAUAUUUCUCUAUUUGAAGUAAACAAGUAUCAUCCAAACGAAGAAGAAUACUAUUGAAAUACUAAUAACCACAGUUGCUAUCACCAUCCUCACUCUUAGUAGUUAAUUUAAAAUCUUAAAAAGAUGUUCGUCACCGUCUUCACUACGGAAUCACCCAACAAAAAGUAAAAAUCCAAAACACUAAUCAACCGGUAAACCUCCUCUAAUCACACGCUCAAGAGUUAGAACUUAGAAGAGAAGAAAGAAGAAAAUUAAGAGAAUAUAUAAAAUUACAAAUUCAAAAAAUAAAAAUAAAAAAACGAAAGAGGAGAGAGAGCUUCUUCUUCACACCCUUCAAUCCCAUCAUCAUCAUCAUCAUCAUCAUCAACAUCAUGAUGUUGCUGUUGAUUUUGUCCCAACAAAUCCCCAAAAAAACAAGUUGAAUUCCACCAAACAAUGUCUUGGCUCUUCAGCUCUCCCCGCCAACCCGACGACGACGACCCGCGUGAUGUAGAACAACCCAACCAACCGCAAAACGACCUGUCGUUUCUCCGCCAAACCCUCGGCCGCCAAAUCCGCGGCGUCGCCACCUUCCUCGCUCCACCUCCAUCACCACCAUCAUCGCCAUCAAACGACGACGUUCCCUCGUCCAAUUCUCUGUCGCAAUCGCAGGCGCUUUUGGGAAUCCGGAAUGAUCUGUUGGAGAUCGGCGGGAGCUUCAAGACUGGCCUCUCCCUGCUCUCUACGAACAGCAACAAAGCCGUAACCGAGAUCUCCAAGUUCGCGUCGAGCUUGCUGCAGCUUCAGAACGAAGCUUUAGAAGAAGGCGGAGCUGCUGAUGACGACGGCGAUGUUGGUGGAGGUCAAGUGCCGGGGAUCACGGACGAAGUUCUCGGUUUCGUUGCCGAGAUUUCGGUGUUGCCGGACUGCUGGAUCGACUUUCCUAUGACGCUCGAUCAUGGUAAAGUUGCUAACUUCCACUUCAAUUUGAAUGCAAUGGCUUGUUUUGCCUGUUUUCUUUGCGUCUGCUGCUUUACAUUUCCUAUGAAGUUGUGGAUUGUGAAUUGGUAGCUGAGGAAGCUUUGAAUUUGUUUCGAAGAAAUCGAAAUUUACUCAGACAGCUGUUAAUGCAAUCGCUGUGAUAAUUUUCAUGCGGUUUGAUUUUCGUGUUCUAAUUUUGUAAUGGUGGAUACUGGAGUUGGUAUCGAAGACCUCUGAAUCUGUGUGUGCUUGGAAUACAAAGAUUUACAUUAUAAUUUGAAACAAACUGACGUGACAUUCGUGCUGGCAAUUUUAUGCUGAUUGAAUUUGAGCUUGUUUUGUUAGCAGAUUUCAGCAUGACGGAUGCUCAGAGAGAGCAUGCGUCCGCUGUUGAACAAUUGGUUCCGGGAUUUGCAGAUUUUAGAGUCCGACUUUGCAGUUCCAUGAGUGAGGAGCAGUUUUGGAUGAUCUAUUUCUUGUUGCUGCUUCCAAGACUAAAUGAACGUGAUUUUGAGCUUCUAUCAACCCCCAAGGCAAGAAGUUUAUCUUUCCCGUCUUUUGUCAUGGUUCAUAUCCAUAUUUACAUGCACGAUAAAUGCCUAUGUACAAUUUUCUUUUGAGGACACUUUGGAGAUUGACUUUUAACCAGAAUUCAGCGCGCCUGUGUGUCUCUUCAUAAAUUUCAUUUUAUUAUAUUUGAGAUAUUUAUUUCAAGGUUCUACGAUAACCAUUCUAACUGCAGCUUGCACAAGUUAGAGCUCGAGAAAUGGGCAUGAUGUGCUUAACCUGUCACCAGCUGCACUUGUACAACUUCGUUGGAUGUUGUAGUUUCUCCAACUGUCUCUCCUUUGCUUGUUCCUCAUAUUUGUUAACCCUAAGUUUUAAGUAACUCAGUAGCCAAUUUUAUAGUAUCCUAGAACUUUGGACGUGUUCAAUUCCACGUUGCAGCUUCGGAGAGUACUUGGGGCAAACCCAUUAUUUUGAAAAUAGAACUCCUUUCGUUGCAGAUUGUUGAAGCAAGAGAUGCACUUCUGCACAAACUUCAAAACAAGACGAACACACAGGAGGAUGCCCCAGAGAAGUCAAUUCUCGUUUCACCUAAAAGGCACAUCCAGGAUGGGAAGACACGAGGGGAGGAAGUCUCAUCUCAAGAGAAGGAAGCCUUGACUGAGAUAGUUAAUAUUGCAGAAAGGUUAAAGACCGAUGACAAAGAGGGCACUGAGCAGUGGUCUGAAGGGGCAAGUAUUAGCUCUGGCACUUUAGUGGAUGGGCAAAGAAAACAUGAACCUGAAGACGAUAUCUCAUUCAGUGAUUUAGAGGACGAUGAGAAUGACCUUUCUAGCAGACAGUCAGGACUAAGGCAAGGACGGGAUGCCAGGGCAUGUUCACCUAAUGGAUCAAAUGACUGGGUUCAGCUGAACCAAAGCUCGGAAACUGAGGGUGGCCAGAAAAAGGCUGGUCGGUCAAAAGGGAAAGAUUCAGAAGGUGAGGAUUCAAGUGACUGGUUUGCGGUAGAUGAAUACGAUUAGACAAAUUUGGCUGCAGCUUGCUUGCCAACUUAUUGUAAAGUUUUCGUUUCUUUUCGGUUUUUCGGGUUGGGUGGGCUGCAUUGUGUACUUAUAUGGGGUAUCAGCAUCUUAUACAAAGCUUCCUUGUUGAAAUUAAUAAUGCAAAUGAAGUUUAUUUCAAAAUUUGCCUUUUAUUAGUAUAAAAACACUUGAGUUUUCUGAGUAACAAAGAGGGUGGUUAUUUUUGGAUCUUCCUUUGUGCAAUGGAGGAUCUAGAUAGAGAAAAUUCUGGGCUAUUUUAUCCUGGGGACGGCAUGGCAUUGAAGCUGCUUGCAUAGCUUGGGUAGAGCUGUGAAACGUCUUAAAGAAAGCGACAUUGUCCGUGACUCAAUCCAAAACAUUCACAUUCAUUUUGGAUCACUGGUAAUAUUGUUCCUUGUUUAGUUUAUACUGCUUCAACAAUGUGAAACUGUAAUUUGCAAGAAAGUACAUGCAGUCAACCAAAAAUCCACCAUUAUAUUGCUACUAUGAACGAGAGAGCUAAAAAAAACUUCACCUUAGUAAGAAGUAUUACUAGGUAAAUAGUAAACAAAGAAAGAUCCUUAAAUCCCGCCGAGCCGAUGCCGAAAAUCAGAUUUCUGGACCAGGCCAUAGAGCCAGAAAUACAGCUACCAUCACCAUACAGUGCCACUAUAAUUUUAGCUUUCUUUCCCCCCCAUAACACUUUAUCUUGUUGACAUAGGAAGGCGGGAUCGCGACAUUAGACUUGUCAAAAUGCAAAUUCGGGUUACGAGAACGCUGGACAAUCUGAAGCGGGGAAAAUUUUCUGCUCUGCAACAAUCUGAUAUAAACAAACGAAGUUUACAUUAAACAUCUACAACAGCAAUUUGAUGCAGUGAAGAGAAGAUUCGAGGCCAAAUGAAACACCGAUUUAAAUCCCGAGCCUUCGUUGAAUGGUGAGUAACUGUAAGUCCAAUCUGCAACGAAAGACAAGGGGGAGAUAGAAGAUAAAUACAGCGUGACAUGUUAGUUCGUUGAAAGCAAAACCAAGUAACAACAGAGUUUUGGGACUACCUCGGACAACUGCUAAGGUCUUGACAUGGGGAAGUUGUUUCUCUAACCGAGUGUAAGUCGGAACCACAUUAAUUUCCAGCAUCAUAACAUACACUUCCUCCAGAUUGGGGACCAAUUCGAAAGAGAACUCGAUUUCAUCACCCUUGUAAUGAAAACUGGUAAGGUUGGUGGCAUUGAGCUCAAUCCCCUUUAACCCUUCGCAGCGGAUCACAACCAGUGCCUUCAAACAUUGAAGAGAAUCACCAAUGCACAAUCUUUCUAAUCCAAAACACCGUUGCAAUGUUAAAUGCUCAAAGUUCAUACAAGAAGAAAACAUGUGCGGCUCAACAUGUCCAGCAAGAUUUACACCGCACAACACAAGAGUCGAUAAGGUUCUGAAACCUGUGGUAAAAUUUGACUUGAGCAUGCAUCCGCGCAAGGAAAGACGCCUUAAUUUGGAUUCUUCGUCAUUCAGAAGGAUCUGAGCAGGAAAAUAGUCGACGCUACUCCAACCAGUGCACUUAGGUGGGUUGUCACAAGUAAAGGCAAGGUCAAGAUCUUCAACACCCUUUCCGAUGGCAAAAUCGAUCCAGUCAUUGACUUGAAGUCGUACAUACUUGGAAAGAAACAGAGAACCUUGAAGGAGACAACCUUCGAACCCAAAUGACAUGCUAAGAAUCUUUCUAACGUUGCUAGAAAAUAAUCCACAUUUCUCCUGAAAAUUGUUCCAUGGGGCAUGACUUGGACUGGCACGUAAACUACGUCGCGCCAAUCAAAUUCAAGAUUUUAUGUGUAUGCAUACAUGUUCCUCCACCUACGUGACAAUACGCUCGUUCUUACAGCCUCCCUCGUACUCAAUAACGAGAUUAUGGUAUGAAGAACAUCAUCAGGCAAAUUACUGAUUCCAUCCUUGCCAAUGGUUUCACACUGCAUGAAUAUAGAUCAAAUAUCAAAGUAAUGCUCAAAUACUCCUAAAAUCGCAUAAUGUUGUUUCACUAUCUGACAAUCAUCUUAAUUUGUUUCGAUGAGAAUUUUUAUUUUUUUAAAACCAAUUGACAAUAGGAGCGAGAGGCUCAAAAUUAUUUAAACAACUAAGGCAAAGCUUCAUUUUACGACGUGGGACAACACCCAACACUCUCAACUUUGGAAGAAGUACCAAGGUUGAAUCUCUGACUACUGAUAAAUGAAAAAAGAGUUACGAGUUUGUUUGGUAUCCUUCUAGAAUCCCUUUUUUCUUGUUUUCAAAACCAACAAGUACAAGUAAUUUAGUUACAUUUAUUAUUUUUUUAAACCCAACCGAGUUUUGAAUUGAAUACCAAACAAAGUUUCUAAAAAUUUUGAAUCAAACCUUUGAAAAUUUAUUUAAUUCAAACAUAAAUAAAUCAUUAUAUAUAUUUUUAAAUUAAUAAAUAAAAAAGAAAGUACCUUUGUUGGAGGAGAGUGCCCUUGUUCUUCAUUGCCAGAUGAUAUCAGGCGCUUUCUCUUCAUCUCCAAGAGCUUAGGUUUUCUCAUGGAAGGCCAGAAACGCCGCAAGGCCCAAAUCUUCAUCGGAAAAGUCGAAAAAACCUGCGAACAAACAAUUGACCUGUGAAUUUGCAAAUGUCCGAUCCCAACGAUGCUAGACUGAUCCCAGAGUGUUAUUCUCUGGUCUGAUAGUUGUCACACUUUCACGUAGGCAGAUUAUCUACCCUCCCAUUUCCCGUGUCCUUCUGUUUUGUGUAGUCACGGUUAAAUCACGUCAAUAUUUUAUAUUAUUUUUUUAAUAGAGAUAAUAAGAUAAAAAAGAAUAGUAAUAUAAAAUGUUGAAGUGGCUUAACCAUGACCACACAAACAAAAGAGCGGCGGAAAGAAAACGAUUUUCACAUGUCAAGGAUACUCUUCUCAGAAUCUUUUGUAAUUACCAAGGAUGCUUUUUUGGUUUUUGUCAAAUGGAAAUUUCUAUUCAACUUUUUUUUUUGCCAUGUGUCAAGGUGGAAUGACCGUUUUACUCGUGAGAGCGGAAAGAAAACGAUUUUCACAUUUUCAUUUUCGUCAAUUACAUACUUUUUUUCUUUUUGUGAGAGAUAUGGGGCUAAUGCGCAAAAAGAAACUCCAAAAUGGCACAACGCCUAGAAAUGUCUAAUAAAUUGUCAUCAAGAGAGGCUUAAUACAAUCAGGAGGGUCACAAAAUACAUUGUAUAGGUGACUAUUGGCUAGUUAUAUUUACUUUCUUGCAUGUAAGUUUUUCUCUUAGUUGUAGUGUUCUUUUGGUGAAAAAAAAAAACACAUCCACAAUUCACAUUUUGCGCUUCGUUGGAUAAAAAAGGCACCAAAUUAUUUGCCCCAUUUCUUGUGAAGUAGUCAUUCAUCACAUACUUGCUAAAUACAGUUUGAUAUAUUGCAUAUAUUUUUAAUGUGACGGAGAUUUUGAUUUCGGGUUCGUCAUACGAACUUCUCGGUUUCGUCAUCGGGGAAAGAUAAAAACAAAAUUAGCUUAAUGUGACAAAGAGUAGUAGCGGUUUUAUUCUAUAUGCUAUCGGAUAAGAUAGUUUUGACAAGUAAUUUAGAUAGUGUCGGAUAACAAAACAAUAUUGUCGCUUAUAUUAGACAUAAACAAUAAAUGUUGGACAUAACGGCACAGCACCCAGGCACCAUAGAAUUCGGGCUUGAGUCAGCCACCUCGAUCGUUCUUCAUAUCCUUUGUAUCAGAUGCCUACGCAGCCCAUGUCUUAUAUGCAGUAAUCACCGUUUCAGAUGCCAAGAUACCAACUAGAGAUACCUUCUUCCACGCUGACUCGUAUCUUUCCAUAAAUUGUAAAUUAAUCAAUUAAAAUGAACUACACAUACAUAUUCUUCCUGAACUCUGGCGAAUGUCUUUGAUCCUGUUGUGUGGUUCAUAGUUUGCUACUACGAUUGGCCUUUUUUUUUUUUCAGCCUUCUCCUGAAAAGUAAGGAAAAAAAAUGUUGUACAACUCAAGAAAGCAUCUACAAAUAAACUAAAUAUCACCGAUUUCGGAAUGCUCAAGUUGCUCUUCGAAUUGUUCAUCCAUGAGUUCAUCAUUAAUACUGAUCUAAAAUAAGUGAAAAAAACACUGUUUUUGGUUGAAAAAAAAAAAUCAAACAUGCAUAUUUGUAAAAAAUCCAGGAUAAAGUAAGUUUUGAAUGAAGUCACUAGUUUAUUAUACAAAAAUUAAAAAAAUAUAUAUCUGAGAUAAACUUUCAAGAAUAUAAUUAAUCACAAAAGUCUCUUUUAUUAGGAAUAAUCAGAAACGUCGACAGAAAAGAAAAUUAAUAUUUCUCACCACAAUAUAAAAAUUAAGAAAAAAAAGGGAAGAAAAUAAUGGUACAAUUACAAAUAUAAGUUGGAAAGAGUAAGAAGGAAGAAAUAAUGAAGAGAAAAAAACUGGAAGGCAGUGGAAAAGCAAAAGUAGAAUUGCAGCCGCACCCGUCCCUCUCGCUCUCCGAGUCCUACUCGAUAUAGAGUUCUCUGGAAAACAUGGAAUUACAAGAUGAAGAGCAGCGGCGUGGGGAGAGUGAAGGAGAAAGAGAUGCACGAGGGUUUUGAAUUAGGGUAUUUUUGUAUUUCUGUCGGAUUUUGCAUAGCCUAGGCUACCGGAUCAAGUGAUCCAAGUUUUUUAAAUUUCAUCAAACGGUAAAAAAUUAUUACAGCUUUUAAGGCAUCAAAACAGAUGGACUGUUGGAUAAAAUUUAAAAUGUCCGAAUUACUUGAUCUGGUGAGCUUGGUGGAAGAGAUUCAAAGAGAUCUCUUCUCUUCCGUAUCCAACCGGGACAAAAUAAAAAAAUUUAAAAAAAAAAUCACAUCUGACAAGAAUACUAAAGGGUGUACACAAGAUUACACUAAUCCUGUCAGCUACAACUGAUAGGACAUUUUCGUUAAUAAAAAUACAAUCCGACUUGAAUAGUUUGAAAAUAAUGAAAAUACUUAAAAGGAAAAUUAGGUUCAUAUUCUUCUUUUUGUUACUUCAUUAAUUAAAAUCCUAUUCAUUUUCAAAUUUUUAUCAAGGUUCUUGGGUAUUAAUAACAUCAUUAAUUAUUUGAAUAAUAAAAUAUUUUUUUUAAAAAUAUAUUCAUUUAGUGUUAAAAAUGUUACAAUUAGUAUAUUUAUAUUUAUGGCUAAAUUUUUUAUCAUAUAUUUUUAUUUUUAGUUUGUACCUAUUUUUAAUUUGCAAAUAUUUUUUAAUUUGUACCAAUUUUCUUUUCAUUUUUAAUUUGUACCCAUAUAUUAGUUUCUUUUUGUGCCCAAUUUUUUAAAGUUUUAUUUGUGUUUGUACCCAUGUGUAUAUCUUCACGUGACAUUGUAUAUUUAAUCAAUGAUAGAAAAAUUAUAUAUGGUAUAUUUAUGUUUUAUGCCUAAACUUUGUAUCAGAUAUUUAUAUUUUUAGUUUGUACCCACUUUUAAUUUGCAACAUUUUUUUAAAAUUUGUAGUAUUUUCUUUUUAGUUUUAUUUUGUACCCAUGUAUUAAUUUCUUUUAGCACCUAUAUAUAUAUAUAUUUUUUUAAAUUCAUUUGUACUCAUAAUUUUUUAAUCUUUUAUCUGUACCCUAAAAAUUCAUUUGUAGUAUUUUCUUUUUAGUUUUAUAAUGCACCAAUUCUUCUUUAUUAAUGUACCACUUUGUUAUAUGUGAAAUGUACCACUUUGUUAUAUGUGAAAUGUACCUAUUUUUUUGUAAAAUGUACCAAUUUUUUUAACACUAUGGAUACAUUCUUUUGCCAUUUAUUAUUUCUUAUUUUUACAUAGUUUUUUAUCCAUUUAUUAAAUCAAAAUGUUUGAAUGUUUUUAUUGUAACCGUUUCUAAUAGUAUUAUAAUGAGGGAUUUUAAAUUUAUAGAAUUAUAAAUCUCAUAAAAUAUCAAACAAUUAAUUUCAAAACUAUAAAAAUAUAAAUAUUAAUAGUAAUAUAACGAGGUGUACAAAGUCAAGGGACUUUGAUCAAACUUUGAAUACUAUUAAGGUUUUAAUCAAAUAAUGUUAAGGAUUAGGGACCGCAUCCAAAGUAUCUCAUAUUUAAAAGUAAAAAACUAUACGACAAUAAUACAAAUGGCGGAGUUGAGAGCGGGAAUUUUGCCGCUUCGCUAUUCUUGUCAAAUAAUAAUGAGUUAAUGUCAGUUAUAUAUAUAUAUAUAAUAUAUAUAUAUAUAUAUAUAUAUAUAUAUAUAUAUAUAUAUAUCCGAUAUUUAUUGUUUAUGUCUAACAUAAGCGAUAGUGUUGCUUUGUUGUCCGAUACUGUCUAAGUUACUUGUCGAAAACGUCUUAUCUGACAACAUAUAGUAUAAAAUCGUCACCACUUUACCUACACAUUGAGAUAAUUUUAUAGUAGUGUAAGCAGCAGUACUCGUACUCAGUACUAUACUUGUGUGUGUGUUUAUAUGUGUACAGUACAUAUAUAACGCGUGCUCCGCAUGGGUUUGAGGGUUGUAGACUUGUAGUCAAAUCUUUUGUCUCGUGAUAAACUUUCUUCCCUGAGAAUUUAGGGUUUGGGGUAAUUAGUGAUAGAUAACCAUUGUACAAUCAAAUUACAACGCCUAGAGCCCUGAAAAAUACAAACUUACGCUUAAAUAUUAUAUAUCCAGGCACAGAAAACUAAAACCAAGUGGGGAUAAUAUUUUGUAUAUAUAUCCUGAUCCGUCAGUGCAUGCAUAUAAUCAGUGGUAAUAUGUGUGUGUGUGUGUGCGCGCGCACUACGAUUUGGAAUUGGAGAGAUAUUAGUUAAUUAAAAAGUGCUUAUAUGGGCAAGAAACUAUUUUUGUAUAUUCCUUUUCUAUACAUGCUCACUUUAUUUUUAACAUUUGGAAUGAAUAAAUUUAAAAUUAAUCAAGGAAUAUAAGUUCAAUUUUUUGAGUCAAUAGUAGGAAUAAUUAAUCAAGGAAUAUAAGUCCAAUUUUUUGAGUCAAUAGUAGGAAUAAUCUAAUUUAUUAAAAUAAGUCCAAUUCUUUAAAUUUAAUUAUUUUAUUAUCAAUAAUUAUCUCAUCAAUGAAAAAAUUUAUUGUAAAAAUCAAAUUUCUUCCUAAUUAUCCCUUUGAUUAUUUCUUUUUAUUUAUUUUUUGAGUAAAUUACAUAGUAGCCCCUCAGGUUUGAGCUCUAUUGCAAUCUCAUACAACAUCUUUAAAACAUUUCACUUUCAUACCUCAAGUACUAUUUUAUUUCAAUUUCAUACAACCGUUAGAUUUUCCAUCCAUGGAUCUGUUAAAUGCUGACGUGGCUGCCACAUAUAUGACACGUGGCUGCCAAAUGUCUGCCACGUGGCAAAUAAAAUAAUUUUUUAAUUUAGUUCUGAGCCCAGAAGAAGAAGAAAGAGAAAGAGAAGAAGAAGAAAGAGAGGGAGGAGAAGAAGAAGAAGAAGAAAAAAAAAAAAAGAAAGGGGUCCGAACCAAAGAAAAGAGAAAAGAAGAGGAGGAGGAAGGAAAAAAAAAAAAAAAAAAAAAAAAAAAAAGGGACCGAAACCCAGAAAAAGGAGGAAGAAAAGAAAAGGAAAAAAAAAAAAAGGGCCCGAACCCAAGAGAAGAAGAAGAAGAAGAGAAAGAGGAGGAGAAAGAGAGAGAAGAGAGAAGAAAAAAAGAAAAAAAAAAAAAAAAAAAAAAAAAGGAGUCCGAACCCAGAGAAAGAGAAGAAGAAGAAAGAAGAGAAGAAGAAGAAGAGAAGAAAGAAAAAAAAAAAGGAGGUGAACCAGAAGAAAGAGAGAGAAGAGAAGAAAAGAAGAAAAAAAAAAAAAAGAAAGGGACCAAACCCAAAAGAAGAAGGAGAAGAAGAAGAAAAGAAGAGAAAGGAGGAGGAGGGAAGAAGAAAAAAGAAAAAAAAAAAAAAAAAAAGGAGGUCCGAACCCAGAAGAAGAGAAAGAGAAAGAGAAGAAGAAGAAGAAAGAGAGAGAAGAGAAAGAAAGAGACAAAAAAAAAAAAAAGUGGAAGAUAUGUUUUUUUUUUUAAAAAAAUUAAAAAAUUAUUUUAUUUGCCACGUGGCAGACAUUUGGCAGCCACGUUCAUAUAUUGGCAGCCACGUCAGCAUUUAACAGAUCCAUGAUGGAAAAUUAACGGUUGUAUGAAAUUGAAAUAAAAUAGUACUUGAGGUAUGAAAGUGAAAUGUUUUAAAGAUGUUGUAUGAGAUUGCAAUAGAGCUCAAACCUGAGGGGCUACUAUGUAAUUUACCCUUAUUUUUUUGUUAUUUCUUGUUCUUCCUUUGCUUUAUCCUAUUUAUAGAUUUUAUUUUAAUUUUUAUAAUCAACCUAUAUUAUAGGUUAAUUGUAUUUAUCUACCUAUAUGACAGAUUUUUUUCAUAGUCAACCUGUCACAUAUUUAAUGUGUUUUGCUUGUAGGUAUUCAUUCAUAAAUUUGCUACUUAUGUUAGAGUAUAAUGUUUUAUAGAUAGAUUUAUGUUAGUAUAUUAGUUUUUUUGUUAUAAGAUAUUAAUUAGAUAUUUUGGAGUUGAAAAAUGCAUAAUAUUAAAAGAUUUUAAUUGAUUUUUAAUAUUUUUGGAAAAAAUUAAAUGAGUAUAAAAGAAAUAAAUACAUAUAAUUAGAUAACUUGACUCACUCCUAAAAACACUUUAUGAUUUUGGACCUGGAUCUAAAAAAAUGUAAAGUAAAAAAAUACAAUGUGCGAAAAAUCAUAGACACUUGGCAGUGGGACAGGAGACUGAUCACAUCAAGACGAGGGAAGCAAAAUCACGGAUACCACAAGCAACCAAAACCAUACAGCUAGGUAGCUGCAUCUGCAUAUGCUUUCUCAAUUCAUGUCCAUUCAUUUAGUCACGGACCAUAAUAUACAAAGGGAGAGAGAGACUAAAACUAUUGAGACCCAUGAAACAUAUAUAGUUGCAUGCAUAACAUGCCUUUGAUAUAUAUAACUUAACUUUCAUCCCCACCAUGCAUUUCAAUUUGCAUCCUCUAGCUCUUAACACUUUUCUCUCUCCAUUCCUCAACCACCAUUUCACAUGCUUGCCUGCCUGUACUGUGUUUCCUAAAAUCUACAGCACCACCAGUACUCUCUCUCUCUCUUUCUCUCUCUGUACGUGCACGUAUCAUCCUGUUGUCCAGUUCAUUUGACUGUGACCAAGCAAGAGGCUCGGUUUGGACUUAAUUGAACUUUGAGCUCCUAGUAGGCGUUUUGUUUACCACUUUGGGACGCACCAAGGUACUUGCGAUCACAAUCGGUUCAAUCAUAUUUAUAUACGUUCACUCUUCAUGCAUGCGUAAUCACCGUCCACAUAAUCAAUAAAUAAUCAACCAUUAAGUCAAAAUAUUUGCCUUACCAAUCGUAAAUUAAUAAAUGGGAUAUACUAUUUGUGCUCCAAUUGAUAAUUAAUUUAGGAAAAAAGAAAGCCACAUAUAUAUGGGAUUUCGUACGCACACACAUGCACCGCUAUAUAUAACAGCAUGUGGUCAAAGAUAAUAUAAACUAGGGAUAAUAUUUUGGGGAUGGUCACCAAACACAUGCAAUUUAAAUUAUAAUAAACUAUUAUUACGAUCUAGCUAGUAAUAUUUCUCUUCACUAGUAAAUGAAGAGUUUUAGGUUUGACUCUCAUAAAUGGCAUGUCUAACACCAUUUUAUUAUCAUAGACCUAUUGUAUGGCUUAACUCAAAUCUCUCAACCCUUAAUGUAAAUAAUCAUUGACGCAAAGAAAACCAAUCAUAUAAAUAAAUGUAAGUUUAUAGGAGGGAUAUGCAGGAAUUGCAUAGAAGAGAGAAAACGAAGCACAGAAAGGGGUUGAAUAACACUUGUGAAACUAGUUUAGGAGAGAAGAAAUAUAGAGGGGUCAAUUAAUUAUUUGACACAAAAAGAAGUAUACAUUACUGGGAAGGAGAUAAGAUAUCAGUUCACAUUACUGCAGCUACAAAUCUUAUCACAUUUCAUAGAUAUACAUCUAGUCACCUCCAAAUCGAAUAUAUGUCCAAAUUGAAGAAAUGUAUAAAGAAAGAUGCUCUUUGCACAUGGUAAAAUGCACUCAUAUCACUUAAACCCAUUCCAUCAACACGUGAAGAUAAAAACAGCAGGGCCGGCCCUCAGAAUUUGAAGGCCUUAGAGGAGAUAGAUAUACAAACAUGCUAUUCUAAUCUAAUUUUUUACAUCAAAUAUCAUUAAAAAUUAAUAUAAAAAGAAGAUAGCGAUAUACAAACAUUACUUAAAUAUUACAUCUCACAUUUUAGAUACAAAUGUACUAAAUGUUGGUAGUGAGUCUAAGAUUGAGAGUGAAGAACAAUAAAAAUUUUGAUCAAGAGAAUAAAGAACAAUAAAAUUUGAUUGACGAAUAUAAUAAAUUCAACAACGCCAUUUGUAUCUCUUGUGUUUUUUUCUAAACCAUUUAAUAAUAAAUUAUUGAAAAACAAAAUAUAAAUUCAAAGUUUUGUUUACCUUAAAGUACAAUUUUCAAGACCAUGUGAUAGUUGAUUUAAACAUUCGAUAGAAAUUGAGAGAUUUGGAAGUUGAAAGACAAAAAGAUUAAAGUACAAUUUUCAAUACCAUGUGAUAGCUGAUUUAAACAUUCGAUAGAAAUGAAGAGAUUGAAAGUUGAAAGAAAAAAAGAUUGCAAGGGGACUUGAGUUUUAUAACUUUAUUUGCAUUUGGACACAUGGAUUAGGAGUAAAUUUGAAAAGCAAGAAAAAAAUUAGUGACUAAAAAGGCAGCUCCAUGUUUUGAACUUAACACCCCAAAGAAAAGGAAGCCGAACAUGUCCCCUGCACCAACAAAUGAAUUAUGAUUUUUCUUACUUUUUAUGUAUUUAUAUGUUCAUUACAGGAUGUAUAGAAUUUUUCGGGGCCCCUUCAAAGUGAGGGCCCUAGGUGGGCGCCUACAUAGACUACCCUCAGUGCCCACGUGCACAAGUGGGCGAGGCCACUAACCCAAUGUUAAAUCCUGGCCGGAAUUUGCUCCAAAAAUAAGUUUAGGGUUAAAACUCAUGUUUGGCUCAAGGGUUGUAGCAAGUUGGGAUGAGUUUAAAACAUAAAAUUUGAUUUUUACUCCAAGAAUUAAAGUAGUUCCUGGAGUAUGUCUUACUAGGUGUAACUUUCUUUUUUGAUUCAAUAAAAAUUUUCUUAUACCAUCGAGGUUUCUUUAAAAUAUUAAAUAAAAAUAAAAAUAAACAAACAUUUUCAUACGUUGCAACAAAAAAGACCAGCCAAGGUUUUACAGAGAACAUGCAUGCAAGCUACCCAUAUUUGAUCCGAAUUAGGAUCCUAUCUGGAUUCUCUUUUUUGAGAUUUAGAUAAUCAAUCAAUCGUGUCGGUUUAUCGUAUAUCGUGCGGCUAUAAAUCAUUUUGAAUUUUUUAUUAUUUAAAAUUGAACACAAACAGUACUUAAUGAAAACUGACCGCACGAUGUACGAUGAACGAACAUGAUUUUGAUUGAUCUUCAGAUCCCCACAAAGAGAAUCCGGAGAGGAUCCUCAUCCAUUGGAUCCAACCUGGUCCCCAUCAAUCCCAAGAUCACCAAAAGCUUCAUUAAUUAGUUUCAUGCAUGCAUGCAUGAUCACUAUCUCAGAUUUUUUUUCACGAUUGUAGUUUAACCAGGAAAUUCCUUCUAAGUACAUAAAAUAUAAAUAUCCAUGAUUAUGCAUGUAAAUAGGAAGGUCAUCAGAAGAAGCAGAUGAGAUGUGCUUUUCCACAAAAUCUUCGAGCUUAAGUGAUUUUAUAGAGAAACAUCUCAUGUGCCUUUUUCUAGAAGUGAUUAUUUGGGUUUUGAAUAAUCAGCCGUUUCAAAGAAAACGGAAUCAUGAUGAACUACAUAGAAGCAUAAUUUGUUGUCAGAUAUGCAUAUUUUAGAAUUUUAGGAUGUUUUUGGUAUUUUACCAUUUGUUUAAUUUGUUUCUUAUUCGAACUCCUAGAAAGUUUGGAGCUAAUUAAGAGACAUUAUAUAUAAACCACCUUUAGGAUGCUAGGAUUUAUCACCCUUCAUAUUAUCAAUAAAUUGUGAGGUUCUCUCAUAUUUUAUAUAUUUUCGAUUUCAAUUUACUCGUGUAAUUGCAAAUGGAUUCAUGCAAAUAUAAGGAAUAAGUUAUGCCAACUAGAGUUUUCCAAAAAAAGAAAAAAAGUUCAUGCCAACUUGCAAAGUUUGACAGCUGCUUUUGAGCUUAGCUGCUUGCCCCCAUGUUCACGUGAUGUGCUUUCUAGGGUUUUUUGUUUUCUUCCUGUAAUGUUAGAAAGAUAAAAUUUGUAGAAAAAAUUUAUAAAUUAAAUAAUGUGUUACCGAUAGGAAAUAAGCACGUUAAUCAAAACUUAAGUUAUAAUCUAAUCAUAAACUUUCAGGUCAUUUAAUUUACAAAAUUUAGACUAUACAUUUAGUUUCCUUAGCAUUACCUCAUUUUUAACUAAAUUUGAUAAACUAAAUGAUGUGGUUGUUAUUAAUUAGAUUAUUACUUAAGUGUUGAUUAACGUGUUUAUUUACUAUUGAUGACACGUUAUUUAGUUUGUAAAUUUAAUUUAAAAUUUUAGUGUCCUACCCCGUCACUAUUCCUAUAUAACUCCCUCGUUUCACUCCAAACCCUUACCACAGCAGCACUCUGCCACUCUCUCUCUCUCUCUCUCUCUCUCCCUCCCUCUCUUCAAAGAGAGACAGACAUGGCGGAAUCCAGCAAGCUCCAUGCUCUCUUCCUCAUUUGCUUGCUCUUCAUUUCCUCAGCCUCUCCAAUCCUCGGUUGUGGCUAUUGCGGCAAGCCAAAGCACAAGCCUAUGAAACCUACCAAACCUCCCAAAGGCCCCAUAGUCAUUCCACCCAUUCAUGUCAAGCCACCUGGCGUCAAAGUCCCUCCAGUCACAGUCCCUCCCAUUGUCAAACCACCAGUCACAAUACCACCCAUUGUCAAACCACCAGUUACAAAUCCACCAAGUCCAGGGACACCAUGCCCUCCACCUCCAGGGAAACCUAGUCCGGCUUCCAAGGACACAUGCCCCAUUGACACAUUGAAACUGGGUGCUUGUGUGGAUCUUCUAGGCGGGUUGGUCCACAUUGGGCUGGGUGACCCGGCAGUGAACGAGUGCUGCCCGGUGCUGCAAGGGCUUGCUGAACUUGAAGCUGCAGUGUGCCUUUGCACAACUCUGAAAAUCAAACUUCUUAACCUCAACAUCUUUGUCCCACUGGCUCUUCAGCUCCUUGUCACUUGUGGCAAGAAUCCUCCUCCUGGUUACACUUGCUCUCUCUAGAACAAGACAUUUGGGUAAGUACUUAAGUUAAUCAUUAAGUAAUUACUUAAUUAGUGCUACGCACUUGCUUACAUUAUAUUUCAAAUCCGUUGCCCUAACUUGAAACAUGAACUUUAUGGGGUAGGUGGAUUUUUUAUUAUAUUCUUGUUUUCACAAAGUUAUAUUUUGUUUUGGAAAAUGUUACUAACAGCCUAAGAAAAGUCCUAUUAAAAUUUAAACAUAUAAAAUAAUCAUAAAAUAAUUUUUUUAUUAUUAAGAGUAACUUUUUUUGUUUAUAAUAAUCAUUCCUAGAUCGCUAUAGGCUAGGAAGUUGGAAAAUGAGUAUUCUUUUAGGGCUCCAAAAAUCCAAGCAAUUUUGUUCUAUCUGAAGCAACAAAAACAUCCCACACUAAUAUGUCAUAACAUAUAUAAUUAUUAAUUAAAGAGGAAUUUAUUAAUAAAAUUUCUCUCUAGAUCUAUCUUUAGCUAUCGUAAACAAAAAAAACACACUUGCACUGAAAUUUUCUCUGAUGAACAUUGUCUGAUCACAGAAUUUGUCAUGAUUUAUGGCAUUGCAGGUUGCUAGAUUGAUGGAUCCAAAGAAGGAGCUAGGGAGGAAAUAAUCGUCAUGAGAGGAUGUCGAGCCUCCCCUCCCUACGUCCAUUUGUUUCACGUUCCCCCCAAACUUUUCUUCUUUUGAUUAUUAAUGGUAUUGAGCUGAUGUUAAUUUGGAUGUGAUAUUGUACACACCAUUUGUUUUUAAUUAUCAGAAGAGUGUUGCAUGCAUGUGUGUUUUAUCUCAGGAAUGCAAAUGAAGCAAUCAAAGAUGCUUUUAUCUUAUCUUUUAAUCUUAUAUAUGUCGUACUCGAUCGAUCGAUUCCUUUCCUUUUUCUUUUCUACAUUUUCCAAUUGACGUCGCAUAUCCUUAUUAUUUGAACGGGUUACAACAUAUUACAACAUUUAGAUCACGUCAUUAUAUAAGGAUUUCAAAUUCCAAACUUAACCUACUUUAUAUUCAGUAUUCAUUGCUCAACACCGGAUACUAAUCUUAAUGACAAAUUGUGUCCUUGUAAUUCUAAAUUGUGACUUAUUUAUGUAAGGAUUAAUUUGGGAUUGAUAUCAUUAAUUUGACCUAAAACACAAUGGAUGUAAAUUCAGAUUCGUAUUAACUCAAUCAUAUUGUGUUCACGAGCUAGCUGUGUCAAAUAUUGACAGCCAUAUGUAUACUAGAAAUUUUGACUUUACCGACAAAAUGAAUUUGUCGGUAAAGAUUCUUUCACGACGAAAAAAUUUGUUGGCCAUUUUGUUGCGCAAGACUUUAGCCUACAAAUUCAACAUUUCGUCGGCUAUGAAGUGGUUCUUUCCCAACAAAACAUAUUUCCUCGGCAUUCUUAAACCCCAAUAGAAAAUUCUGUCGGAAAAUGAUUUUUAAGCCUACAAAAUGCACCAUUUUGCCAACAAGAUGUGUUCGUCGGAAAAUAUAUUUUUUCGGCAUUGCCUUACUCUACCGACAAAAUUAACUUUGUCAGGAGAUAAUUUUAAUUUAUAAAAAAUAAAUAAAUGCCUGAAAACACAAAAAAAAAAAUUCUAAUAAUGCUACUUUGAUUAGUAAUAUGUAUAUGUACAGUGGUUAUACAAAGUAUUAUAUUAUACAAUAAUCCUAUCCUACUCUCAUUCCUCAGUAUCGGUUUAGCAAUAGCAUCGCAGUAAUAUCCUGCAAAAAUAAUACAAAUGGUAAUUAUUAUGUAUGACAACAUAAGAAAGAGCAUCCUUAAAACCGAAACAAUCAAAUUGUAGCUAGGAAUCUUUCUAUAAGUAAUAACAUUAUGGAGUUGCACUGAUUCACACUACAUCAUGAAAUAGAUAUAUUCAAUUGAAAAUACUUUAAUGCAAUCAACAUCUCAGACCACCUACCAUUUGAGAGGUACUCUUUAGUCCCUUAAUAAGAUGCAAAUCAAAAUGAACGAAAGAAGGUACAAAAAGUUACGCAAUAAUAAUUAUUAAUAAUUAAAAGAUAUUCAACUCUGGGAUUAAUUAGUAAGAAUACAAAGAAAAUCCUCAAACUUAAAAAAUUUCUCACAACUUGAUCAAAGGGGUGUGCUAUCCACACACCCCAUUUUACUUAUCACACACCCCUUGAUAAUUUAUGUCCGUUGAUCUUCUUCAAUUUAUCCGAUCCGACGACCGAAAAUUAAAAAGGUGCGUGCAAAGUAAAAUGAGAUGUGUGGAUAUCACAUCCCUUGAUCAAAUUGUAUUAAUGACAACAGUUGUAACUUAUUGGGGAAUCAAAAUUGCUUACACAAUGCUCCUUGCUCAUGUCUAGCGUAGACAUAAUCAAACUAUUCAUUCAUGUACUUAGAAUAAACACAAGGCAAAGAAAGCAAAAUAUACAAUAUAUUCCUAGUACGAUCAAACUUACCUGUACAAAUCUCCUUACUCAGUGUGUUCUUCACAAUUCACAAUUGAGGGACAAAAUAUACAAUAUAUUCUUGGCAUCAACUGAAUGGGAGAGUAACAUAAGUUAGCAACUCAUAAGAAAAUGUAAUAGAGGGAUAAUUUAUACGAUAUACUUGAGAUAAAAUUCAUCAUCACUAGCCUCAUAAGCAAGUGCAACUAUAUUAACUUGAAGCACACACACCUGGAAUAAAAAUAACAAGACUAAUUUAAUAGUAUUAUUAUUAUAAUUUUGAUGAAGACAAGACUAAGUUAAUAUGGACUUGCACUUGUCAAACCAAGCUAUUAAAAAUCUUUCGAAAGAAGAACACUGGACUUGCACCUAUUUUAGUUUAAUAAAACCACAUAUAAGCCAAUCAAAGGACUUGCACACCAAAACCCCCAAAAUAGUACCAUAAUUUUGCAAUGUGCAGGGAAUAUAUCAAACAAAACUUAAACCACAGUCAAGCCCCAUCUAUGUAAAACAAAAUAAGAACCCAAACCACAACCAAAAUCUUUAAAAUCGAUAGAGAGAAUCGUACAAAGAACCGAUAGCGAAACUGCACCAGCAACGGAGAGCAGCUGACAUGGUGGUAGACGAGAAUCACUGCUAGGAUGGUCAAUCCAAGAAGAGCAACUAAGAAGGGAGAUAGCAAUGGGAUCCAAAUCCAGGGUGCGGCAACAUUGUUAUUUUUCCUUGUUUAGAUUAAAUUUUUUUCACUAGGUUGCGAUAGUUGAUAAGCUCUAAAAACCAACAGUUUUAUCUUUUUUUUUUUCGUUUUCCCAGCACUUGAAAAACAUUAACUUUUAAGAGAGGGAAACAUCCCGCCUUUUUUAAUAAAAUGUACCGACGAUAUUCUCGAUCAACUAAUAGAUAUUUCUUCGGCUAAACCUACUACUAUUUAUUUGUCUGCUUAAAUCUAUUAGUUUCUAGCCGAUAAUUCAAAUAUUUCGUCCGGACAGGAGUGCCGACAAAUUUUUGCUUUAUUAGUUUAAAAUUUGUCGGCAAAAUAAUAUUUUCUAGAGAGCUGGCUUCUUUGCUCUCCCACUUCCCAUACACUCUCAUCCCCUUCUAUUUGUACGGUUACGGUUAAGCCACGUUAAUAUUUUAUAUUACUAUUGUUUUUUGUCUUAUGAUUUUUAUAAAAUAUCAAUAUAAAAUAUUGACGUGGCUUAACUAUGAUCGCAUACAAUACGAGGGAUUUAGAAUGUAUGAGAAGUGGGCCGGCAGAGAAGUGGGGUCUAUUUUCUAGUAGGCAUGCAAUCAUGCACGUAAAAGCACCUGGUUUUGGGAUUCCUAUGGGCCUUGAGGAAUCCAGCUUUUUGCUAAUCAGUGCUGUUAUUGUUUCAACUUUCAACAAAAGAAGAAAGAGUGAUAGACGUCUUCAGUCAGUUCAACUUCCGCGUACAUACACAGUGGCGCUGUAACUUAUAACGACAAGGUAGGUGGGGCGAGGCUUUCUCUAACAAUUUUUUCUGAUACGUGUUAACUUUAAAAUUCAGUGAGUGGAGACCGCUCGUUACAGAACAUGUUAUGAAAGUUCACUUUUAUCUUUACCCUAAUGGGUGAUAGAGGAGAAAGUCUUAGAGAACUUUAAUAAAAAAGUUCUGAUAUUGUUUAUUUUAACGAAAAAUCAUUUUUUUAUACUAAAAAGUUAAUCUUGUUACUAUUUAUUUAACCUUUUAUUUUAUCCUUAUCGUUAAAUCUCAAAAUUUUUAAUUUUUUUUCAUUAAUUUUCCUAAAAUUUUAGGUUAAGAAACCGAACCACCUAUUUCGUCCGGCUCAGACUCUAAAAAAUCUCUCGUGACCCACCACAUUCUGAUUUGAAGGCCACUACUACCUAAUGUUUUGACUCCAUCCUCCAUCCGCUCACAUCAUUCAGAUUGGGAGUGCCGUAACAUCUAGUGAGAGAGAGAGAGAGAGAGAGAGAGAGAGAGAAUGCUGUAGCUUAAUUAGAGUAAAGUUAACAGUAGUACAGUACCCAGAGAUGAUAUAAAGCAUUAUAUUUUACUGUAACAAAGUGUCACCGAUUAUUUGUGGCUAGUAAUUUUAACGCUCAUAUUUUAGUAAGGUGGAUCCACGUACCUUUGGCUCACCUCUGCUGACCCAAGGUGGACUUGCACAAUUUCUUAGCCAGACGUGGUUAAAAUUGCUACUUUUAUUGUAGAACAUAACUGAGAGAGAGAGAGAGAGAGAGAGAGAGAGAGAGAGAGAGAGAGAGAGAGAGAGAAUGCACCCAUAAGAACUAACAGAUAUUCUUUCAGCUGUGUACUUAAUUGAUUAUAUUCAAAUUCUUGGUGGGGUAGUUUUUUUGUUUUUACAAGAAGCAAUACCAAUAUUUCAUUGAUCAAUAGGAAACAAUUACAAUGGGUGAACAAACAAAAGUAAAGAGUAAACUCCUACAAGGCACAAGCACAAGCACAGCCGGUUUAACACUGCCAAAAAAUGAUAGACGCAACAUACUUAUACCGGAGCACACACAAUUCCGAUUCCAGCAAUCGAUACCAUGUCAAAACUAUAUCCGGGCAACAGACAUGGUGGUGGGGUAGUUUAUUAUUAAUCAACAAUCAAGAAAAGAAAAGGGAUAUACCAUCACAACAAUAUCCCAGUAAGUCUGGCCCUGGAAAUGGGCAACAACACAGCAGGGAUUAAAGUAGAGGAGGAGAGCGAGGGGACCAGUCAAAUCUGUUGCACAUGGCCAUAUCAACAUGGUUCGCCUCCUAUAUAUCACCAUCAUCAUCUUAUCUCAAAAUUAAAAAAAAAUAAAAAUAAAUAAAAGAUCAAAGAAAUAUCUAAGUGCAUCGUCGUGUCGCAUGUGUUGAUUGGUUUAUUAUUCAUUUCUCUGAAUUCUAUAGUAUCAAUGCAGUACACACAGGAAUGUGAAUGUUUGAUCAAUCCUCAUCCACAUCCACAUCCACAUCCACAUCCACUUGUAUUAUUGGACUGUAAGUGUCUGACCGCACACACAAGACAUUGCCCCUCGUAGAGGCGUCCAAACAAAUGAAUCUCUCUAAAUAUCACGGGGGGUCAUGGUCGUCCAUCCGCUUGGACUGGAGUGUACAAACGUCCGGCCCACCCAAGUGUCCGACCGCACACACAGGACAUUGCCCCUCGUUGAGGCGUCCAAACAAAAGAAUCUCUCUGGAUAUCAUGUGGUCGUGAUCGUCCAUCCGCACACACAAGACAUUGCCUUGUCAAAGAGUCAUCUUGAUCUUGUGGUCCAAGAUUCCUCAAGGACUGAUUUAGCAGUGUCUUAAUUAACAAUCUCCAGAGCAUUAAAACAAAUAUUCAUUCAAAGGGAAGCAAAAGCUAAGAGGACACCAAAAAACAUCAAAUGCUCAGUAAUACAUGCUAAUGAGCUUAAUUAGGCUGCAUAAUCGUCCACAUUUGGACAUUCAAAUCGACAGAAACAGACUAGAGUCUAAUGGUGGAAUCAAUACUACAAGAAUGACAAUUUGCAAGGGAAAAAUGACUUCAAUGUUGAUACGGAAUGAAUAAACAUUUUCAGUUCCUUUCUCUAGAACAACACAUGAGAUCUAAGCUAGCUAACUAUGUUUAACCAACUCGAUUAGCCGCUAAAACACAAAUCUAAUCAGAACAACUACAUCUCAAAGUGUGACCAAAAGGUGGGCUUCCGCACUAACCAAAACACAGCCCCCACCACCAAUUAAUAAGCCCUGCCCAAAAUAUGAAAAUUUCAAAAGAAAAGAAAACAGAAAAAUUUAUUUCUGAAUCGAACUAUAUUAUAUGGUACCAAACAGAAAAAUAUAUGGUACAAAUCCUACCCCUACUAGCUUACCAUUGAGAGGUGGGCCCGGAUGUUACAAUAAUCCACCGAUACUAUGAUCAAGAAGCUUUGUUCAAUGUCAAUCCGCUUGGUACAAAUGUGAUUCGACUACAGUGUUUCAGCUUGGCAAGAGCUUCCUGUGACUGACCGACCUUGAGAUCCACAUACACUGCAGUCAAAGUCGCUUCUGGACUGUUGGGUGUUAUGGACAAUGCCUGUGCAACAAACUGGCGAGCCUGGUCAAGUUCACCUUGCAUAGCGUACAAGGCAGCAAAAUUUACGUACAGGUUUGCCUGUGCUUCUUCUGGCUUGAGGAACGCAAUACCUAAUCUGUCUUCAGGUGAUGAGUUUCUGGCAGCCAUUGAUCCUCCGUUCGACUCUUCAUAAUCAUCGGCCCUGACCCCUUGCAGUUGUUCACAGUCCUCUUCACUGAAUGGUAAUUCAACGUCGUUACCACCUGACAAAUAUGUCAUCAAAUGGUCAGCAGCAUCCUUUAGCCUGUUUAGCAAGCAAAGAGCCUCUGCAGCAUACACAUGACCUAGAAAGAUGUAAAUUCUCGAACAUUCUGGAAGUUCCAAGAGAGAUCUUGCAAUUGACAAGGCCUUCAUGGGAUUUUCCAAUUCCAAUUCUACAUAUGCCAGAUUUGCCAAAAGAGCUUGUUUGAUCAACAGAUUUUCCUUGUUACGAACAUCAGCGUAAUAUGAAAGCGAGUUCUGCACAAGCUCCUGAGUGGUUCCUGCCUUUUGCUCUUUUCCAUCCCCAUUUAUGCCAACCUGACCCAAGCCUACAGAUAGCACAGAUGCCUCGGAAUUCAUGCUGUGAAAGUUCUUGUGGUUCGAAUUCUUGGAAGCUGACACUUCCCCUAAUUCAUUAUCUUCUAAGAAGAAAUUGGAGGGCAAAGAAUUCUUACAGUAGCUUGACUCAGAACGGUUCAGUAAGGACAGGGCAUUCAAGAGACACUGCCGGGCAAGGGACACGGAGAGCUUAGGCUGCCGAUCACUGCCCAAAAAUAAAUCGCCUCUUUCAAAAGAACCCAAGUUUCCAUUCUUCAAAACCCCAUCUUCCAUUACAAGUUGCCUCCACUUUCCGUUGCCAAUGACAUAAACUCUAACUUCUGAUGAUGCCAGAUUGGUUUUCAUUAGUCCCUUCUCCAAAGCCAUCAGACAGCACUCAGCAAAUCGAAGCCACAGCAGAGGCCGAUUGUAGAAAACUAAACCAGCCUUCUGAAAACAGCGAGCAGCAAGUAGUGGUUUCCCACAAGCCAAGUACUGCAUACCACAGUUGUAUACGAUUAAGAGGGAAUUGUCCUGUGAAAAAGUUGAGAGAUUUAGAGGCCGGUCCUUCCGGAGGGAUGAGCAAUUAAGCAAUGCAUUGGAGAAGAACACUGAUGAUGUGUGAUAUUUCCCAAGCUGGUAAUAAAUGCAGCCUAGAUUAUUGUUGAUCAUGCUCGAUAACCUUGUGUCUGUUCGAUUACUAGAUGCCAUCAACAACUUGAUGGCUUUACGAUAAUUACCACGAGCAUAUUCAAGCUGGGACUUCAAAAGGAGAGCCAUAGAAGAAUCUCUCCCACGUGCAAUAUUCAUAGCAUUCUUCACUUCACGUUUAGCUUGCUUUAAGUUCCUAGUGAGAAGCAGAAACUGAACCUUGUAAAGUUGCAUCUUAAGCUUCAGGUAAACAGAAGAGGCAGAUAUGUCAACCGGAUUCCUAGAAAUAUCGUUUGAAGAUAAUAGAACAGUAGGUUGUGCAUCAUCCAUGUCAAAAUCUGCAUUAUCAUACUCGCUAGUCUCCUCAGGCUCCAAAGCAUUUGGAUCUGAAUCUAAAGUAGGACCAUCUGUGGCAGAUGAAUUGGUAGAAAGGGAUGGCGGCCUUGCAACUGGGUUUGCAGGUUGUUGCAAAGCAGUGCUUCCACCAUCUCCUUGAUUCAUACAACUCACACCAAAAGCUUUAUCCAGAUAAAUCAAAACAUCCUGAAUAAAUGGAAUUACACUAAGAAUUAGUUGGGAAUCAAAUCAACAGAAUACAAACAUAGCAUGCUUAUCUUUACCCCAACGUAGCUAACCACUAAAGGAGCCCCCUCUAAUUAUAGUGCAUAACGAAGCGGGACUCGACGCAUGCUUGGACAAUUCAUACACAAAUGAACAGAACGAUUGAAUCACUAUUGAAAAAAUCAUAACGAUAGAAGUUCUUUGACCAUACUUAAUAGUAGCAUCUAUAUUGCUUUUGCAAUUAGUAAUAGGCUCAAACUUUAACCUCGCCCAAAAAUAAUUACAUUCCCAACAGCCAACAUCAAGAAUUUAACCCAACAGAUGCUUAUUUACAUUUGGUGGGCUGCUUGUUAACCUCUAAAGUAAUUCAAAUGUUCUAUAUUAAUUUUUAACAGAAGGUAUAAAGAAACAAAUAGCAUUCCAAAAAGAUGAGCUCUCCUCAAAACCUGAUGAGAUUGAUGUCCAAAAAUAAAAUAGUAGUUUUUCACAAAUUAAAGAUAAAACAAAAGGUAAAAAUAAUACAAGUUCAGUUACAGGUAAAGCACUCGCAAAAUCAAGCUAUAAGUUAGAUAAUGCUUGAGAAAAGAUCAUCAAACCGUACAACAAACAUCACCCAUCCACAUCAAAACAGGCAAGUUGAACACUAGCUUACAAUGUUAUCUUCAACCAAUGUACACUAUACUUGACAGACAUAAAAACCAUUCUAUCCCAAACUACUAUCAAGAAGACAAUUUUAAAAGAAAACUGACAUAAACCCAUUGAAUGCACAAAAUUCAAGAUGAACCAAGGUGGAAAAUCACAGUGCAAUUAAAUGGAUUCUUUUUUUUUUUUUUCAAAAAACAACACAAAACGACAGAUUACAAUCAAAGAAAAAUUAGUACCCUUUCUUCCAGUAAACCAACUUACGAGACAUAUAUCAUCAAUCAAAGAAUAAUUCAUAAGUGAUCAUUGCUUCUUUCUUACACUGUUCUAUCAACAACAAACAAAUAGAAUUUAGAAGAAGGCAAACAUUCCUCCUCUUCCAUUUGGGUGUAGAGAAGGAGGAUCACCAGCUUGAUACUAAGGUAAAGGCUUCAGCACACAUAUAAAAUUCAACAGUACCAUGCCUUGAAAACAAUGGGUGAACUAAAUGACCACCAUGCACAAUUAUAACAAAAGCAAUUACACACACUAUUAGUAUUAGUACUUACAGCAGAUUUCAUUGCAUCAUGGCAAGCCAGCCCAACAUCCAGCAACAAAAGGCAAAUAUUAAGAGCAGUUUUCUGCAUACAAAUAAAGAAGCACUUAACACAAAAUUACAAGUACAAAAAGAAUAUAAUUUUAGGUAAUAAUUAAUCUACCUCAUCUAUAGGUCCUCUAUUUUGAAAAAGAGGUUCAACAACAGACAAUGCCUUUGCAUAUUCAUGAAGAUGGAACCAGAUAACCGCCUGCAUAAGCACAGAGUUCCAACAAAAAAAUCUACUGAAUUAGAGAAAGUUAAUUGUUGGAUACAUAUAAUCAACAGUUAACACAGAAAAAAAAAUGAAAAGUUAACCAUGACAUGAUGAAGCAACAUACAAUGUUUAAGGUAGCAACAUAAGUGUCAAAUUCAUCCAUGUAAACAGCAGAAAAGGAAUGUCCCAUUGCACCACUUCCUUUGGACCCCAAUGCAACUUUAUCUCCAGUAUUGCUGCCAGACUCCACCUGUUCUGCAGAUGUUCGAGCAAGCUCUUCGCUUCGCUUCUAAACCAACACCAAUUAGAAGAAAUUAGAAUAGAAGUUAACAUGAACUUAUCAUAUUGAUGUAAAUAAAAGCUCCUGCAUAAUGCUGGUGCUUGUCUAAAUACCAAAAUGCAAAUUACUGUACUAACCAAAUGAUUGUCCCUACAUGCUAGCUCUAGUAAUCUUCAUAGUUGCUACAAUUCAGUACUACCAAGUAAACCAAAAUUAUAAUAAAUGGAAUUCAAUACUACCUAACUAAAGUUCACUUUCAAUUUGAUAUGCUAGUUUCGUGAUUUGAUGUUUCCUUUAUUAUUUAUUUUUUGGAGAUGAAAGAACAACAAAUACAAUGAAUAAAAAACUCCUAAUCAUAAGAAUUCUAACUUAUGUCUGAUUUUCACUUUCUAUCUUAUUAUAGAGGAGGACAACAAAGCCUUAUCUAUUCCUUUAAAACUUAAAAGAUUAUUCUCAGCACCAUUCCUAGAACCUCGAGAAUACCAAAAUCAUCAUUCAAAUAGUUACCAACUCUGAUGGAAAGCCCAGAAUUAUAACCUUGCUAAAUAAUAUGAACUUGCUAAUCAUCAGUAGCCCCCUUUAACAGACUCACUACAUAGUUAAAUAUAAUUGUAUAACACAGUCAAUAAAGUUUCUAAGCUUCCAAAAACAUUGUUAGUCAACAUAUACCAUAUCUAGCUUAAGGUUCAACUCUGCAUGCUUCUGCAUGGCAAUAGUUCUAAAUUGUUCCUUAACUUAUAGUUCCACGUCCAACAACCUCUUAACCCUCUCUCAACAAAGCUUUUUGUUCCUAAGUAAGGUUCUAAAAGACGUUAGGCGCUAGUCGGGCGGGGGGCGGGGGGCCGGGGCCUGGGCCUAGCGCCUAGGCGGACUAGGUGGAUUUAAGUAAAUUUGUUAUAUACCGUAUAAAUAAUUGUCUGUUUAAACUUAAAAAAAUACAUAAUUCCAUUGGAAUACGCAAAUUGCAAAAUAGAAUGAUAUAUAGAUUAUAAAGUAUUAGAACAUAAUGAAAACAUGGAGAACCAGCAUAUAAUGUGUGCUCAUCUAAGUAUUUAACAAGUCCCUUACAUUUUAUGGAAAAAAAUAAAAUGCAAAAUGAAAUUUAUUUAUUUUCUGCCUAAGUGAGAGUCACGACCUAUGCAGGUCUGGGCGGGCUAGGCAGGCGCUCUUUCUUAAUUUCAAACGCCUAGGGAAUAAUCGAGGCGGUGGCCAACCGCCGCUUAGGCGGGGAUUUUUAGACAGAUAAUACCUUAGACAUCAAAGAAGGAAUGAGUCUAGAAUAGAAAAAUGAUAAACUCUAACCCCAAGAAAAAAACAGAAGUACUUACAAGACUAGCCAGCUAAAACAUAAUCUCAAUAUAUUAGCCAUGAUAGAAAAACAGAGAGUGCUCCAAGGCACCAAAAUUCUACCACUGCUCCACCCAUAAGCACUUAAGUAUACACAAAGAAAGAACCCACCACAUCUCCUCAAAUCUCCCUCUCAGAAACUUUUUCCAGCAUCACCCUAAUACAUUUAGAGCCACUCAAAUGAAAAGUUAAACAAUUUUAGAAUUAAAACAAAAAAUCUCAUGACCUGUCCUUUGACAACUCAGAUAGUUUGAGUGUAUAAUGACGUAAAGACGUUGCAAGAAUGCCAUAUGCAAUUCUGUACUUAUGUGAGCAGUGUAAUACUAUUUAUAUGUGUGUGUGUGUGUGUCUGAUGAUGGGAAGAAAAAGAGAAAAUUUAAGAUACCUUGACAUCAUUAAGCACAUCAAGCAACCUCUUAGGAUCUGAACAACCAUCUCGAUAGAACUCCACAAGUCCAAUAUUAUGAGAUAUCUAAUAACAAUGUCCAUAAUAUGCAGAUUAGCAAUGGUAUACAAAAAGUUGAUAAAACACAUGUUAUAAGCCAUUUGAGCCAAAAUGCAGAACCAAGAAGCAACAUAAUCCAAUCUCAAUCUAUGUAAGUAAAAAUAAUCUUACAAUUGUUCUAAAGUACUCAAAAUAAGAACUUUUGGUACAGCAAAGCUAGAUUAUUCCAUCAAUUAAUCUGAAACAUGAUUUGAUGUUCAAGAUCACGGUAUUUUAAACCAUUCAUUUCCUUAUAGUACAUUUCACCAAAUUAUCCUUUACAACUAGUAGAUAUAUUUUUUGAUCAUUUUCACUCACAUGGGGGAGCAAUCAGCUUUUUCAAGAAGACGAUAUCAAACUUAGCAUUAGCGUAAGAAUUCGUAUAAUCCGCAUUAGCUUAACUACAAUUUUAGUAAUCAAAGCAACCAAAUCCCAUAAUUCAAAAGUCCUUAAAAUUCUGAUAUAUGAUCCAAACACCAAUUAUAGAUAAUCCAGAACUAAACAAUUAAUUCAACUAAAGAAAAAUAAAGAAAUGACAAGAAACCUCAAUCAUUACAAAAAUACAAAAUUAAAUCAUUUAUCGAAUCAUUUCAGAAAUUGGGUUUUCGAAAAAGGAAAAAACUUAGCUUUUCAAAAAAUAAAAAAUAAAAAACCGAAAAGAUAAUUACUUUGGGAUCGUUGGGCUUCCUCUUGAGGCACUCGGACAAGGCGGUAAGGCACUGAUCGAACUUGCCCGACUGGAAUUGCAGCAACGCAUCCUGCGCAAAACCUCGGGUCACGGACAUGACGGCUUCGACCUCGGCAGCUGAAGCAGAGCCGUCCCGAUUCGCAGCAGUUGAUGACGGAGACGAAGCCAUCGGCGAAUCGAUCAAUCAGAGCCCAGGAACCAAUAAGCCUUAUCUGAAUACACAAAUCCCCAAGAAGAAAUGAUCCAAAACAACGAACCCUAGAGGGUAAAAGGUGCGUUUUGGGGAUUGAUAUGAAGUCGGAGUUGGGGGGUUUGGGGGUUUUCGAACCCUAAGAGGUUUGCAGGAGAGGACACCUGUUCGAGCGUCUUUUGCUCGAAUGUGCUGAUUUGCAGAGAGAGAGAGAGAGAGAGAGAGAGAGUAGAAAAGGAUACGACUGAGAGGGAUACAGAUAGAGAGAGAGAAAGAAGAGAGAGAGAGCGAGAGCAGUUGUUUUGGGGGCUGGCUAUGGGAAUUUCGACGGAGGGUGUUUGCCGGGUGCACGCAACAAUUGGGCUUUUUACAGAUAACUCUGCUUCUGUUUCUCUUCUGUGCUAAACGGGCCAUGGUUUGAAACUGAUAUUCUUUGUGGGGUGUGAUUGGAAUUUUGUGAUGAUCUUGUUUUUAGCUGUGUUUCAUGUUUUGUUUGAUUUAGUAAAGGGGUGUGUUAAUUUAUGUCCUUUGAUUUUCUUUAAUUUAUUCGAUUCGACAACCAUAAAUUAAGAAGUUGUGUAUGAAGUAAAAUGGGGUGUGUCUAAGCUAAUGGUGGGAGUUAAGUUUUCAAAACAAUGAAAGUGAUUAGUAUUGUAUGGAGAUUUGGAAAGCUGUUUUUGGACACACCGGUGUGUGAUUUACAUAAUGAAAUAAUGAUAUUAACAUGCUAUUUUUAGAAUUAUAAUUACACUCAUCAAGUGGGUACCAUGUUCAAUUUCAUUCAUAAGGGAAACCAAAAUUUAAUUAGUGUGGGCUCUAGUCUACAAAGUAAUCUUGUACCAUAAUUAAUACUAGCCUUCAUGCAUGAGCUCACGCGCGUGCAAAAGAUAUUUUUUGAAUCACGGCAUGCUAAGCGCGACUUACACGUUUUAAAUGUAUUUGUAUGUGUAAAUUGACAAAAGGAAAGUCAAAUAUUUGAAGUAAAUGAAUAAUCUUAGAUCAUGCUAGAAGAAACCCCUCAUAAACCAAUUAAAGCAGUUGAAUUCACAUAAUAAAAUCGGUCUUUGUAGAAUUUACAUUAAGAAUAGAGAAAAUAAUAUUUAAUAAACAACUGAUUGAAUCACAUUAUUGCUAGCCUAUUGUGAUGCUAAGCCCACCCCCUCCCUCUUAGUGUAGAUAAUAUCAUUUGUUAAAAUAAAAAAAAAAUCAUUUGACAACUAAUUUAAUCACAUUAUUAUCCGCACGCAAAAGACUUUUUUUAUAACCGGCAUUUAAUAAACAACUGAUUGAAUCACAUUAUUGUUAACUCAUUGUGAGGUUAAGCUCACCCCUUUCACCUUAGUGUAGAUAAUAUCAUUUGUUAAAAAAAAACAAUUAUUUGACAACUAAUUUAAUCACAUUAUUAUCUGCAUGCGAAAGACUUUUUUUUUAAAACCGGUAUUACGUGCCUCUUAAGAUGUUUUGAACGUUUUUAAAAAUAGAGAAAAUAAUAUUUAAUAAACAACUAAUUGAAUCACAUUAUUGCUAGCUCAUUGUGAGACUAAGCCCACCCCCCUCCCCCUAGUGUAGAUAAUAUCGUUUGUUAAAAUAAAAUAAAAAUCGUUUGACAACUAAUUUAAUCACAUUAUUAUUCACGUGCGAAUGACCUUUUUUUAUAACUAGCAUUACACGCCUAUUAAGAUGUUUUGAACGUGUAAAAAAAAAUUAUUUGACAACUAAUUUAAUCAUAUUAUUAUCCGCGUGCGAAUGACUUUUUUAUAACCGGCAUUACACUCCUCUUAAGACUUUUUGAACGUGUUUAAAAAUAGAGAAAUUGAAUCACAUUAUUGCUAGCCUAUUCUAAGGUACUAAUUAUUAAAAAAAAAACACACACACACACACACACAUACACACAAAUUAAUUAUUAAAAAAAUACUAUUAAUAUGACGAAAAUGCCCCUGCCUUAUUUGAUGCAUUAUUUUGGGAUGCCUUUAAAGUUUUUGUUUUUGGGGGCAUUUUUGUCUAAUUAUUUUUGUUGAAGAUUGGUGAUGACACACCCCGAUCCUGAGAAUCAAGGCAUGCUGGCCGUCACGUGAGCGUGAUGUAGCCAAAAGUGCGACACGGAAGCAAGAUACAAUAAAAAUAUGCAGGGAUUAAACCAAUCACUAGCAGAAUAACCUACUAGCAUAAAAGAGUGAGUUAUAAAGUAAAACACACGAAUUCAGAGCGUAGGUAUAAGUGCAGUCAAGUAGGACUAUAAUUAAAAGUACAACACCCGCAUGUGAGUCCUACAUGCAGAACGUCUGUUAGAAUGCCGAAAAAGACCUCGUGAGCCACCAACUGCUAACUAGAACCUGGAGGGGCGCAAAACAAAGAUGAGUGGGUCAGUAAAACCAAAGAUUUUCCAAAACAUUUCAUUUAAAACAUUUCUAACCCCUCACCGUAAAACCUGUAUACUUUCCCAGAAAAAUAGUAUAUAAACAUAUAUAUACAUAUAUCAUCAAACUCGGCUCACCAUCUAUCAACACAACAUCACAGAAAGAAUAUGACAUGCCAUGCUAAAAUAUAAUAUGAAUGCAUCGAUAUAAAUCAGGUGAAAUAAUAAAUCAACCGGAGACCCUACAGUGGUCCUGUACGGCUGAUUCUAUAGCUCAACAUCCCACUCAGCCGGAGUCACCACAGUGACCUAUACGGCCUAACUCUGCACGUCACUCGGAACUACGUAUGGUAGUCUGUACGAUGAAAGGUGUAAGAAUACGCUCUAGUGCUUCUCUCAUCAAUCAUCGGUGCGCAUAACUAAGGUCACCCACUAGUCGGAAUCACAUCUAAUGAUCUAUACGACUAGCAUGUCGGAACCCUCACAUGGUCUGUACGACAUCCACCUACUUAGAUCCAAGGCGAGCGUGCGGUGUGGUGAAUAAUAAUAUAAGCAUUAACACCUAGGGUGCAGGUUAUGAGCUUUCAAUAUAAUUCACAUAAAUAAAUCGCAUGAAUAAUGUAAAAACUCACAUGUGCGUCCACAGCGUCAAUUCACAUAUAUAUACAUCAAUUAUCAAUUCAAAUAUCUCAACAAUUGCAUGCAUGGCAAAUUAAAACAUAUUUUCAUAUAAACGCAUUUUCUGGGAAAAACAGUAGUAUAUAGGUAAUACGAAAACAAAAUUGCCCACUCACUGGUAAGUCGUUGGGUCGUAACCCCCGUGACGUCCCUGGCUGCACUCGUCCUCGGGAUAGGUGUCACCUAUAUGCGAAACAACUAUAAAAACGUUAAUUUAAACACAUAACCAACAAUUCGAAAUAACUUCUCAUACGAUACUCAAUUUGGGUAUAUGAAUAUACCACAUUGACCUACUCGACGUCACGGACGUCGAGAAAUUUUUAGAAAAUUUUUUAAGCUUGCCACGCGCCCCCACGUGUUGUGGGUGGCAUGGGUCCACGCGCCCCCACGCGCAUCAUCUUCCUCAGCCAGUCGCUGGACUGGUUUUUCCGGUGGCCGGAUUCCGGCGAGUUUUAAAAUCACUUGUUCUCCUUCGUUUCUCAACCGUUUUCUUCGAAUUUUAUAUCAAUUUGAAGCCCUCAACAUGUAGAAUCACGAUGGACAAGUUUCAAGGUCUAAAAUUCACUAGAUUUUACCUGGGGAAGCACGAUAGUUCAGAAAUUUUGAGAACCUCCGUUCUCGGUCAUCCGACGUCCAAAUAUCACCAACGAAGUACCCCAAAGCUCGUGAGGAUGUCCUUAAGCUCACUGUGAGCUUGAAAUUCCCUGAAAUGCAAGAUUUCACGUGUGCAUGAACAGUGCACAUUUUUGGGGUUAGGGUUUCACAACAAUUCCGAGGGUUUCACUUCCUAAAACUAGUACCAAUCGACUCAGAACAUCACAAGGAUGAAGAAUCAUACCUUAUUUGCUUCGAUCCGCAAAGUUUUGGAGGGUUUUGGGCUUGUUCGUACAAUCGAGGGUGAGAGAGAGAGAGUCGAGAGGGAGGAGAGAGAGAGAGGUACGGGGAAGAGGGAGAGAGCAAGGAGUGCGUGAGUGUGUGUUGUGUGGUCCAACACCAAACCACAUCAUCAAUUUUUCAUCUUAAUUCCCUAACCACACAACAAUCCCACAUAAGCAAAUUCCAAAGUUUAUAAAGUUUAAGUCUAAAUAAUGUCACACACACAUACCUUAAUACCCGUCAAGGGUAAUUCUGUCAUUUCACGUUCCCGAUAUAGAAUUUUCAGGACGGGCUGUGACAAUCUCCCCUUCUUAUAGAAUUUCAUCCCCGAAAUUCCCACAACCAAAUAAAGCGCUUAAUACCCAUAGAAUAACCUUGGGUACAUCUUUCUCAUUCGAUCUUCUGUCUCCCAGGUAGCUUCCUCUACAGAAUGGUUCCUCCAUAACACCUUUACCAAGCUCACCGUCUUAUUCCUUAGAACCUUAUCUUUCCAAUCCAAGAUAGUGACUGGUUCCUCAUCAUAUGUCAAAUCUGGAUUAAUCUCUAGCGGUUGAGGAGGGAUCACAUGUGAAGGAUCAGAAAUAUAAUGUCAAAGCAUAGAGACGUGGAACACAUUAUGAACCUUAGAUAACUCCGGAGGCAACUCCAACCUAUAGGCAACUUCACCAAUCCUCUCAGUGAUCUCAUAAGGCCCUAUGUACCUAGGACUUAGCUUUCCUCUUUUUCCAAAUCGUACCAUACCUCUCCAAGGUGACAAUUUCAAAAAUACCCAAUCACCCACAUCAUACACUCGAUCAGUAGCAUGUCGAUCCGCUAAGCUCUUCUGUCGAUCCUGGGUUGCUUUCAGGUUAGACUUAAUCACCUGAAUAUUUUGAGUAGUCUCAUCCACAAUCUCUGGGCCUUCUAACACUCUUUCACCAACCUCAGACCAACACAAUGGCGUACGACACGCCCUACCAUAAAGUGCCUCAAAUGGUGACAUACCAAUGCUCGAAUGAAAACUAUUAUUGUAGGCAAAUUCCAUCAAGUCCAGGCGAUCAUGCCAGGAAUCACCAAAUUGUAACACUGAAGAUCUCAACAUAUCCUCCAACGUCUGAAUAGUCCUCUCUGAUUGCCCAUCAGUUUGAGGAUGAUAAGCAGUGCUAUAAAGCAAUUUCGUACCAAGAGCUUCCUGAAAAGCUACCCAAAAUUUAGAAGUAAAUCUUGGGUCUCGAUCAGAUAUAAUAUUCACUGGAACUCCAUGAUACUUCACAAUCUUCGUGAUGAACAACUUAGCCAAUUUAUUCAGAGGGUGACUUUUCCCUCACUGGAAUGAAGUGCGCUGACUUGGUAAGUCGAUCCACAAUCACCCAAAUACCAUCGAAUCCAUUUCGUGUACGAGGAAGCUUAUACACGAAAUCCAUAGUUAUAUUUUCCCAUUUCCACUGAGGAACGGGAAGUGGCUGCAUUCGCCCAAAAGGCUUAUUUCUUUCUGCUUUGACUUGCUGGCAAAUAAUACAUCUACUUACAUAAUCUGCAAUUUCCCUUUUCAUACCCGGCCAAUAAUAAAAUGGUCGAAUGGUAUGAUACAUCUUAGUUCCUCCUGGGUGCAUCGCAUAAGCUGAACAAUGCGUUUCAUCCAAAAUUUCUUUCUUUAAUUCCUCAUUAUUCGGUACAUACAUUCUGUUCUCCUGCAUAAGCAUGCCAUCUGAUUCUCGAAUCCUGAGGUCUUUCUUUUUCCCUUCAUUUCUUAAUUGAACCAUUUCUUGAAUUUCCUCAUCCACCAUCUGAGCUUCGAGUAUACGAUCAACCAAAACUGGCCUGACUUGAAAACUAGCAAGAAAAGCUUUGCUUCGAUCUUCCAACUCCAACUUUACUCCAGUUGCCCUCAGUUCAGCACGAAGAGGAACACGACAAGCAUAUAAAGCAUUGAGUUGACCUUGAGGUUUCCUACUCAGUGCAUCAGCUACCACAUUAGCACGACCCGGAUGAUACUCAAUAGUGCAGUCAUAAUCACUUAGCAAUUCCAUCCAUCUUCGCUGACGAAGAUUAAGAUCAUGUUGAGUAAAUAGAUACUGGAGACUCUUGUGAUCAGUGAAGAUCUUACAGUUCUCACCAUAUAAAUAAUGCCUCCAAAUCUUCAAAGCAAAGAUAAUGGCUACCAAUUCAAGAUCGUGAGUAGGAUAAUUCCUUUCAUGAUUUUCAACUGCCGAGAAGCAUAGGCAAUCACUCUAUUAUGCUGCAUCAAAACACAUCCCAAACCAUUCAAGGAAGCAUCACUGUAAAUCUCAAAAUUAUCGCUAUCAUCAGGAAGUACCAAUAUUGGAGCAUGAGUGAGGCAAUAUUUCAAUUGCUGGAAACUCCGCUCACAAUUCUCAUCCCACUCGAAUUUAACAUCCUUCCUGGUCAACUUCGUUAACGGCAAGGCAAUCAUAGAAAAAUCCUGAACAAACCGUCGAUAAUAACCUGCCAAACCAAGAAAACUUCGUACCUCAGUGACGGUUCGAGGUUGUUCCCAAUUCUCCACUGCUGCUAUCUUUUGAGGAUCUACUUGAAUUCCUCGUGCCGAUACAACAUGCCCAAAAAAUGCCACUUCAGUCAACCAAAACUGACAUUUACUGAACUUGACAUACAACUGAUGUUCCCUCAAUUUCUUUAAUACCAAGUUAAGGUGUCGGAUAUGAUCCGCUUUAGACUUAGAGUAUACCAGAAUAUCAUCAAUAAAAACAAUAACAAAUUUAUCAAGAUAUUGCUGGAAUACCUUGUUCAUUAACCUCAUGAAAGCUGCAGGUGCAUUAGUCAACCCAAAUGGCAUAACCAGAAAUUCAUAAUGUCCGUAAUGGGUUCGGAAAGCCGUCUUAGGUACAUCUUUAUUUUUAAUCUUCAACUGAUAAUAACCAGAUCUCAAAUCAAUCUUAGAGAAUACACACACACCUUUCAGCUGAUCAAACAAAUCAUCGAUGCGAGGCAAUGGAUAAUGGUUUUUAAUCGCUACCCGGUUCAAUUGCCUAUAAUCAAUGCAUAAUCUCAGAGUUCCAUCUUUCUUCCUCACAAAUAAUACUGGAGCUCCCCAAGGUGACGAACUAGGUUGAAUGAAACCUUUAACAAGUAAUUCUUGUAACUGAAUUUUUAAUUCUCUCAACUCAACUGGAGCCAUUCUAUAAGGAGUUAGAGAUAUAGGAUCAGUACCUAGAAGCAAAUCAAUAGAGAAUUCCACAUCUCUGUCUGGCGGCAACCCCGGUAAAUCAUCAGGAAAUACAUCAGGAUAAUGCCUGACCACACCAACUUCUUCUACACUGCUGGGAACAACAUCAUUUAACACCACAUGUGCUGAAUAUCCUUGACAACCCUUCGAUAAUAACUUCCUUGCUCUUAUGGUAGAAAUAACACCAUGUCUCAUCCCCUUUCUUUCGCCAACAAAAGUAACCUCGGGUAGUCCAGGGCGAUAAAAAGUAACUGAUUUCCCAUAACAAUCAAUAUGGGCACGAUUAUAAUGCAACCAAUCAGCCCCUAGAAUCACAUCAAAAUCCACAAUAUCUAACGGAAUAAGAUCAGCUGGCAUAACUACGCCCUCUACCAUCACUGGACACCCAAGAUACACACUAUCAACAUAACAUUUAUCUUCUCUAGGUAUGGCAAACUCUAAAUCAAAUCCUAGAGGUGAAAGGUGAGGUUGAGUCAUUUGAGUAAACGUAUGAGAAAUAACAGAAUGCGUAGCACCACAAUCAAUCAAAACUCUAGCAAAAUGACCAAGAACAUUUAACGUACCCAUGAUCAAAUCUGGAUGGUUCUGAGCAUCUUGCAGUGAGAUGUGAUUAACACGCCCUUGAGUUUGCUGUCGUCCACCACGACCUCUGCUGCCUUGAUUACCUCGCCCCUGAGAAGUACGUCCCUGGCCUGACUGAUUGGACUGCACCACCAGCAGCAACUUCCCCAUGACAGGGCUGACCUCCCUGAUGCCAUUAAGAUCCACCCGCUGGCAUAGAUGAAUAAGAAGAAUAACCCCCAAAGUCCUGGGAAUACCCUGUCUGAGAAUAAGUCUCCUGGGGAUACUGAUAAGGUCCGGAAACAUACGAAGCAGCAUCCCCCUGGUAGUGGUAAGCACCACCACGACCCGACUGGCCAUAACUGCCUGGUCCAAAGCUCUGCUGAAUCGGUGUUGGAGGUGGCAUAGUGGUCUGCUGAGGUCUCUGCUGACCCUGGGGACAUUGAGAAGCCCGAUGUCCCAUUUGCCCACAAGUAUAACAAGCACCACCACCUCUCCUGCACUUACCAUGAUGACGAAAAUUACAACGGCGGCACCACAGAGCACCAGAACCACCAGCACCACCGGAAUUCCUCUGCCUCUGGAAUCUGGGUCCACUAGAAAAUCUUCCACCACCUCUCAUCGGGCCAGUAAUACUAUAUCCUCCACUAGAAGAACUCGAACUCGCUCAACUCUUCUUAAAAUUCUGCGUCUUGCGAGGUCCCGGAAUGAAGAUACCCUUACCUUUAUCAUCCUUCUUCUGACCAUCAUUCUUGUCCUCGUCAUCCUCACUGUUACUGGGAAGAUUAUCGGAGUCCUCCAUCCUAACCAAAAUCUCAAAAAACUCAUGAUAAUCGGCGCAGGGAAGUGCACUGGCAAAAGUCUGCCAUUUUCUCUUAGUUCCCAAUUUGAAACGUCGAAGCAUCUCUACCUGAUUACCAGCUGUAUCAGGGUCAUAACGAGACAAAUCAGUAAACUUUCUGUAGUACUCAUGUGCUGACAUUUUCCUUUGUUUCAAUCGAGUAAAUUCCUGUUUCUUGCGAUCAAUAUACUCUGGAGGGACAAAUCUUUUCUUGAAAUUCUCCUUAAAUACCUCCCAAUCAGCUGCCAUUUCUGGGGACAUAAACUGAGUUUGAUUCCUCCACCAACAUGAUGGCUCUCUACCCAAAAACCAGGUAGUGGUCUCCACCCACCUGUCAGCAGGAAAGUUUCCCUGACUUUACCUCACCUGAAACGUCUUCUCAAUAUGGUCUAGCCAUUUCUCUGCCCCCUCGUGACCCUCAUCACCCAUAAAACGAUCCAAUUUCAAAUUGUACAUAGUCUCCAGGGGUGUCAUCUGAGAAGGGGGAGGAGGACGAAUUGCAUUCUGAAAAGCCUGGGCCAUUGCUUCCCCUAACGGAGUGAUAUCCGGGAAAUUAGGUUCAGAAGUACGGCGGGAUUCCCUACGUUCCCUACGAGGCGACAUAAUUAUGACAGAAAACAUCAAAAGAUCAUUAGAGCAUUAACAAUUAUACAAGACUGCAACCUAGGCUCUGAUACCAAACUGACACACCCCGAUCCUGAGAAUCAAGGCGUGGUGGCCGUCACGUGAGCGUAACGUAGCCAAAAGUGCGACACGGAAGCAAGAUACAAUAAAAAUAUGCAGGGAUUUUAACCAAUCACUAGCAUAAUAACCUACUAGCAUAAAAGAGUGAGUUAUAAAGUAAAACACACGAAUUCAGAGCGUAGGUAUAAGUGUAGUCAAGUAGGACUAUAAUUAAAAGUACAACACCCGCAAGUGAGUCCUACAUGCAGAACGUCUGUCAGAAUGCCGAAAAAGAUCUCGUGAGCCACCAACUGCUAACUAGAACCUGGAAGGGCGCAAAACAAAGAUGAGUGGGUCAGUAAAACCAAAGACUUUCCAAAACAUUUCAUUUAAAACAUUUCUAACCCCUCACCGUAAAACCUGUAUACUUUCCCAGAAAAAUAGUAUAUAAACAUAUAUAUACAUAUAUCAUCAAACUCGGCUCACCAUCUAUCAACACAACAUCACAGAAAGAAUAUGACAUGCCAUGCUAAAAUAUAAUAUGAAUGCAUCGAUAUAAAUCAGGUGAAAUAAUAAAUCAACCGAAGACCCUACAGUGGUCCUGUACGGCUGAUUCUAUAGCUCAACAUCCCACUCAGCCGGAGUCACCAUAGUGACCUAUACGGCCCAACUCUGCACGUCACUCGGAACUACGUAUGGUAGUCUGUACGAUGAAAGGUGUAAGAAUACGCUUUAGUGCUUCUCUCAUCAAUCAUCGGCGCGCAUAACUAAGGUCACCCACUAGUCGGAAUCACAUCUAGUGAUCUAUACGACUAGCAUGUCGGAACCCUCACAUGGUCUGUACGACAUCCACCUACUUGGAUCCAAGGCGAGCGUGCGGUGUGGUGAAUAAUAAUAUAAGCACUAACACCUAGGGUGCAUGUUAUGAGUUUUCAAUACAAUUCACAUAAAUAAAUCACAUGAAUAAUGUAAAAACUCACCUGUGCGUCCACAGCGUCAAUUCACAUAUAUAUACAUCAAUUAUCAAUUCAAAUAUCUCAACAAUUGCAUGCAUGGCAAUUUAAAACAUAUUUUCAUAUAAACGCAUUUUCUGGGAAAAACAGUAGUAUAUAGGUAAUACGAAAACAAAACUGCCCACUCACUGGUAAGUCGAUGGGUCGUAACCCCCGUGACGUCCCUGGAUGCGCUCGUCCUCGGGAUAGGUGUCACCUAUAUGCGAAAUAACUAUAAAAACGUUAAUUUAAACACAUAACCAACAAUUUGAAAUAACUUCUCAUACGAUGCUCAAUUUGGGUAUAUGAAUAUACCACAUCGACCUAUUUGACGUCACGGACGUCGAGAAUUUUUUAGAAAAAAUUUUAGGCUUGCCACGCGCCGUGGGUGGCACGGGUCCACGCGCCCCCACGCGCAUCAUCUUCCUCAGCCAGUCGCCGGACUAGUUUUUCCGGUGGUCGGAUUCCGGCGAGUUUUAAAAUCACUUGUUCUCCUUCGUUUCUCAACCAUUUUCUUCGAAUUUUAUAUCAAUUUGAAGCCCUCAACAUGUAGAAUCACGAUGGACAAGUUUCAAGGUCUAAAAUUCACUAGAUUUUACCUGGGGAUGCACGAUAGUUCGGAAAUUUUGAGAACCUCCGUUCUCGGUCCUCCGACGUCCAAAUAUCACCAACGAAGUACCCCGAAGCUCGUGAGGAUGUCCUUAAGCUCACUGUGAGCUUGAAAUUCCCUGAAAUGAAGAUUUCACGUGUGCAUGAACAGUGCACAUUUUCGGCGUUAUGGUUUCACAACAAUUCCGAGGGUUUCACUUUCUAAAAUUAGUACCAAUCGACUCAGAACAUCACAAGGAUGAAGAAUCAUACCUUAUUUGCUUCGAUCCAUAAAGUUUUGGAGGGUUUUGGGCUUGUCCGUACAAUCGAGGGUGAGAGAGAGAGAGAGUCGAGAGGGAUGAGAGAGAAAGAGGUACGGGGAAGAGGGAGAGAGCAGGGAGUGCGUGAGUGUGUGUUGUGUGGUCCAACACCAAACCACAUCAUCAAUUUUUCAUCUUAAUUCCCUAACCACACAACAAUCCCACAUAAGCAAAUUCCAAAGUUUAUAAAGUUUAAGUCUAAAUAAUGUCACAUACACACAUACCUUGAUACCCGUCAAGGGUAAUUCUGUCAUUUCACGUUCCCGAUAUAGAAUUUUCGGGACGGGCUGUGACAGGUGACACCAAAACACUAUUCUCUUUUUCUUCUCUCUUUAUAUAUAAUAGCCUUCAUGCACGCGCUCACGUGCGUACAUAAGAGAAUUUUUGAAUCACAGCGUGCUACUCGCGACUUAUAUGUUUUAAAUGUAUUUAUAUGCAUAAAUUGACAAAAAAAAGUCAAAUAUUUGAAGUAAAUGAAUAAUUUUAGAUCAUGUUAGAAGAAAUCCCUCAUAAACCAAUUAAAGCAGCUGAAUUCACAUAAUAAAAUCGGUCUCUGUAGAAUUUACAUUAAAAAUAGAGAAAAUAAUAUUUAAUAAACAAUUGAUUGAAUCAUAUUAUUGCUAGUCUAUUGUGAGGCCAAGCCCACCCAUCCCCUUUAGUGUAGAUAAUAUCGUUUAUUUAAAAAAAAUCAUUUGAAAUUUAACUUAAUCACAUUAUUAUCCGUGUGCGAAAGACCUUUUUUAUAAAUGGCAUUACAUGCCUCUUAAGAUGUUUUAAACGUGUUUAAAAAUAGAGAAAAUAAUAUUUAAUAAAUAACUGAUUGAAUCACAUUAUUGCUAGCCCAUUGUGAGGCUAAACUCACCCUCUCCCCCUUAGAGCAACUUCACCCUUAGAGCCUUCCCCCAGGCAAUCCACUAUUCAAUCCACCCUGUAAACAGUACCUGCCAUAAUGAACAGUAACUGUCUUUUGCAUCUCCACCCUUGCACUUAAAUAGCCUUGGCAAUAGGCAAUAAAAUAUUUAUUAAUUUUUUUUUACAAAAUAAUACUAAAUAAUUUUUUUUGUAAUUUCGGAUAAGAUAUUUUAAAUCGUUCUCGUUGCGCUACAUGCCAUUUACCCAAAAUGACUAUUAUUGGUCAUAGAUUUCGAUAAGAUUUUUAUCCAAUGUCAUCGUGCCACAUGUCGUUAUCUUUUCAGAAUAUUUGAGGAUAGAUUUCGAUCAGAUUUUAAAUCGUUCUCGUUGCACCACGUGUCAUUAUCCGAAAAGAUAAUUAUUGGUGAUGGAUUUCGAUAAAUUUUUUAUCAAAUGUCGUCGUGCCACGUGUCGUUAUCUUUUCAGAAUCUUUUAGGAUAGAUUUUGAUCAGAUUUUUAAUGAAUGAUGGCAUGCCACGUGGCACUAUCUACAACCUAAUCAUUUCAGAAUUCUCCAUAUAAUCCAUUAUCUAUCCUUUUAAAUCUCACACUAAUUUUCUCAAUAUCUCUAUCAUUAUUCAUAGUUACCGUUUCCUUCUUCACCAAAUCAAAAUCUGUAUCAUUAUUCAUAGUUUCUACUUACAAUGUCUUCUUCUUCAAGCAUGAUGUGAGAAAUCAAUCAAGAAGAGGAAGAAUUGUUUAACUAAUCUGAAGGAAUGUUCAAUCUCCAUAUAGCCCAAUAUGAGAAGGAAGAGGAUGAGGAGCGAAGAAGGAGAGAUGACGAAGCAAGAAUGGCCAGAGACUCACAUUCCCGUCGAGUCAUCCAAGCUGUGGCUCAGAUAUGCAGGCCCACCUGUUCCGAAAACCUUGAUAGAAGCAGGCAACAACGAGGUGAAGAGGUGUUGGACGAUUAUUUUGUCCAUAAUAGUGCAUUUCCUGAUACGUACUUCAGACGUCGUUUUAGAAUGGAACGAUAUUUGUUCAACAAAAUCAUGAUUGCUAUUUGCAACCAUGAUUCUUACUUUGUGCAAAAGAAUGAUGCUUGUGGUGCUAUGGGUCUCCUUCCCGAGCAAAAAAUUACUGCUGCGUUGCGGAUGCUUGCGUAUGGAGCAUCUGCAGACCAAGUGGAUGAGAUAGCGAGGAUGGGGAAAUCAACCAUUCUUGAGUCCUUGAUGAGGUUUUGCGAAGCAAUAGAAUCUAUCUACACCGUAGAGUACCUCUGGAAACCUACUCACAUGGACUUGGAAAGGCUUCUGAAGAAGGUGGGGAUACGAGGUUUUCCUGGGAUGAUUGGGAGCAUUGAUUGUAUGUAUUGGACGUGGAAAAACUGUCCAAGUGCAUGGCAAGGCGCUUAUGGAGACAGAAAAUGAGCAAAAAGUAUCAUUUUGGAGGCGGUGGCAUCUUUUGAUACAUGGAUUUGGCACGCCUUUUUUGGGGUUUCGGGAGUUCAAAAUGACCUCAACGUCUUUGCCCAAUCCCCAGUGUUCAAUGAUGUCCUGCAAGGAAAGACACCAAAAUUCACGUAUGAGGUUAACGGAUGUAUGUACGACGGGCCAUACUACCUAACUGAUGGCAUUUACCCAAGGUGGUCAACAUUUGUCAAAACAGUGCCACGACCACGAAGUGCAAAGGAAAAACACUUUGCAAGAUGUCAAUAGGGGUGCAGGAAGGAUGUGGAGCGUUGUUUCGGUAUCCUCCAAGCUCGCUGGGCGAUCGUCAGGGGUGCUGCCAGAUUGUUUGAUGUAGAGUCGCUUCGAUCCAUCAUGAUGACGUGCAUCAUUCUUCACAACAUGAUUGUGGAAGAUGAGUACGAUUAUAAAGCCAUUGAUGAAUAUGAGCCAGACACGAUGAACAAUUCAAGAACACGUAUAUAUUGUGCUCAUGACGCCACCAAUAAGCCCGUGCAACAUGAGCCAUUAGAAAGGGACAGACGUUACAAUGAAAGGGUCAUUCAACGAUAUACUUCAUUUCAAAGGCCAGACAUGCACAAUGCCCGGCAAAAUGACUUGAUAGAGCACCAGUGGGCAUUGAAACAAGCUGAAGAUAAUUAAGUUCAUUUAAUGUGUUUUUUAUUAUUUGGUAUGUUUAUGUAAUUUUAUUUGGUGUGUUUUAUUUUAGUUCAUUUAGUGAGGUUUUUAUUAUUUGGUGUGUUUAUGUAAUUUUAUUUGGUGUGUUUUAUUUUAGUUCAUUUGGUGAGGUUUUUAUUAUUUGGUGUGUUUAUGUCAUUUGAAUAAAGAUUCUCUUAUAGUAUAAAUAUAUUACCAUAUUAAAUAAAUUUAUUCUCACUUUAAAUAAAGUACUAAAUUCAAUAAAUUCGAAACAACAUAAAAUACUCAAUUCAAUAAAUAAUAAAUUACAACCCAAGGUGAUUGGAAAACUAUGGGCUCCGAUUACAAAAAGUACUCUAAUCAUCAUCACUUAACCAAUUUGUGGUGCUAGGAUGAUCUUCUCUUGUCGUGCUAGGACCAUCUCCUCUUGCUCUCGCUUCUCUUGCACGCCUCCUACGCACCACAUCCUCUUUCUCCGACUUCCAAAAAAUAUUUAGAAUUUGGAGACUUCCCUUCUAAAGGCGUGUUCAUAAUCUCACGAUCUCGUUGAGCCAUUCUUUCUUCUCUAACCAGUUCCCUUUCUUGCCUAAGUAGCUCUCUUUCUCUCUGAUUAACUUGAAAUUCUCUCUCAACAGCUGUAGCUUUUGCCUCAUCUCUAGCCUUAUCAGCCUUAAAUUUCGCCAUUUUCCACGCCAAAGUCAAUUCACUAUGGCGAGUAAGUUCUUCCAUGUACUUUGCAUAAUCAUGCUUGAAAGCACUUCAUUUUCUUUUUGAAGCCUUCUUACCUUGAGGCCUAAUUGGAUAACGGGUCAAACCCGACGCUUGUUCAGGGAUGGGCGUUUCGGGCACUUCUGCAUUAUCUUCAUGCGAGCCAUUAUCAGGUGUAGAGUAUAGCGGGGUGCUGUUCAUGACAACUUCUGGACCGACAGGCACAACUCUGAAUUUAGGACAAUCUUUGACAAUAUUCCAACAUUCCCACUGGUUGAAUGAUUUAUUUUUGGUUUUGGUUUUGGCACCAUACCAAGCUUGUGCUUGAAUUAGCUACACAAUGGGGGAGAAUAAAUAAUUAUAAUCAAAGUAGGUAACAAAUAAAUAAUACAAACAAAUAAUUAUAAUUAAAGUAGGUAACAAAUUAUUGGUAACAAAUAAAUAAUACAAACAAAUAAUUAUAAUUAAAGUAGGUAACAAAUAAAUAAUAAAAAAAAAUAAUUAUAAUUAAAGUAGGUAACAAAUAAAUAAUACAAACAAAUAAUUACAAUGUAAAUUUGGGUAUAGUAUAAACAAAUAAAUAAUAUAUUGUUACCUGAUUCGUGUAAUUUUCCCUACUUCGAAGAUUACUACUAGCUUGUGCCAAGGCGUCUCUCCAAAUAGUAAACGAUCGGCUAAGUAAUUUCCAACAACUAGACAUCGAUUCUUUGGUUCUACUCCCACCCAUUUUCUCAAGAUAAUUGGUGUUGAGCAAAAAUUGUACAUAAUAUGUAAACAAAUAAUUCACUCGACACAAUUUCACCCUCGUUCUUUUUUCCGAAGAGGGUUUUAUUAAUUCGAGUUCGACCCAUUCUAGGCUAUGCGCCUAUUAAUUACAACCCUUCUUUUGGGAAAGGAAUACCCUUUGAUUCCAAUUCGAAUAAAAUGUAACUUGAGGAUUUUGGUGUUUGUUUGAUUUUUUGACUGCAUCUAGGUCGAAUCCUAGAUUGCCUACGUACCCUCUUGAGGGUUCAAGUCACUCGUAGUUCAUGAUGUAUUUGUUGGAGUUUAAUGCCUUGUGCAGUUUUAGCUCAUGCGGGCAAGGAGCAACUGAUGCCUUGUGCAGUUUUAGCUCAUGCAGGCGAGGACUUUAAGCCGUUGGAGCUGUUUAGUGCCUUAUGCAGUUUUAACUCAUGCGGCGAGGAGCAUUAGAAAAUUUGAUGUGGCUUUAUGCCAUUUGAGAUUUUUCUUCGGCUUCGUGCCACUUGGGAUUUGAUACGGCUUUGUGCCCUUUGAAACUUUUCUUCGGCUUCGUGCCAUUUUGGUAUUUGAUAGUAGGAGUGAAUUUAGUUUAUAUAAACCAGAGAUUCGUUUCGGUUUCACGGUUGCGUCUAUAACUUGAUAUCAGACUGCCUACGUAUCCUUAACGGAAUCAAACCAGCGUAGUUCGUUAUCUUGAUUUCAUGGUUGUGAUAGAAAAUUGAUAUCAAACUGCCUACGUAUCCUUAAUGGAAUCAAACCAGCGUAGUUCGUAAUGUAUUUGAGACCUUUCUUCGGCUUCAUGCCAUUUGGAAUUUAAUACGGCUUCAUGCCAUUGAAUCGGCUUUUAGCCAUUUGAGGCAGCUUUGUCCCAUUUAAAGUGGUUUUGUGCCGUUUGAGCGUAGAGUAAAUUAACGGAUUUAUUUCUGAUAAACCCACUAAUAUUUUGGCAUUUGACUCUAGCUUGGUACCAUUUCUUACUCCAUGUUUAAUUUUACUUUUCCUUUGCAGCUUUCUUUCUUCUGACAAAUUUGUAGGGGAUCAUGCUUGGAAUAGAGAAAAUAUUUUAUCUAACUCCUUCACGGGAUUCAUCCCAUACGGGUUAUGUGUUGAAAGCAGCCUUCCCCUUUGUUUUUAUACUUUUAUUUUGAACUUUCAAUCCCACUCAACAUGGGAUUUUAGUCCCAUUUGUCCCAAGCUUCUUUCUAAUAUGUCAGCAAGCCUUUUUUUCUUCUUUCACCUUUCCAAGUCCAAACAGGACCUUUUCAUGGAGUCAGGAAGAUAGUUAUCUUCUGCUGUUCAUUUGAGUACGCGGCGUAGUUUUCAGAAUUUUAUGAAGUCAACGAGAGUCGUUGCAUGUCCUCUUUAUUUCCUUGUGAGAUUAACAUAAUCUUCUUUUUGCAUGCAAAUUCCGUGAGUCAUCUCCCCAUUAUUUCUUUAGGAAACAAUGAUAUUUUUUCAAUCUUUGGUGUCUUAGAGCAGCUGCUGUAUGAUUGAGAUGAUAGUGUUGAUUAUUAUUUCUUUUUUAUUUUGCUUCAUCUUGGUGCUCGUAGAGCAGGUGGAACAUGGACUGCAGCUGUACCAAUUUUGGUGCACCUUGAGCCCGGUCUUAGCCUUCCAAUUUUGUUUGACUUUAACUAGUGUCGUAGGCUUUUUGUCCCCAUGCCGUGAAGAUAUCAAGGGGCAAAUUUGUUUUGUACCCUUUAGUUAGUUUGCUUCCAUAUUUUCUUUUCUUCCUGCACCAUAUUCGAUUAAAUUGGGUCCUUCUCAUAGUGCCCACGUGAGUGGAAAGUUUUGGAGGGGCUUUUGUUUCCCUCUCAUGCCGUAGCCUUUUCAUCUCACCAUUUUAUAUGUUUUUUUUUUUGUCUGGUACCACACAUUAUGAUGGAGUUCUUAUAAACUACAAUACAACAGCCUGAGAACUUUCUUUUAAACAAAAAAAAAAAAAUCUUUGAGGCAACUUCUCCCACCAUGUGUGAACUUGGAAAAAAAAAACACGAGGGCUCUUCCCUUUCUUUUUAAAGAAACUUGCAGCCGCAGUUCUCUGGGCACCAGAAAAUCGUGAUGAUAAUCACUCUGCUACGGAAGAAAAUUGAAGGACUGGCCAUUUUCUUUAAACACUCAUAACCAACGGUUGCGCGGAAGGAGGGAACGGUACGAGCUGCUCAUUUUCUUCUUGACAUGGACGAAAAGUAUGGAUGGAAGGUACUGCUUCGGGGAUAAAGAACUUGAAAUCUCAAUUUCAAAAUCUUAUUUGUCCAGGUGUUGCCGCAGCGUCAUUGUUGUUGCCUUGUUCGAAACUAUCCUUACAUUAUCGGCGGGUUUCAGGACCAUAGCUGGGCACGAUGGUUUCUUCCUUCCCAUUUGUUCGAUCGUGGAGGAUGAUAGUUUCUUUUCUGUUGUAUCUCUUAAACUUCUUUAAACACCCAAGAAGUUGCUCUUUCUCUGUCGCAUUUCUGAAAAGAGAAAGAUGUCAAAACUUCUUUAGACACCCAAGAGAUUGCUGCUUCUCUGUUGUAUCUCCGAAGAGAGAAAGAAAGAUAUAGAAACUUCACGCAAGAGAUUGCAGGAGGCCGUGGGAAGCGGAUCUGCUGCGUUUUGGUGGGAUUCAUGCCGCCCGGAGUGAGCAUUGUGAUAAUGGUUGUUCUUUGUGAGUGGCUUUCUUCGAGUUCUUUUGGUUUUAUGCAACACAGCAUCACCAAACCCAUUUCCUUCAAGCCACAUCGACUUCCUUCGGGUUCUUCUGGUUUUAUGCAACACGGCAUCACCAAACCCAUCUCCUUCAAGCCACAUCCUGCGACUUCCUUCGGGUUCUUCUGGUUUUAUGCAACACGGCAUUACCAAACCCAUUUCCUUCAAGCCGCGUAGUGCACGGGUUCCAUCUGGAAAACCACCGGAGACGACGGUUGGAGACGUGGUACGACUGCCAUUUCUGUUUGGGAUUUUUUUUGUCUAACGUCGACAGUUGCUAGCAUAUAAGUUCUUGUUGCUGCCCAAAGUUUUUUAAAGACAACGUUUGCCUGCAAAAUAAUUUUACUAGAGAGCAGAUGAAGAGAAAAGAAUCAUAGUUUUGUACCUUUUGAUUGUUGCUUGUAGUUUGCUCUUCUUCCUUGAAAGUCUCAUCUUUCGUUGCUCAAUUUCUAUCUCAAUUUCUGCAGCGUACCUUUCCUUUUCUUUCGUCCUCCGUGUGCUGCAAUUUCUGCAGCGUCUCCCUCUUUUUUUCCUGUCCUCCCUUUUUUUGCUGUGGUUGAUGCCUGUUUAUAGGCAUCUUAGGAGGUUUCCAGAGUUCUUACGUGGGGGAGGAUAAAGGCCUUUCUUUUCGCCACCUUCUCUUAAACUGACUCCACUUUUCUUUUUUUGUUGCAGGAAAUGGGGGAGCCGCUGAUUUUGUAUGUUUCUUCCCUCUUUUGUAGGGAAAUGCAUAUUUUAUUUUAUUUUAUUUAUGGAUGUAUGUAAAGCCCAUCCUCAUUUUUGUUGGGCUGGAUUACAUCUUGUUUUGCCUUGUAGUUUGACCCAAUUUGUAUGGACCUUAUUUUUUAUACGUCAUGUAUUUUUAUUGUUCAACAAUUGGUAUGAAUAAGACUCCACAUUUCUCGCAACUGCAUCUCAUUACCCGUACACGAACUAUGAGUAACUUCAACCCAACUAGUACACAAUGCAACAUCUUCAAGAGACGUCCAAUUUGUACCUGCAUCAGUAGUCAUUUUGUUGAAAAAAAUUGGAUUGAAAUUUUGAGAGAAAGAUAGGAAUGUGAUUGAAAGUAGUUGAGAACAUAUGAAAUUGUGGUGUAAGGUAGAUGAUAAUGAGAAGGUAUUUAUAGAAAAGUAGAAACAUUUUUUUAAAAAAAAUUUCAGAUAUUUUUGAGGAAUUUUUUUACAAUUUUUUUUAAUUUUUUUAUUCAAAUAAUUAAUCUCUACCGUUGGAUUUAAAAAAAAAUUGAAUUCCAACACUCCAAAUUAUGCCACGUGUCACAACGGUAACUUUUCUUAAUUUUAAAACUAUUUUUUCGUUUUAUGUAUUUAUUUAUAAAGCAUAUUAAUAUCGACCGUUGAUCUCAGAUCGAACGGUUGAUAUUAAAUAAGAUUUUUUGUAUUUUUUUUACCGUUGAGAUCAAACGGUCCAAGUUAAAUAGCCAUUGAGAUCAAACGGACCGUGGCUUCCCAACAGUCACAUUGAAGUCUGAAAAGGCUUCUGUUUUUUCUGAAAAGUUGUCGGGCGACACGCCCCCACGCUCGAGUGGGGUGCACGCGCCUGACAGAAAAAAAAUUAAAAAAAGGCCUGGAGCUCGGGCUUGUGGGCUGUCAACUCUUCACAGGCCCGGAGCUCGGGCCUCCACCUCCGCUCGGGCUCCUUCACGCUGGAGCAAAUCUACAGGGCCUCGGGCCCUUUUCUCUUACUUGUCCCCCGAGCAAUCUACAUGGGUGGAGUUGCUCUUAGUGUAGAUAAUAUUGUUUGUUAAAAAAAACAAUUAUAUCGUUUGUUAAAAAAAAAAAACAAUCAUUUGAUAACUUAUUUAACCACAUUGUUAUCCGUGUGUGAAUUUUUUUUUUAUAACCGCCAUUAUACGCCUCUUAAGAUGUUUUGAACGUGCUUAAAAAUAAAGAAAUUAAAUCAUAUUAUUGCUAGCUUAUUGUGAGGUACUUAUUUAAAAAAAAAGCAUCAGAAAGUAAAUUAUUAAAGAAAUACUAUUAAAAUGACAAAAAUGCCCCUACCUUAUUUGAUGUAUUAUUUUAGAAUGCCUUUGAAGUUUUUUGUUUUGGGGGCAUUUUUGUCCAAAUAUUUUUGUUGAAGCAUGACACCAAAUCCCUAUUCACCUUUUCCAUUCUCUUUAUAUAUAAUAGAAUAGAAGAUAGAUAAUACAGAAAACAUAAGUAAUUCAGUUAUGUACAUAACAUAUGCCCAGCUCCAACAUUUGGGGCUCUACAUUUCUAUACACAGGAAACUGUCAAAGUAGAAGCUGAAAGCCUGAGAGUACUGAGAUAGCCAAACUAUCCCUUUCUCAACAGCUCCAAGAUGCACUCUGCAUUCCGGAUAUCUUGGUUGUCUUGCGUAUCCUCGUUCCCCUGCGAAAAAUCCAUGCUUGUGAAAGUCUGGAUGCCCGGGCCGUGACCGCUACAAUCCCUCUCCCUUCCUUGCUGUGCUCGCCUUACUUCCUUCUGAUGCUCAGUUAGUUCCAACCUUUUCCUUUUCAAACUCGAACAUGGAGGCAUUUCUUUGAGCUCACCGCCUAUCGUGUCCUCUUGCAGUUCUACUCUUUUUGAGCCUCUGUUAUGGGUUGCAUUGACCCUGUAUCUUGGUGGAGCGGUAGCGGAUCCCGGUCUUGAUUGACAUCUUUGACGUGGUGGGCUUCUCUUAUGGAGGCUUAUUCUUCCAUUUCUCCAGAGCUUGUCUAAGACAUGACGUAAGGUCUGGGGGUAAUCCAAUUCAGUUUGUUCGCCAUAUGUGGAAUUCCAGAAGGUGAUGGUUGGAUUUGAAAUGGACAGGUUUGAGUGAUCAAGAGUUUUUGCAAGGAUGGGUGCUUGGAGUUGGAGAAAUGCAGAGUCAAAGAUUAUUGGAGGCUGACUCCUCCUUAAACAAUUAAGCGUUUCUGCCCACAGGAGUUGAAAUUGAUUGCUGGUGUUCUCAUCUUGUGUUUCCAUGAGUACCAGCCACUGAAGCAGUGGAUCAGAUACUAUCUGCAAGUACAUGACGCAUUAAACCAACAUUAACAAUAUUUUAGCUAUGCAUUUACACACUGAACAAUAAGGAAACCUGAAAUAACAGAUGAAACGGCAAGAAAUUUCAGUAUCUUGAUCACCAACUCCAACAGAUAAGGACAACGCUCUCAGAACAGCUUUCCUAUGAGGAACAUACUCUAAUAGAAGGUUUCCAGCACCCAUAGUUUAGAUGAAUUUAUAGUGAAGAUUCUACGGUUUGCCAAAAAUAAAAAAUAAGAUAAAAUUUUAAGAGCCGGUGCAUGCUCAUUGCACAUUUGUUAGGGUUUAAGAAUAAUUUGAACAGAUAUCAUUCACUUCCCACUUGCAACAACUUUGAUCAGAAACUGAUUCAAUUUGGGAAUAAAGAAAAACAAUCUAAAGAUCUAUGGCAGUGAACUGGUACACAGCCUAUCAUAUCGCUCCACCUCAGUAUGAAAUGAGACAGAACACAAAACCUUGGAAAUAAGCACAAACCUUGAAGAAGGAUAGGAUAUCCUCUUUCAAGUGCAGGGAACUCAGCAAGUGUGCCAAUGCAGAAUAUACCCUGCAAAUUUCACAUCAAAGGAGAAAUUGACAUUAAUGUAAUUACACAAGGAACAUAAACAUGAAAGUUGACAAAAUGGCUACCUAAACUAACCUUGAGACUGCACUAAGACCAAUUGGUUCGUCUGAUCCUAUCUUUGUCUGCAACAACUUCAUAUAUCUGUAUAAUAAUAACACAUUCAACAUAAAAACUGACGGCGGAAGCAUUUGACUUUGACUAAAUCCAAACUAGCAACAUUUGGACUAACCUGAUGAUCAAUUUCAAGCAGAAUUGAAUGGCACUAGAGACCUUGUGGUUAGAGCCAUGCUUGUUAUCUCGAUAUGAAUUAAAUUCUGAAGAGCAGAAUUUUUCCAAAAUACAUAUCAACACAUCGCCAUAUGAGGAAAUGCAAUGAAGAGCCAGAUCCUUGAAUUUUAAGACAUACUCAUCAGCACACACAAGCAUGCUAGUACACUUUUCAAGGCACCUAUCCAAUAUUGAAAAGAGAUCCUCAAAGAAACUGCCGCCAAUGAAACACCCAGAUAUUGAGGUGCAGAGGGAACAAUAGAGGGACUUCCAGAGUGUGAUAACUUGGUCAAGCUCAACCUGUAUGUGAUGUGAAGCAUGAGAUUCUUUUGAGGGGCUUCCAAGCUCUGCAGACAUAAAGUAUUUCGGAGUACAGGAGCAUACAACUAGUGGAUAGGACAACAGAUCGCACACGGCAAAACAACAUUUGCUGUCAGACUCCAUUUUCAAUGACGAAAAAUCCUUCAUAUCAUCAAUGUAGAACUUCAAACCUUCUGCCACUGCAAUCCACAUCCUUAAGCAGCUAGGCCCACUGUGCUUGUACAAUAAUCCAGUAGUGACAACUAGGCUUUCCAGGGGAUCAAACAUUGAUAACAGAUAUUUGAAAUAAUUCUGCAUUCUCUGAAGAUUGUUGUCUGUUUUGGGUUCAGUCAUUGUUGACUGAACCACUAAGCAGAAGUAAAGUACACUUAAAUAAACCAUUGGUGAAACCAUAUCCAUGUAAGCGUUAGUGACACCAGAUUUUCCACAUCCAAUGUCAACUAAUAUUUGCAGGUUAUCAAUACACUUGAUGUCAAAUGGCACCCUGUAAAGAGGGGAUCCCACUAUAGUAUGUUCAAUCUCCUCACAGACAGCCUCCACCAACUGAAGCGAUAUGUGAUGUAAGUCAUUUCUGUCACUACAAUCUGAAAUAACUUUUUCACAAGUAUUUUUUACGAACUUCAAUAUUGCAUUCAAACAAAACAUAAUAUCAUCAUAACUGAUAGACGACCUUUUCAACUCCAACUGAACUCCUUUCAAAACAGAUCUAAAUAACCUUAAGGAGGCAUCCGCAGCUGAAAUCCUGUUAUCGUGGGAGACAGUUUCCCUUAACGCUUGACAGAUAAGAAUGUAGAUCAUCUUUAAAUGGAAGUCUAAAAGACUCAGAUCCCAUGGAAACCAUUUGAUGGGAUACUGCUUCCAAGAGAAACUUCCGGAUACAAAGGGAGCAAUCCUAGAGGUUUUGCCCAAUAACUGAUGGUUCACUUGAUUAAGUGAGUCAUAAUCUAUAUCUUUACAUUUUGCCAAUAUGAAAUCAUUAAGCAAAUCUAUGCACAGAUUCCUGGCCCAGAUGCUCUUACUAUCAGGAUCAACUUGAAAAAUUGCCUCAACAACAGGCUCUAGUACCAUUCUGAUGACAGAAGAAUCACUGAGAGAGAUAUCAAGUUUAUGCAAUAAAUAACACCACGUGUUCAAGCAAGCUAAAUGAACAGAUACAUCACAUUUAGUCGACAUGAUGCCUAUCAGUGGUGUCAUAAUGAGCUUUGUGCCUUUUAAGUAUCCAUUUUUUUUAAUUUCACUACCGUUUCCCUUGCAUGUUCCUAUUUGUUCCAUACCAUUGUCCUUUUUUGUCGCAUUUGUCUCAAAGGGUAAUAUCAUGGUAGGGUGAACAAGGGCAUCAAUAAGACCUUCCCAGGCAACCUGCAAAAUUGGAGUACAUAACAAUCUUAGCUUAAGACAUGGAAUCAGAAAGUCUGGUUAUUCUGAGACUAGAUUAAGUUUUAACGCUGACAAGGAUUAGGGACUUGGAUCUAGCUUCGAAGGAGCAUAACAUAAAUGAAAUCAUUAAGAAAAGGAUAUCAUCUAUUCUUUGGAAUUAGACUUACUUGUGAAGCAAUUUGAACUUGUGAGUCAUGAUCUGAAAAUGUCUGCUCGGGAAUUUUUAGCAUCUGAUUAAUUAACUGCCUGUUCUUCAAGGCAUGAGAUCCCAGUAAGCGGAUAAACCAUCCCCAUGCUUGAAUAGUUUGAACCUUCAUGCCGUUGGUUAGCAUGUGGUGCAUCCCAGUAAGCAACCUUGGCUUCAAAUCUUUGACAACUGCCUGUUUAUGGAAGAAAAUGAAGAAAAAGGAAAUGUACAUGUCAAUAUAAAUUACAGAAUAACCAGCAAGACAAGAUCAUGGAAAGCCACCUCAUGGUUCUAUGUGAGACCCGUGAAGCCAAUGGAAGGGAUGCUAUAUAAUCUUAUGGUUAAUUUUUCCGUGACACGGCAUAAUCUACCCAUACUAGAAGUCAUACUUCAAGAAAAUGACAUGAGCAAGUGAGUACCUUGGAAAGAUUUAGCGGAGGGGGUAAUAUUGUAGACCUAGUGUUCAAUAAACAACUCUCCGACAUAUCCCUCUCCCUCUUAUCAGAGCUAAGGAGUCUUCUAUAUACUGGAGGAGCCCAUAUAUGCGACAUCUCUCUCAUAUUCUCACUUAACAAAGUUGCUAGCUUCAUAACAGCCUGUCACAAUAACAUAAGGCAUAUUCAGAAGAAUUAGUAUGAAAACAACGCUGUUUAAAACGCAUGAUACUUGCGAUGUAUUACCUGAAUAGCCUCAAAAGUAGUCGACAAAGAACCGAUAGGAUUGUCAAUGGCAUGAACAAUCGCAAGCAAAAGAGAAUGGAAAUGGGCAGCUAAAAGUGGUGUACUCAAUUGUUGGAUAGAUAUGCACCACACCCCUAAAUUGCAAACAGACUGCAGUUAUGAAAUCAGCAGGUUAAUAUUCGGACACACACGCGAAAAAAACAAAAACUAAAAAACACAAAAAGAUUAUCGCUUUUAGUAAUAAAUUCCCGUUAAUAUAAAGAAAUAACCUUCAUUUUUGUGGUUGUAAUGAGCUUUGCCAGUGAAUCUAAAACAAAUUUGACAUCAUCCGCUGCGAAACAAAGAAAUUGGUGACAGAAAUUUGGUUAUCAGUUUAAGCUCAGCUGCCUAAAAAGUUCAAAAUUUAAAUUUCAAACGAAACAGAUUUUUGAGUGGCUACAUGUACCUGCGAUUUCGGCAACGAUGGACGGAUGAUAUAUCAUAAAGCCCAAGCAUUUCAAUGCCUGAGUUGCACUGCAAAAUUUUUAAAUAAAAAAAUAAAAUCCAAGACGUAUUCAGUUACACCAUACCAUUAAAAUAAAUGAAAAACCCAGAAAAAUGACAUGUCGAAUCCGAAGAACUCACAUUUCUUCGUCAUUGUUCCGAACAUCGGCGACGGUCGGACGGAUGAGGCUCCGGCAGCUCCGCGCAAGCAUUUGAAUUGAAUCGUGGCAGUCGGAGGAUUGCUGCUGGAGGUGUAAGAGGGUGGAGUAGGCGAAGGACUUGCUUUGGUGGCGGCUGAAGAUAUCAGGGAUUUUAUUUCUUCGAGCUGGUCUGAAAAUCCGGACAUCGUUGCGGUGGGGGAGAGGAAGCAGCAGUGCCCGGACUACCGGUAGCAUGUGAGGUGAAACCCUAAUGUCGCACUGGAUUUUUGGAAUUGGUAGUCUUUUCGCGCCAUAGCGCGGAAAGGGGUGACGGGUUUAUCAACUUGGGGCCUGUUGGGCUUUGGGCCUAAAUAAAUGGAAAGAAAUAUUUCAAGUGUUUUUAGAACUCAAAAAUAUUUCUUUAAAAGCGUUUUUAAUUGCUAGUGCUUGUUAAACGAGUCCUAAGGCCAUCUCUAACCGAGGGCUGGCCAGUUAAUGAACAGUACAAGACCAUAUUUGCCUCCGUCUCCAACCGAGGGCCAGAGGGCCAAGGGGCUCAUUUUAGCCAUGUCACAAAAAACCGUCUCCAACCGAGGGCCAAAGGGUCAUAGGGCCAAACAUAAUUUAUUAUUUAUAAACUACAAUUUAAAUUCAAAUCUAACGGCUAGGUGACGUCAACAUGAUGUCAGCUAGCCGUUGGUAGCUGACAUCAUGCUGACGUCAACUAGCCGUUGGAUUUGAAUUUUUUUUUGCUAUAAAUAGGGUGGAUAUUGGGCUAUAAUUCACACAACUUUAAAUUCAAUCUAUUUCAAUUCAAUCUCUUGCAAUUCAAUCUCUUUCAAUUCAAGUUUGCAAUGAAUUCCAACUUUGGAUCUUCAUCCAAUUCCAAUUGGGGGUCCUCAUCCAAUUCCAAAUUGGAAGCAAAAUGGGCGCAAAUGAGACGAGAAGAUGAGGAGUCUGAUGAAUAAGUUCAAGUAAGGCGCAACAAACAAAACAUGGCAGCAGCCAUGGCUGCGGCCAUGAUGUGUCAGCUAACUGAGGAACAACCUCAAUGGGGUGGCUCUGUUGCUGGUCGCUCUUACAAACCACAAAACAGAGCGAUGUCGCAUGCCAAUCUGAUGAACAACUACUUCAACCCCAACUCGGUGUACACAGAAGAGGAUUUCAGACGUCGCUUCCGGAUGAGGCGUCAUGUCUUCGAGCGUUUACUUCGUGAUGUCCAGCAGGUCAAUCCAUACUUUCGACAGAAGUGGGACAGAGCAGGCCACCCUGAUUUCUCACCUCAUCAGAAGGUUACUGUUGCACUCCGAAUGAUGUCAUAUGGCUCCUUAGCUGAUUCGAUGGAUGAAACCCAUGGUAUGUCUGAGUCUACAUGCCUUAAUACUCUUGAAGAAUUUUGUAACAUAAUUGUUCAGGUUUACAAAGACGAGUACCUCUGAGAGCCAAAUCAAGAAGAUUUGAAUCGGCUCCUUCACAAAGCUGAAGACCAUGGGUUUCCGGGCAUGAUAGGGUCAUUAGACUGCAUGCAUUGGGAUUGGAAGAACUGUCCCACUGGAUGGCAAUGAGGCUUUAGCGGAAGGUCGAGAAAGCCAACUGUUGUGUUAGAGGCAGUUGCCUCAUAUGACACAUGGAUCUGGCAUGCUUUCUUUGGAGUCCCUGGAUCCCAAAAUGACAUUACAGUUCUUGGGCGUUCACCCCUCUUCAAUAACUUGACGGAAGGUAAAGCACCUCAACUUGACUACUACAUCAACGGCCGUGAAUACAAUAUGGGGUAUUACUUGGCAGAUGACAUCUACCCAAAGUGGGCGACACUUGUCCAAGCAAUUCCAAACCCUAGGAAUGAUGCAGAAAAGUUGUUUACCUUACACCAAGAGGCAUACCGGAAAAAUGUUGAGAGAGCUUUCGGUAUUCUACAAGCACGGUGGAAGAUUAUCAGCGAACCGGCAAGAGGGUGGAGUCGAGAAAAUUUGAACUCCAUCAUGAUGUCUUGCAUCAUAUUACACAAUAUGAUAGUGGAGGAUGAGCGAGAUGGGUAUAUUGAUGGAGAGUACGAUGAUGACCAAGAAGAUCCAAAUAGGUCAAGAAGGGCUCUAGCAAAAAUAUAUGAUGGGCCUAAUUUGACUUUCAAUCCAAGAACUGGUAGUAUCUCUAUAAAUGAGUAUAUGAGGCGCUAUAGAAUAAUACGUUCUCGUGCAACAAAUAGGUACCUACAACAGGAUCUUGUUGCACAUCUUUGGGCCAAAAGAAGCAUGGAGUAGGCUUUUAAGUUUUAUGUUGUUAAAUGUUUUUAAAAAUAUUGUUUAAGUUUCAUGUUGUUAAAUGUUUUUUUAUGUUGUAUAAUUUGUAUGUUGGUUAAUGUUAUUUAAUGUUGUUUCAUAUUGUUUAAUGUUGUUUCAUGUUACUUAAUUUAAUUUAAUGUUGUAUAAAUGGCCUAGGAAGUUAUAGGAAAAAAAUAGAAUUGAAAAAAAAUAUGAAACAAAUUUUGUGAAAUAGAAGUUAUAGGAAAAAAAAUGGAAUUUAAAAAAAUAUGAAACAAAUUUUGUAAAAUAGAAGUUAUAUGAAAAAAAAAUAUGAAUCAAAUUUUGUAAAAUAGAAGUUAUAGGAAAAAAAAUAGAAUUUAAAAAAAAAUUGAAACAAAUUUUGUAAAAUAGAAUUGAAAAAAAAUAUGAAACAAAAUUUGAUUCAUAUGAAAAGGAAAAAAAAAAGGGAAAAAAAGAAGUUUAAAUUCAUAAAAAAAAAGGGCCUAAUAAUACAACGGCUACUAGCCGUUAUAUUAAAAAACAUUCAAACUAUUAGUGUCGGUUAUAACCGACACUAAUAGUAAAACUAUUAAAAAAAAAAGAAUCUCUUUAAUGCUGUCGGUUAUAACCGACAGCAAUAGGAAAACAUUAAAAAAAAAUAGCCAGCCCGGGGCUGGCUGGCUGGCCGAAAACAGCUAGCCCUCCAGCCCUCCAGCCCUCUCUGAUCCCGUGGGGCCCUCCCAGAUUCCAGAGCCCUCUGGCCUAGCCCUCGGUUGGAGACGGUUUUAGGGCUAUUUUCGGCCCUCUGACCCUCUGGACCCUUCGGUUAGAGAUGGCCUAAGUCCCACUAGGCCUGGAAAACGGGUUGUGUUUGUUAUGUUCGUGUUGUUUUCGUAUAACAUCUGUUAUCUUAACGGGUCAUGUCGUGUCACACCCGUUAUCUUAACGGAUCCUUAGAGUAAAGUGACCCGACCAGUUAUGACCCCUUAAGAAAAUAUAUAUUUUUUCUUAAAUUUGCACAUACCACACAUUGCCACAUAAAUAUUACUUCAAAACAUUAAAACACAUUUGUCAUUUAAGUACUACAUCUACACUAAAAAAUAAGAGCCUAAUAAACAAAUAUCCAUACACUACUAGUCUAUUACAAAAUAUUAAAUGUGCAAGGAUAUGCAAAAAGAAAGAGUUUUUGUUUUCAAGGUUAUGAAGCAUUUCUCAAAAGUUUAAACCUUACUAAUGGAACUCAAAACUUGCAUGUUAUUCCUUUUACAAAAUCCUCAAUUUUCAUCGAUCAUCAUGACAUAAGAUUUUGUGGCAUCCACUUGUGUAAAUAUUUUAAAUUGACAAUCAAAUUAGUUCAUUGUAUUCAUAUAGGAUUAAGGAGUGUAGCUUUUAAAAAUCAUCAAAAUCGGAGUUAAAAUAACCGUUAAAUGAUUUUUAGUUUAUAACCGUAAAAUUUUUUUGUCCCAUUACUUGAUCUCUGAAUGUUUGUUUUUUUGCAAUUUUUGGCGUAUGUGAUCUCGAAGUAUAUACAAACAUGUUUGAUGGUUGGAUCGUUGAAACUAGUUUCGUAGAAUGCGUAUCCCAUCAAAACAAUAGAUUCACUAACACUUAAGAGUUUAUUCAUAUUUUCAUUAAGUAUAACAUAAAAUUUUGUAGUAUCCACUUGUGUAAAUAUUUUAAAUUGAAGAUCGAGUUCAUUCAUUGUAUUCAUAUAGGGUCAAGGAGUGUAGCUGUAAAAAAUCAUCAAAAUCGAAGUUAAAAUAACCGUUAAAUUGUGAUUUUUCUUUGAUAACCAUCGAAAAGUUUUGUCCCGUUACUUGAUCUCUCUAAAUGUUUGUUUUUUUCAAUUUUUGGCGUAUGCGAUCUCGAAGCAUAUACAAACAAGUUCGACGGUUGGAUCGUUGAAAUUAGUUUUGUAGAAUGCAUAUCCCAUCAAAACGAUAGAUUCACUAACACUUAGAGUUUAUUUAUACUUUCAUUAAGUAUAACAUAAGAUCGAAUUCAUUCAUUGUAAUCAUAUAGGGUCAAGGAGUGUAGCUGUAAAAAAUCAUCCAAAUCGGAGUUAAAAUAAUCGUUAAAUCGUGAUUUUUCGUUUAUAACCGUUGAAAAGUUUUGUCCCGUUACUUGAUUUUUGAAUGUUUAUUUUGUACGUAUAACACUUAAGAAAUUGAAUGAUAUGUAUAUUUAAGCCGAUCCAAUGGUCACCAAUUUUAAAAUUUAAUAUACAUAUAUAUAAUUAUUAUAGUUUUUAGGGGUAUAAAAUUGUUAAAUUAAUAUAUAUAAUUAUUAUAGUAUUUUUUUAGGGUUAUAAAAUUAUAAAAUUCAUAUUUUACUUAUCGUGUAUCGUGUUACCCACGUGUAUACCCGAACCAACUCGUUAUCUUAACAGGUGCUUAUCGGGUUACCCAAUAACGACAUGAUUCGUUAUCGUGUUGAUCCGAACACCUGUUAAUUUCGUGUCGUGUCGUGUCAGGAAUUGCCAGGCCUAGUUCCAAGUUUGCUUGUAGCGCACGUAAACGAUAGUUGAGUUUGUGAUAAGUUCAAUUUCUUCAUUAUACAUGAAUUUCUCCAUAUAUAUAUAUAUGCAUAUUACGUACUUAUGUGUGUACUAUAGUUACGUAGGUGAGACAUUUGUACUAAAACUUAUGUACUAAUGUAUUCGUACCACAAUUUUAUGUACCUAUACAUUUGUAACAAUACUCUGUACCUAUGAGUUUUUUUCAUAUAAAUUUUUUAUGUAUUGUUGUUGAUUUUUUUUUAAUUAUAAGAAUUUAAAUUUUGGAUAAAUUUUUAUCUAUUUGUAUGAUUGGAGCAUAAAAAUAUACAUGACUUAAGAAUAGGUUAUAAAAUGUUAUAAUACUUAAAUAUGGUAAGUUUUAAUAAUAAAUACUUGAAUUAGAUUUAGAAAACGAUUCAUGUUAAAAUAUAAAAAUAUCUUAUUUAAGUCAUAAAAUCUAAAAACUCCAUUUUUUUCAAAACUAGUAAAGGAAAAAGUGACGAUGAAACAUUGCGGACAACAAUUGGAGUCGCUCGGGUUAGAUUUCAUGUCUUUUGGAACAAGUAUGGCCAUAUCAGCGGAGUCACUCGAAUUUCACCUAUUGUCCCGGAACAAGGUGAUGGUGGCAUCGCUACUCUGUCAGGUCAAACUCUUCACAGAGUUGUUGAGUCAUGACCAUAUUUUUGAGGUAACGUUAUUCCGAUCAUCCUUUCUCCAACUUUAGAAUACGUACUGUUUGGUCUUCUAUCUUUGUAUAUGAUCCAAUUUCGUACAAUGUAGCAGAGACAUUUCCGACUCAGUGGUGCAAUCUCGAACGUCGUGCAAAAAAAUUGUGAUGAUGAUGAAUACUGUUUGCUUCCUAAUAGAUUAAUAGAGUUUAAUCUGUCAAUCUUUUCGAAGUAAGGAGUGUUGAGGAAAAACAUAGGUAAGCUUAUGGGCCCGGGGUAGAGUUCAAAAGCCAUCUUCGGUGACGUUGUUUUGGAAAAAAACAUCACCUCCAAAAUUUAGUAUUUGUAAAGAUUUCCACCCGCGAUAUCCGGAAUACCACCUUACUUCGAUACUAGGUAUUAAAUAUUAAGCUAAUGGAAAACCUUUAGCCCUAGACUCACGGUAAUGCAUUGACCAGAUUAAGGUUGAGGAAGUGUCGAAUCAUACCCGGAAAGACCUUUAGAUUUAAAUGUUAGUCUGACAUGUUUGAGUUGUCUUUGUUUGUUGAUUUCGUUUGUUCUUUCACCUUGUCCCCACUCCAAGUCAGAGAAUUUCAAUAGUGCAACGUAUCAUUCUCAGUCCGAAGUGUGUGUCCAUCCCUAGUGAUUCUUAAACGAAAGAUCAUUAGGAACUUGGUUGGCUGCAUGUAGGUCGGAAACACUUUGUAAAUCCUUUUAUCAGACCCUAUGAGUCAGACUCGCGGACUUUGAAUGUCGUUUUCGGUUUCUCCGAAUGUGUCACACAUAUUGCAUGUGGUGAUGACCGGUUGUUGUUUGGAUGGGAUAUUUUGCAUGCGUACGAUAUCCCUUAUGUGCACCCCACUGCGUUAUGGUCUUGGUAGUUAUUAUAUUUUACUUGGUCAUCAGGCAUUGUUGGUUUAUAGUAAUGUUUGGGUAAUCACUUACCACUCUACUCUCUUAUUUACCCACCAUCACUUCACUCUUCAUUUCUCACCGAAUCUCUCUCUCUCUCUCUCUCUCUCUCACUCACACUCCACCCUCUUGUAUUAUGUGUAUAAUGAUAGCAGAAAAAGUGGCAGUGGAGGUUGUCCAGAGAAAUAUAUUGGCGCCAAUACUGGAUGAUAUUCAUGUGGAGGUUGAGAUAGGAGGACCUCAAUUUUGGUAGAUUUUAGAUGCUGUUAUCUUGUAAAAUGUUAGACAACUUCAUUCACUUAAUAUAUAUUACCUAGUUAAACUCAUUCUAUUUUCUCUUCAGAUCUUGUUUCUAAUCUUAAUACCUCACCCAAUUCGUGAAUUUGAGUUAAGUUUUUUUUUUUUCCUUCUUCUUUUCAAUUUUCUUCUCAACUAAUGCAGUUUAAGGUUUAUUAAUUAUAGAUCGAUAUAAUUAGUAUGUGAGUGGGCAAGAAUCCGAUAUAAUUCAUGUGAAAAAAAAAAUUUCAAUUCUUUUUAAAAAAUUUUGGUAUAGGGCACGAUUAUACAGAAGUGCCCAAUCAGUUGAGAAGGGUUGUCAGACCUAUCUGAAUGAAGGCACAAAUUAGGCUCUAUAGUGCGUUGCCUUAAUAACACAAACAACUAUAUUGUGCCCUUUGACCAAAGGACACA
rnacentral:lncRNA from 1 species